rnacentral:lncRNA from 1 species
AUUUUCCUACCUCCUUCCAUGGUGAUGUUAAAUUUGUAACGAUUUUUCUUGCUUUUGUUUAGACUAAUUAAAUGUUUUUUUCAAGGGGAGGAUUUCUCAUCUUUUUUUGUAUUUAAGUAUUUCAUGGCAAUAAAAUGGUUGUUUCUGAUUUUUUAUUUAUUAUUAUUAUUUUUUUUUUUAAAAAAAGGAGGGCAAAAAAUACAAUGCAAUAUCGUUAUUGUGUUUUUGUAGCAUUUAUAGGCAGAAAGAAUUUCAAAGGCUAGCUACAUGAAAACUAAAAGCCUAAACCUUAUGGUACACAUGAUAUGAAUAAAAAUUGAGUACUUCUGAUAAUGAACCUUCCAAUCAAGGGAUUUGAGAGUGAGUUCACUCAUUUCCAUCUAGUACAACAUCAAUUUGCUGCUAAGGCAAUCAAAGAGGCAAGACAAUAGCAAUACUUGUUCUCCAAGUUUUCUAAAGCUUACUUAAAGACAAUUCAUGGACAGCCAUUGUUUGAUUGAUGAGGUUUAUUUUUUUGGGUUAGAUGUGUCAUAAAUAAAUAUUGAGAUGUUGAUGAGUCCAAGUCUAGAUAUGAAUUUUUCUUCUUAAAAACUCCUACAACAUUGGCUUUAGCUUCUUCUUUCUAAUUUUUUUAUUCUCAAGAAUUCAUCUUCUCCUUCAUUUUACAUGAUCUUCUUCCAGGUCAUGCAACAUGUUUCAUGUUUUUAUUUAUUUUUAAUUUUGAUUUAUUUUGGAUUUGGUGUGAUCAAAUUAAGAAGAUAUAUAAUAUUUGGUUUAAAUUGUGGAUAAGAGUUUUAAGGAGAUUAGGGUUCUUUGGGAAGAUGAAGAUGAGUUUGGGCAGCUCUUUGGGACGAAGAAUAUUAUGAUAGAGAGAUUAACUAGUAUUUAUUGAAGCUUCUCCAAUCCAAUAUUCUUCCUCCCAAUAAUAUCAAAGCUCCUUCAAUAAUUCAGCUCUUUGGAGUAGCUCAUUUUUCAAGGAAUUCAAAUGAUUGGACAUGGAAAGGGUUGAAGCUUUCCUUUUGAGGCUUUAGGGUAAGAACAGGAUGGAAUUGAUAAAUAUGAGGAAGGGGAAAUUUUCAGUCAAAUUGCUUUACAAUUUUUUAGGUUACGAAACAGGAGAAGUUUUUCUUAUGAGGUCCAUCUAAAGUAGGUUUUCUUUUUUUUUUUUUUGGCCUAAGAAGCUUCUUGGGGCAAGGUUUUGAUGUUGGAUCAGCUGCAAAGGAGAGAGUGGUCUAUGGUAAAUCGAUGUUUUCUAUAUGAAGGAAGACAAAGAGUCAGUACAUCCCUCUACAUUAUGUCAAAGUUAGGGUAUUAUAGAAUUUGGUGCUUUCCUUAUUUGGAGUUCUUUAGGUGAUGGCAAGUUCGGUAAGACAAGCCCUAUUAGGGUGGAAUGAUGCUUUGUGGGAAAAAUAAUGAAAAAAGGUCUAAAGGGUUGCCUCAUUGUGUGUACAUUGGACAUUAUAGAAAGAGAGGAACCAAAAGUCUUUUGAAAACAAAAAAAAUAUUUGAUCAAGCAUUAAAACUUACUUUUCUUUGUAGCAUUUUGAUAUGGUUUAGGUAGCAUAUUGAUGAGGGGUCCCUAAUUAUAAUAGAUUGGUUAGGAUCCUCACAAAGGGCUUUUGUUUUUGUCGCCUUAUCUUUUGUUUUUUUCUUUUGGCAUCAUCUGUAUACGACCGGUAUACUUUGAUGUGCCUUUGCUUGCUGUUGUUAAUGUACAGUAAAACCCCUAUAAAAUAAUCAUUUUGGGACGAAGAGAAUUAUUAUUUUAACAGCUAAUUGAUUUAUCAAUAAAUAAAUAAUUUAUAAAUUUACCAAUAAAUGAAUAUCUAUUAAUUUAUAGAGAUUAUAUCUUUCAACUAUACAAUACUUGUACAUGUAUGAGUUAUAAAUCCAAAAAAAAUGAAUGUAGUCAAAAGUUAAUACAUGGAAACCUAAGAGACUGAAAAAGAAAAGAGGUUUAUUAAUUGUAGAAGAUAGAAAGACUCUUAAAAGGAAGAGAUACAAUAUCAAAACUUAAUUCGCUAGAAGAUAAAGAAGUUUCAAGUAUGUAAUGAUUCAAAGAAAAAGUUGAAUUGAAAAAAAUAGAAAUUGUAAAAAGUUACUCAAUACCAUAUUAUGAAUGAUUUAUAUAUUAUUCAUUUUUUUAUGAACUUCAUCAAUUAUUAAUAUAUAUUUCAUGGGCCUUUAAGGAUUUGUAAAAAAUUAUUAUCUUAUAUAUUUAGUGAGUUUAUUAAUUUAAUACACUAGUUUGAGUUGGGACCAAAAGAUUUCACUAUUCAAACAAGGUCAUUAAUUUUUCAAAUAUAUAUAUAUACACACAUACUAGUAUAUCUGAAGAGAUGCUAAAUUUCAAAAAUAUAUUUGGGACCUUGGGGAUAUUAUGAAUAGGAUACAUCCCCUUGAUACAAGGACCAUUAAAUCAAGAAAUAUCAGCAAUUAUUAAGUGAUAUUUUCAACUUUUUCCCCUUUCUCCUACCUUUAUUUCUACUUUUAUUUCCCUUAAAAUAGCAAGUAUACCUUUCACUUCAUCUUUUGUACACAACAAACUGUAUAAAUUACUAUAUGUCAAACUUAAUCUUACUAACCGCUUUCCUUCUUUCUAGCCAGUUUUUACCUCCCAAAGUUUCUCAUUUUUGUAUCUUCGCCAAACCUGUGAUAGCCUUAUAAUGCGCUAUUUUGAAGGAGAUUUUUUUUGGCAUUACCAUUCCAUCACAGAAUUUUAUUAGAAGAAAAUCCCCUACCUUUAGAUUCUUCAAAGAUCAUUUAUGCCACCCCUUUGUAAUGUCGUUAGCCCUUUUAUUCCACAAAAAAAAUUAGUUACUGCAUCUAUGCUCAAUUUUGCCUCUAAGUCGUUUUCUUCUGGUACUACUAUUGCUCCUAUUAAGUUCCAGUACCAUUGUUUAUGACUUCACAAUAUUUAUACACUAUUUUGAUCUACCCUUCUAGUAAGGAAGAUGCUUGUUUGGGGCUUUUUCCUCUCUUUAUUUUUUUAUUUUUUAUUUUUUUUAAAAACCUAUUAGUUAAAAUUUCAUCUUCUUUCAAAGCAUGUAGUUGCUACUAUAAGGUCAUAUGAGUCUGCAAAAUCCAAUGUCCACAUAUUCAUUGUUCUUCUGCAUGUCAUCGUCUAAUAUCCUACAAAAAUUCUCCCCUCUGAUAUCCCUCUAAUUUUUCCAUCACAUCUUCUCAAAAUUCAACCUCAUAUGAACAUGCAAUCCUCUUGAAAUGCAUCCUCUGUUCUUCUAACACUGACAACAUAAGCCCUGUAUGUUCUACCUACAGCAUUCUGAUACAUCUCCUUUUAAGUGAACCAUAGUUCACUUCCCAUAUUCUCAAUUUCCAUGGAUUUGUACCCUGAUAUUUGGUUUGCUGCAGAGAAGCUAGACUGACCACCUUAAUAGUUCCACUGACAAACUCCAUCCUCUCCCAUAAGAUUGUUAUCAUAUUCAAGCUUGUAUAUCAAUCCAACUUGAUCCAACCACCUUAAUAGUUCCACUGGUAAAAUUCAUCAUCUUCAUGAGAGUGUUACUAUAUUCAAGGUUGCAUAUAUCAAUCCAACCUGAUCUAACUCCUUUAUCAACAUUCGUCAACAGAAGUUCACUGCUAUACUCUAGGAUAUCCGAAUCCUUCAACUUCACCCAAUAUACCCGUAUUAACAUGACAUGAUAUGGGUGUAGGUAUAGGAUCCUUGUCAGAUACAUUUAUUAUAUUUUGGGUGUGACAAUUUUAUUUUUUUCAUUGAUACUUUUUAUUCUUUCAACGUUCUUAGUAAUAAUUACAUUAGAGGAAAAGAAGAGUUAAUUAAAAAGUGAAGUUUUGUAAGAAUAUUUAGCGAUACAUGGAAAGAAAAGGGAUUAGAGGGAAACAAUGGGAGCUUUAAAAAAGGAUAUCUUCACUUCAAAUUUAUUUUUAAUUGACUUUUCUUUUAUUAUGUGGUAUCCUAGUAGUCAUGUCCCUUUUUGGAUCCUUUUAAGUCGAGUCCUCAUAUCAUAAACUUUGAGUAGUGAAGGAUCAAACACCUCGACACAUUCCCACAUUUGACAUUAUACCCGAAGCCAUGCAACAUAUGCUAUAGUACAUUUCUUUGAAAGAAUGCUUCAGUUCACCCUUGCCACAUUUCACUACACUAUGAAGGUUGAUGUGGGGGUUUCCUAGUAAAGAAAUCCCACGACAUAUUGGAUUCAGGUUCAUAGUGCCCUCUGAUCCACCCACCCUCACACAAAUUUAGGUACUGGUAUGUGUCGAAAUGCCCAAUUCUUCACACCUGAGACUUGGCUUUUAAAUGAUCUCAAAAAUAGGCAAAGACACUUGAACUUGGCACAAUCAAAGGUAAAAAAAAUGGAAAAAUCAAUUAGUAAUCAAUUGAAAGCAAAGAUAUCUUUGAUAGAUGCUUCCUCUUUUUCUUUUUUAUUCCUAUCUUUCGUUAAUAUCCCUAAAUAUUUUUAUGAAAGUCCACGCAACCAUUUGUUAAGAAAGUUUUGAACGUAACAAAAAGGAAAUCAAUUAGGAUGACACAGUUAUAUCCAAAGCAAAAUAGGAGCAUCCAUAGAGGAUUGUAGCCCAACCCACAUGUUGUGUUGACUCGGAUAUGUUGAGUGAAGUUGGAGAGUUUGGGCACCAUAAACACAAACAUAAAUAAAAAAUUAUGCUUAUAUGCUUACUAGUUCCAAAGAGAAAGGAAAAAUAAAAAAGAAAAAAGAAAAUGACAGUUUGACUGAUUAGGCUAACUUGUUACAUUCCAACACUGACACUACUUCAAAUAGUCACUAGUGACUUUCUAGUAUCCUGUCUUUUGAGCAAACAGAAACAUAACAUUGAUAUAUGAUAAAGGACUCCUAUAAAAAAAAUUAAAAUAAAUAAAUAAAAACAAAACAAAAAAACAAAAACAAAAAGAUAUAUAAUGGAGUGGUAAAAUAACGAACAAGCAACUGAAAAUAUAUUUAAUCCACAUCAACAAAUGUUAAAGUAAGAAGAAUAUACCGUGGAUAAUGCCUGACAAGUAAACUUUCCAUUAACUUGUCAGAAGAGCAGCUUCCAUGAGAAAGAGAUAAUUUAUCCUUUAGCGAAUUUCCAACUUGACCAGUCAUAUUUUGGUUGGUUGUAUGCUCUUCCUCUUUGCCCCUCUCAGGUAAAAUAUCAGGGUUCUCAUCAUCACCAAAAUCAAAGAGAUGUAACAUCUCCUCUUUAGAGAUAGUCCUAUGUACUUGUUGUCUAUCGACCACCCUGGCAGCAAGGCCUUCCUUUGUCACCUGUGUAACAAAUUUUCUUGGUAAAUUAUAUUCACAUAGUUCCAUGAAUUUGUUCAAGAGUAUGUGCAACCAAAAUCAAAGAGAUGUAACAUCUCCUCUUUAGAGAUUGUCCAAGAGAAUUUUGUUCCUCCCCCAUUACCUGACGCUUAUAAAUUUUUUCUUCCAUAGUUCCAUGAGCCAUCAAUCGGUAAGCAAACACUGGCUUAGUUUGGCCAUACCUAAAAAAUGAAAAGAAAUAAUAAUAAUAAUGUGGAACAACCUUCCAACAAAGGAUUUUGGCUUCAAUUAGCUCAUCUUGAGGUAAAGAACAAACCUCCAAGCCCGAUAUAUAGCCUGAAGAUCAUAUGUUGGAUUCCAUGAUCCAUCAACAAUGAUGACACGGUUAGCAGAAUGAAGAUUGAUUCCCAAAGAUCCAGCUCGGGUGGAUAUCAAAGUGCAUUUCACCCUUUUAUUUAAGGGGUCAUUAAAUCUCUCUACUAGCUUUUGCCUUUCAGAGCCCUCUGUUCUUCCAUCUAGCCUGUUUGACAGAUCAGACCAGAAAAGUGAACCACUGAAAAAUAGAUAGAACAAUUCAUGACUACAUAAAAAACUCUCCCUCCAACAAGACCACAAGGAGAACUGGUUAGGAAUCCACAGUUAUCCCUUCCAAAGGGAAUAAUUGUUGAGCAAAACAUGAGUGCUCCAUGUAUAUUUUCAUGAGAAAGUCUACUGAAAUUUUUAAAAAAUAAAAAUGUUCAGUAGUGGUAGUGUCAAACCAUAUGAAAAAAAAAAUGCACAAAAUUCAAAGAGAAGAUGGGCAAAGGACCUCCUGAGCACCAAAGCAUAAACUCCCACUGGGCUGUAUAAUACGACAUGGGGAUUAAGGUAAAAGACAAACAACACUGUUGCACAGACUGACUUUUCUUUUUAAUUUGGAGAAUGUUUAGCCUUUUAAAUUUCUUUUUCCUUUUCUUUUUUGUGUUAACUGGCCACACCAAACUGAAUGAAAGUUUAUGGUAUAAGAGAAUCUAGGUAAGCAGCAAGCCUGGUAAUCGCAAAAAACCCAUAAAGUAUGCAUGAGCCUGUGAAACAAAUGAGUAAAACGAGCUUGAAAAAUCAAAGUCAUAUUUUUUCCUUUUUCUUUUUUCCCCACUUUGAGCAUCUUUGGUUUUACUCUCCACACAGUUUUCAAGAAUAAAACAUUUAAAACAAGUAGAAAAAACAGUUUUUUUUUUUUUUUAAUUAAAAAUAAGUUAACUCGUUGAUAUAAAUUUGUAAGUAUAUACUGGAGAUCGGUGCAGUAAUUGCCCACAUCGUGUGUAAAUACACCAUAGCAAAAUGGAGUUGAUGAGAGGAAAAAUGGUCACCUACUUGACACAACCCAAGCUUUCUAGUUCCAAAAUAUUGUGCCUAAAUCUUAUUGAGGGUAAGUCGUCCUAACCUCUAAACAUCUCAUAAACUGCUUACCCUCCAGAAUUUUAAGUUUCAAAAGUCCCAUGGAAUUGCUCUUAACAUUUUAUCCUUAUACAAGAACCACAAACCAUCUCAUUCUAAAGAUAUUUGGGUGUAUGUCCUUUGUUCAUAUUCACAGUCAAAAUAAGGGAAAAUUGGUUCUAAGAAUCGUCAAAUGUAUUUUUGUGGGAUAUUCUUCAACUCAAAAGGGAUAUAAGUGCUACUAUCCAUCAUCCAAAAAAUCUUUUGUCUCAGCAAAUGUAACUUUCAACGAAAGUGAAUCUUAUUUUACUAUUCUUCAUCUUUAGGGAGAGAAUUCCAUUGAAGAAGAUAAGGAUCGAGAUUUCUUUCUCAAUGAUUGCUUUUCCAUUCCCAAAGUGUUUUGAGUUAUCUGUACCCCUCUUUGUUCCUGAUUCAUCAUUUGUAUCAUCUCCUAAACACACUGUUGAACAAACCAGUGAGCCUAUGGUGGUUGCUCCUAAGGAUAGAAUGACUCAAAAAGUGUUCUCAAUGAAGAAAGUAGUAGUCCCAAGACUUAUACAAGUUCAUGAAUCUGAACCGACUUUUGGAAAUGAGGUAACUUUUUAUUGUCCUCCCUUCUAAUCCAAGAAAGAACUUUAGAAUAACAAAAACCAUAGAUUAUAAUCUCCAUAUUUGCUAAUUAGGAAAGGAACCAGGGAGUGCACUAAACAUCCUUUUUACCCACUUUUCCAAUGUUGUAUCAAUUGAAAAGUUUUCACCAUCCCAUUAGAGUCUUCUUAUGAAUUUGAACAAUAUUCACAUUCCUACAACUCUAUCUGAGACUUUAUCUAAUGAAAAUUGGAAACAAGCCAUGAAUGCAGAAAUGGAGGCUCUAAAGAAGGAUAAAACUUGGGAGUUUGGUAGAUUUGCCGACAAGAAAAAAGUCAAUCGACUGCAAGUGGGUUUAUAUUAUUAAGUAUAGAGCAAAUAGGUCAUUAAAAAGGUACAAAGCAAGAUCGGUGGCUAAAGGAUACACUCAGACAUAUGGUGUCUACAUGAAGACCUAAAAGAAGAAAUUUAUAUAGAAGUCCCUCCUGGGUUUAGGAGUGAUCUAGCUACUAAAAAGAUGUGUAAACUGAAGGAAGCUCUAUAUGGGCUAUAAACAAAGUCAAAGAGACCAUACGUUGUUCAUCAAGCAUUCAAAUUCAAUGGAAGUUACAACUCUUCUAGUAUAUGUAAAUGACAUCAUUGUGAUGAGGAAUGAUGAAAAUGAGAGACAGACUUUAAGGCAAUGCUUGAGUAAGGAAUUUGAGAUUAAAGAGUUAGAAAGGUUGGAAGUACUUCCUAUCAAAGUUGCACAUUCUUAACAGGGAAUUUUUAUUUCUUAACAAAAAUAUGUAACGAACCUUCUCAAAGAAACAGAGAAGUUGGUGUGUAGGCUAGCAAGCACACCAACAGAUCUUAAUCAUAAGCUUAGAGAGGUUAAGGAAGAUGUUGUAGAUAGAGAGAUGUAUCUGUAUCAACAUGAUGCUUGAGUAAGGAAUUUGAGAUUAAAGAGUUAGAAAGGUUGGAAGUACUUCCUAUCGAAGUUGCACAUUCUUAACAGGGAAUUUUUAUUUCUUAACAAAAAUAUGUAACAAGCCUUCUCAAAGAAACGGGGAAGUUGGUGUGUAGGCUAGCAAGCACACCAAUAGAUCUUAAUCAUAAGCUUAGAGAGGUUAAGGAAGAUGUUGUAGAUAGAGAAAUGUAUUUGUAUCAACGUGUCUAGAUGGAGACACAUUUGUCUCUCUCACACGAGACCAAAUACAACAUAUGUUGUGAAUGUGAUUAGUCAAUUCAUGCACAAUUCAAAAGAAGCUCAUUUGCAACCCGCCAACGAAGUACUACAGUAUCUUAAAAGGUCUCCAAGAAAUGACAUCCUAUUUAAACUAAGCUUGGGGCUAGUACUUGAAGCAUACACAAACACAGAUUAUGUUGGAUUUGUGGUUGAUAGAAGAUCAACCAUUAGGUAUUGCAACUUUCUUGGUGGGAAUCAAGUAAAAAGGAGAAAUAAAAGAAAGAGUUUGGUCGCUAGAUCUAGUACAAAAGCGGAAUUUCAUGCAAUGGCUCACGCAAUUUGUGAAUUACUAUGAUUGAAGAUCAUUUUAUAAGAUUUGAAAAUUAAAUGGGAUGGCCUAAUGAGUCUUUACUACCACAAAAAAUCUACAAUCAACAUUGCACGUAAUCUAGUGAACGAAGCACAUAACAAUAAAUAGACAUUCUAAUUAAAAAAAAAAAGAAAAAAAAAGAAAAGAAAAAAAAGAAAAAAAAAAGAUAAACAAACAUUGUAAUAAGGAGAAACUAGAUAGUGGAUUGAUAUAUGCUCCUUAUAUAUCUACUGACUGCCAACUUGCAGAUAUACUCGCCAAAGGUUUAAGCAAUAUAGUGUUUCAAGCAAGUGUGUCAAAACUAAGAAUGGAAAACAUUUAUUCACUAGCUUUAGAGGGGGAGUGUGGAAGAAUAUUUUUUUUUUUUUUUGAUAGGUAAAAAAGAUUCUAUUAAAAAAAGAGACACCAAGAAGGCGACUCAAGAAAUACAAACCUAUACACCCUCCAACAAGAAAAAGCUAAAAGAACAAAAAGCCCCAACAUACAAACCUAAUUAGCACCCAUCCAAUCAAUAAAAUUAGCUAUAGUUAGAGGGCAAUCAACUAUAAACAAUUUUGUUUCAGCCCAAAGAGAAAAAAUAAAGGAGUAUUUCAAUCUUUGAAUUGACACCACAUCAUCCUUGAAAGCCAAACAAUUCCUCGCCUUCCAAACCGUCCAAAAAAUGUGCAAAGGAGCCGCUCUCCACACCUUCUUACGCUUUUUGCCCACAAAAGAACCAUUCCAGCUUAGAAGGGUUUCCUUAACAGAACAAGGCAACACCCAAGAUACCCCAAAAAUAGUAAAAAGGAGAUCCCAUAAGACCUUUGUUCUUGAGCAAUGAAGCAGGAGAUGGUCUAUGGUCUCCUCAUUCUCAAGACACAAAAAACAUCUAUUUGCCAAAGCCCAUCCUCUUUUCUGCACCUUGUCCAAGGUUAGUGCUUUGCCCCACGUAGCCUCCCAUGCAAAAAAACUAAUCUUAGGCUGCACAUUCGCAUUCCAGAUAAGGCUUGAAGGAAACCGAGCCGAACCCCCCGCCUCAAUGGCCAAGUAUAGAGAUUUAACCGAGAAUUUCCCACUCUUAGUUUCAGUCCAGGAUACCCUGUCCUCCACAUCCUCAAUAACUCUACUACGAUGUAACCGCUCCAUAAAACUUGACGCUUCCUCUACUUCCCAAUCAUUGAAAGCUCUUACAAAGCAAGGAUUCCAUCCCCCCCAACCCCCCUCCGCCAAGGAAUCCCAAACAUUUGCCACACUUUCUUCCUUAUCAUCAGUCAAAGCAAAUAGAGACGGGAAGGACGAACACAAAGGAGAAUCCCCACACCAUUUAUCCCUCCAAAACCUCACCCUCCUUCCAUUACCAACAAUGAAGACCAACCUAUUGCUCACUAAUUCCCAGUUCAUCCGUAUCCCUUUCCACAACCCCAAGCCAUGAGCCUCUCUCACUUCCCGAGAGGACCACCCCCCUCUCUCUUCUCCAUAUUUCCCUCUAAUCACUUGAUUCCAUAAAGCUUCUCUCUCAUUAGCGAACCGCCAAUUCCAUUUAGCAAGAAGAGCCUUGUUGAGAAUAGAUAGGUUUUUUACCCCUAAGCCCCCUUUCUUCUUACUUAAGCACACCACUUCCCAUCUUACAAGAUGAGGCUUUCACUCCAAAUUACCCCCACCCCAAAGGAAAUCCCUUUGAAUCUUUUCCAGUCUCCGUCUGACUACACUUGGUAAACACAACAAAGACAUAAGAUAGAUUGGUAGAUUCGAUAACGUGCUUCGAAUUAAAGUCGUCCUCCCUCCCUUGGAUAAGUAUUGUCUCUUCCACAUUCCUAGCCUUUUACGGAAUCGAUCCUCCACUCCAUCCCAAACUGAUGUUGAUUUGAAGGAAGCCCCCAAGGGCAUCCCCAAAUAUGUGGACGGCAAGCUACCCACUUUGCACCCAAACUCCCAAGCGAGGUCAUCCAUAUUCUCUACCCUUCCUACUGGAAUGAGUUCACUUUUGUCCAAAUUUAUUCUCAAUCCCGAAGCGGCCUCAAACCACAUAAGCAACCAACUAAGAUGAGUCAAGUGGUCUUGAGACGGCUUACAAAAUACUAGAGUAUCAUCGACGAACAAUAAAUGGGAUAUAAGGGCCCCUUCUUCACUCCUCCCCUUGACCCUACACCCCGAUAAAUAGCCUCCCUCUACAGCCCUUUGGAGAAAAGCACUAAAGACCUCCAUUGCUAUGACAAAUAAAUAAGGGGAAAGGGGAUCACCCUAUCUCAAUCCCUUUGAGCUUUGGAAAAAUCCUGUAGGGGUUCCAUUGACCAACACAGAAAAACUUGCAGUGGAUAUGCACCAUUUUAUCCACCUGAUCCAUUUCUCCCCAAAACCCAUUUUCUGCAUAACUGUAAGAAUAAAAGUCCAAUCCACAUUAUCAUAGGCCUUCUCUAUGUCCAAUUUGCACAAGAUGGCACUCUCAUUAUUUUUCAGAGUCGAAUCAAUGGCUUCAUUGGCUAUCAACACUGCAUCUAGGAUUUGUCUUCCUUCCACAAACGCCCCUUGGGCCUUGGAGAUCACCUUUCCAACCACCUUUUUUAGCCUAUUGGCUAAGACCUUGGCCAACCACUUAUACAAGCUUCCCACCAAGCUUAUAGGCCUAAAAUCUCCCAAAUCUUCAGCUCCCACUUUUUUUGGAAUUAAGACCAAAAAAGUUGCAUUUAGGCUCUUAACAAACUUUCCAUUUUCAUAGAAUUCCUUGAAAAAACACAACACAUCCGCCUUCACGAAAUCCCAAGCAAAUUGCCAGAAAGCCAUAGAAAGUCCAUCUGGCCCCGGAGCUUUAUACCCAUUGCAACUCAACAAUGCAUUGAACACCUCCUCUUCCGUGAACGGGCUCUCCAAAGUAUUAGCAUCCAACUGAUCCAGAGUCCCUAACUGCAGCCCGGAUAUAGAAGGACGCCAAUCCCCCGAACUGGACAGCAGUACCUUAAAAGCAUUGCCAAUCCCUUCCCUAAUUUCAUUCUCCUCUAUGCACCAAGCUCCAUUAAUCUUGAUUCUGUCCACAUUAUUCCUCCUCCUGUGGGCAUUAACCAUUUUGUGGAAGUAACCCGUGUUUCUAUCCCCCUCUUUCAGCCACACUUCCCUAGAUUUUUGCCUCCAACUGAUUUCUUCAAGUAAAACCCAUUUUUUAUAAUCUUCCCUCGCUUCUUUCCUAGCUUCCAGCUCUUCCAAGUUCAGUCUGCUAAUUUUCUCCCUUGCAUCCCAGAACUGUACCUGUUCCAAAGCAGCAUUUUUUCUGAGCUCAAUCCUGCCAAAUGAGUCUCUAUUCCACUCCUUCAGCUUAACCUUCAAAACUUUUAUUUUUUCAGCCAAAAUAAAGCUUGUUGAUCCAUUGAAACUAACCCCCUCCCACCAAGACUUCAUAAGCUCCUUAACACCUUCCAUUUUCAACCACAUGUUUUCAAAUCUAAAAGGGGAAGGGCCUCUUCUCCCACCCCCUACAUCCAGCAGAAUGGGGAAAUGAUCAGAAACUGGCCUUGGAAGGACACACUGCCUCACAUCACCAAAGUGGUUUUCCCAACCCUCAUUAAACAAGAACCUAUCCAGCCUUGAGAAUGUCUGAUUAUUCACCCCUCCGUUCCAAGUAAAAGGGCCGAUUAGGGAAGUUAUAGCAACAUAUUUUUGUAAUUUAGGAGGAAUUUGGACAAUCCCAUAAUCAAGGGGAUCUAAUGUAAUUAGCUUAGAAAGGUUCCUAUUUUUGGUACCAGGAAUAAUUGUAUAAAUAUGUAGGCCUGUAUAGAAUGAAAUCAAGGAAAAGAUCAUUCUCUAUAGUCCUUCAAUUCUUUGGAUUCUUCGGUAUUUAAUACCAAAGUCAAGACAUACCAAAGAGCCAUGGUGGCAACUCCAUGAAAAGCCUCCAAAUAUUUUUAUAAUAGAAAAUCGAGGCUAAGGAAAAAACCAAGGGUAUAAACUUCAAGCUAAUAUUGCUAACACUGAUGAAAAACCACCAUACACUAACAUCCACCGAGAGAGAGAAUUGAAUAGAGAAGAUAUUAAAAAAUUAAAGCAUUUUCAAACAUGACUUGAUAAGCUAGGGAGACACGUUUUUCUUAGACAUUUCUUGGCCAAAAUGUCUUAAAAGAACAGUUUUCAAGCCCCUUGGUCAUCGAUUCAUGAGCUUCAAACCAUAUGACCAAUUCUUCGAGUUGCUUCCUAACCUUCAGUUCAUGCCUAAGAAAAAAAAAAUUAAACUAGCAGACGGAACAUUUAUCACAUAGUUGGUCAAGGAAAUAUCUCUUUGGCUAAAGAUAUCAUCCUUGAAAAUGUUCUACAUGCUCUAAAGCUUUUUGUUAACCUAUUUUCUAUUUCUAAAAUCAGCAAAACUCUGAUUGAUUAUGUGAAUUUCUCACCUUCUAAGUUAGUUUUUUAGUAACUUCGUAUGAGGAAGAUGAUUGGACAUGCUAGAGAGAAGGAUGGACUAUACCCACUUGAAGGUGAAAGUGGAACAAUAUGCUCAAGUCAUCUCCUAUUUAUCUAAAAGUUCCAACUUUAAUAAAACUAAAGUUUGGUUACUGCAUCUUCAAUUUGGUCAUCCACCAUUUAGGUUAUUAAAAAAAAAUGUUUCCUAGUUUGUUUGAAAAAUUAGAUAUUCAGAAUUUUCAUUAUGACAUUUGUGAACUUUCUAAGCACCAUCAAGUAUCUUUUCCUUUGAGUAAUAAAUUUAAUUUUAUUCCUUUCAUUUUAAUUCACACUCAUGUUUGUGGACCUAUAAAUGUCCAAAGUAUUUUUGGGGUAAAGUGAUUCGAAUGUUUUAUUGAUGAUCAUACAAGAGUUACCUAGGUCUAUCUUAUAAAACAAAGGUUCGAUGUUAGUACUAUAUUUCCUUUUUUCAUAAAAUGAUAGGCAUCCGAUUUAACUCAAAAAUCCAAACAAUGAUGGAGAGAAUGCUUUCAAUAUCUUUCAUGACACUUACAAAAAUAAGGCAUUUUUCACCAAUCUUCUUGCACCAAAAAUAAGACAUUUGAUGGAAAUUACUAGAGCCUUGAUUUUUGAAAUGAUUGUUCCCAAAACCUACUAAGGGGAAGUUAUCCUUACUACUACUAAUCUUAUUAAUAGAUUACCCUUUUGAGUUCUUAACUUUCAAUUACCUACGAGUCAACUUUGCAAGCUAUACCUCCAAUUUGACAGCUAUAUACUCAUAUAACUACCUAAAUGUUUGGUUAUGCAGCCUUUGUUUAUACGCAUGCUCAUCAAAGAACAAAACUUGAUCCUAGAACUCUUAGGUGUGUAUGUUUUGGCUAUUCUCCAUCAAGAAAGGAAUAUAUAUUCUAUGAUCAGACUUCCAAAAAAUUUUUUGCAUCUAUGGAUGUUAUCUUUCAUGAAAGUCAACCAUUUUCUCUUCAACCUUAUCUUUAAGGGGAGCCAUUUGUUGAAGAUAAGGAAUUUUUUCCAAGUUUGUUUGUCAUACACUAAAACUGCUUUUGAAUGUGACCCUGGACUAAUGCAUGUUCUUUUCCUAAGCUCUCCAAGUCAUUCCCUAAGUCAUCCUCAAGACUCACUUGAGCCUACUGACUUUGAACCUAUGGUUCCUCAAUUCAUUAUUCCUAAUUCUAUCAUUCAAAAAAGAGAGGGUAGAGAUAUGCUACACCACUCAAGAUUUACUCUAAAAGAAUACAAUCUGUUCCUAAGCCUUUGAGUGCUACUCCAAUUAAUCGUCCAAUUAUCAAGGUACUAAAACUCAACUAGAGUCCAAUUCCAAUGCGUUGCAUAAUCUUCCUUCACAUGUUGUUAGAAAAGGCAAGAGACAUUUUACUCAACCCCCUUUGACUAACUUUGUUUCACUUGAUAACCCUUUUGCAUCACAGAGAGCGUUUGUUACCUAACUUGAUUCCAUUGACAAACAAAAUUGUUCAAAGAGGCAUUAAGGUAUGACAACUAAAGGAAGACAAUGCAAGAGGAGAUGAGUUCCUUGAAAAAAUAUUUAUAAUAAUUAGGAGAUUGUGCAUCUUUGUGUUGGGAAGAAAAAUGUCAGGUGUAAGUAGGUGUUUAUAAAUAGGACAGAUGAUAUACUUGAAAGGUAUAAGGCAAGAUUGGUAGCCAAGGGAUAUAGUCAAAUUUAUGGUAUAGCUUACCAAGAAACCUUUCUUCAACACCAAAGAUGAAUACUAUUCAUAUAUUGUUACUCCUUGCUAUCAACUUUGAUUGGCUCUUGUAGCAGCUUGAUGUAAAGAAUGCAUUCCUCUGUGGGAAUUCAGAGAAGGUUUAUAUGAAGAUACUACUUAGUCUACAAGAAAAUUUCAAGGGGAAUAAGGUGUGUCAAUUGAAAGGGCUAUGUAUGGGCUUAAACAGUAGACCUGAAUUUUGUUUGGAAGGUUUGCUAAGGCAAUGAAGAACAUGAAUUAUAUUCAAAUCUAAGGGAUCAUACACUAUUUGUUAAACACUCUGGAAAUAGGAAAGUAGUUGCUCUCAUUGUGUUUGUUGAUGAUAUUGUAUGAUAGGAGAUGAUUUAGAAGAACUAAAGAGAUUAAAGAGAAAUUGGAAAAAGAUUUUGAAAUUAAACAUUUGGGAAGGCUUAAAUACUUUCUAAGGAUUAUAGUUGUUCCAUUACAAGGAGGGAAUUGUGAUUUCAUAACAAAAGUACAUUUUAGAUUACCUUAGAUAAACCAAACUUUUGGAGUGCAAGUCGACAAAUACAAUCAUUGAGGUUGGUCACAAACUUAAUGAAGCACUAAAUGGUCCUUCAGUGUUGAGAGAGAGGAAUCAACGUUUGGUAAAUUAAUUUAGCCAUCACAUACUAGAUCCAAUAUAGCAUAUGUUAUUAGUGUGGUGAACCAAUUUAUGCACAAUCUUAAGGAGGAACACUUGGAGUCAACUCCUCGUAGUCGUAUUUUGUUUUAGAAAUUGGAAGGAUGACCAUUGAGGUAUAUACAAAUGCUAAUUGGACAAGAUCAAUCAUGGACAAAAGGUCAACAUUUGGCUAUUGUACUUUCUCGAGAGGGAAUUUGAUAACUUGGAGGAGUAAAAAACAUUCCAUGGUUGUUAGGACAAGUUCCAAAAUGGAGUUUUGAGCCAUGGCACAUGGACUAGGUGAGUUUCUUUGGAUAAAAAUUAUUCUUUGUGAUCUUCAAGUAAGUUUGGAUGGGAACCAAUUAAAUCUUAACUUAACCAAGCCCACUCAAGGAAAACUCCACACUAGAUGCAACUUUUACCUACCUUACUUGCCAUACAGAUGAAGCUUCAAUCAAGCCAUAUAAUUCCCAUAAAAACUACAAAAGUAAAAGCCUAAAUACAAGAAUAAAAAUAAAAUCAACAAUCUCCCCAAUCAUCCAUUAUCCUAAAAAAUCUUAGCAUUCCUUUAUUGCCAAAAUAUCUUAAUCAAAGUGAUGCAAACCACACAACAUAUACUUUAUACUUUACAUCUACCUCUAAGGGAAAAACUCCUAAAAGUGAUUAUCAACAUAGAAAUCAUACUUUUGAGAGAAACCUAAUCUAUCUCAACUUGCUUGAACAAGCUAUGCAUAAGCACCAAAACCAUCCAACAAUGAAAAAAAUUUAAAGUUAUCAAAAAUUCCUUGAGCAUAUAACACAAUAUCUAAAACUAAGAGCUUUCAACAAACUCCCUACCUAUACCAAAUAAUUAAUAUUGGCCACCAUCAUGCAAAUGCCUUAACGUUAUGUGGGGAUUUAGAUUUCCAAACUAAAGUAAUUGGAAGAAAAGGAGAUGGAUUCAUAGAUUUAGAGAUUUGAUAAGAAAGAUUUUAUAGAGAAUAAGCCUAAGGAGGUCAACUAUAAAUACUCUUAUUUUGGAAAGAAGAUGACAAACACACAUCGAUAAAGAGGACAUGGGAUUUUUUGUAUUUUCAAUUCCUAGAUAGUUUACAACAAACAUUAAAGUUCAAUGUGUAGUGUACCAGUUGUGACUGGCAAUUUCAUGCCCAGUUCUGCCAGUUGUGAAUUUUUCAAAUUUCACUAGAGUCCAUGAAAGCAUACUUCAAUGCCUUAGCAUGGGAUGUUCAAGUCUCAUUAACCCAUGGCUAAAUUGGAAGCUUGCCCUAAAGAAACUUGAAGAACAAGUAUAAGGUUUUGAAAAAACAAAUCAAAGCAUUCAUGAAAGAUUGAAUCUGCUAUUCAAAGGUGUUUGAAGGUUGCUGAAGAUGAUAAGUUCAAAAGUGGAUUCAUGAUCAUAGUAGUUUUAGUUAGUCUUGGCAGAAGAUCGCAUAGAGUGACAUGUCAUCAGUUUUUCUCUAAGUGAGGUUUUUGUUUCGGUGUUCUUUAAGUGGUUGAACAAGCUUUGUUGUAUGUGAGAGACUGUAAGGAUGAGAAAGCCAACCUCUAAGUCAUGUGAGAAUCACACUGAUCAAAAAAAGUCAUGUGAGAAUCAUUAAAGACUUUAAGAUAAUGACAUGCCAGUUUGAUCAUAACCAUGUUGCAUUGGAAGCUUAUAAUGAAGCAUAUUGUGACAAGAUAAUAGAUGAAGGGCACUGAAAAAGCUAUUGAAGUUAAAGCUGAUUUUGAGCCCUUUUUCCUUUUCUGAUGGAAUUAUAAAACUUAAAACUGUGCCAAAACGUAGUAGACUCCAUAAGAAAAACAAUGUAAAAAGAGUGGACCCUAAUCAGAUAAGAAACAACCAAGAUAUGAAGCUUACAAGUAGGCAAAAACAGAGGAGAGUUAUGUCUGGAAGAAUCUGAUGGAACUAAGCAGAAUUCCACCCUCAUUGAUCAGAAUGGAACAGAAAAGGUGAAUUGUGGGUGUGCUAAGGGAAUUUUUCCCUAACCCAACAGAAUUCCGCCCUCAAUGUGCAGAAUAGACAAGGAGCAGGCAUGGUUCAGCAAACCAAAUCUUACCCAGUAAAAUUCAGUCCUCAACAAGCAGACCUCACCCUCACUGUGCGAAAUUUCUAGGAACAUUAUUUUGCACAUAUUGCUAUUUCACCCAAGAGGAAUGCCCACCCUCAUCGAGCAGUUUGACCAAUUUAGUAGGAAACAUAGAUCUUUUUGGAAAGUCAUGUUGCUGUUGUUUGUGAUUCAAUCUCUUUGUAUUUUCCAAACUAUCUCCUUCCAUUGGUGGUCCUGACUUUUUUGAAGGCUUUGGGUGCUAAGCUUGACAUGGGUGGACUCAGUUUUGAUUUGGAAACAUUACUAAAACUGUACUAAACUACGCUCAAUACUAUAUUGGAGGUUCAUCAAAAUAAAGAUCCCUUAGUAUGUUGGAAAGAAUAGAUUGUGAUGAGUCUUGAAAUUAGUUUGGAACUUGGUUGUUCAAUGAAAAGGCUCUUUAGUUUAAGAUCUUUAAUUGGGUAACAUUCCCAAAUUAAAUCCAACCAAGUUUUGAUCAUAUUGCAUAGGCUUUACUUAAACAAUAAACUCUAAACUACCACAUGUAAAUUCCCAUAAUGAUGGUGUUCUUCCAAAAUCAAACUUUGCUCAGCAUCUUUGACUAGCCAACCAUUAAAAGGUAUGGUUAAAAGAUCAUCAAUUCCUAUUAACGAGGAAGGGGCAGGGACGUGGUCUAGGUCAUGUGACUACUUUAUGGAAACAAUUUAAUAAGACUUCCGAUAUUUAAAAAAGGAUAUUUGAGAUUAAAAACAAUUAGGAAAGAAUUUAUAAUCAAACCCAUUGGUUGAUGGAUAUAAAAUGACUCUUAGAAAAAAAUUGUAGAGAAUCUCGGAUAAUUCCUAUUCUCUGAAUAAGAACAAAAUUCAAGAUUUGGUUUAUUUUCUAAAUAUGGGAGAUUGUGUUACUCAUUGCUACCUGUAAUAUUACAGGUAGUUUGAUAUCCUAAAGUACAGUCAGUGUGAAUCUCCUCAAAUAAAGGAUUGUGGUUACAAAACCUAGCCUAUAAAUCUACCUGUAUAACAAAAAGCAAUCUCCACUUUGUGGUCUGCCCUUUUCUGCAGUGUUUUUCCUUUACUGAUUUAUUUUUUUCUAUUUUAUUUCCUUUGUUUCCUGCCUAGUUUCAUGGUAUCAGAGUUGGUGUCAAUUGAGACAAAAAGAUGUAUAGAACAGCCUUAACUGGUGAAGGGCAAGGAUGCUGGUUUUAAGGUCUCUUCAGAAGUCUCUCAGCCCAUCCCUACAAGUUCAUCCACUACAGCCUCCUUUCCAACCUUUUUUGAAAAUUCUCCCUUCAAAUCGCAACCACGAAACUGCAUAAUUAAAAUUUCCUUCAAUGGUCUCAGUCUGCUCUAAUGGUGAUAAGAGGACAAGGUUGUCUUGGUUAUGUGGAUGGUUCAAUAAAAAAACCUGAUCCAGGAGAUCUCUCUUUUAAAACAUGGGAUGCACAAAACUCUAUGGUUAUGCCGUGGAUUAUGAACUCAAUCAAUAUUAUUCCACUGCUAAGGAGAUGUGGGAUGCAUUAACUCUAGCAUACUUGGACUUGGAAAACUCAGCACAACUUUUUGAACUUCAAAAUAGAGCUUGUGAUUUGAAACAAGGGGAGCUGGAUGUUGCCCAAUAUUUCAAUGCCUUGACUCGCUUGUGGCAGGACAUCAAUCUUUAUGUCCAAAUUCCAUGGUCAAAUCCUGGAGAUGCUGAACUAUAUAAAAAGCAGGUUCAAAAAGAAUGAGUCUAUGAUUUUUUGGCAAGAUUAAAUCCCAAUCUUGAUGAAGUUAGGGGCCGACUUCUGGGAAUCAAGCCUCUCGCAUUGAUUACUGAAAUAUUUGCUAAAGUUCAAAGAGAGGCGAGCUGAAAACAGGUUAUGAUGAGCGGAUCAAAACCAUCAUUGCCUGAAGUUUCAGCCCUAACAAUUCCUGGUCAAGAAUCCCCUAAAAAUUCAAAAAGAAACAAUCUUUGGUGUGAUUUCUGCAAGAAAACAAAUCACACCAAAGAUCGUUGCUGGAAGUUACAUGGUAAGCUAAAAUUCAAAGAAUAGUAGGGUUGGAAAUCAAGAUCCUUCUAGUUUUCAGAUUUCAGCUUAGAUCUCUAACCAAUCGGGUCCUAGCUCGAAGCAGAAUCUUUUUGGAGAAGGUACACAGUUCUCGCUUACCAAAGAGCAAAUGGAGCAACCGUACAAGCUACUCAAACCAUUUGCGACACCAAUACUUCAUUACUAGCACAUAAAGGUAAUUUUUUCUCAACUCUUAGCAGUUGCAACAAUGAUUUGGAACCAUGGGUGAUUGACUUUGGAGCCAUAGAUCACAUGACAGACUACAAGAAAUUAUUCUCGCCAUACAAUCCUAGUUCAGGAUAUUUCAAGGUUAAAAUAGCAUAUGGAUCUCUUUCAACAAUGGCAAGAACUGGAACUAAUAGAAUUAGUCCUAAUAUAGAAUUGCACUUUGUGUUGCAUGUUCCAAAUUUGUCUUGCAACCUUCUCUCUAUUACUAAGCUGACAAGAGAUUUAAAGUGUGGUGCUCAUUUCUUUAAGUCUUCUCAUGUGUUUCAAGACCUGACUUCGGGGAUGAAGAUUGGCAACGCUAGAAAACGUUAGGGGUUAUACUAUUUUGAUAAGAAAGUCAAAUUAAAUAAACAAGCUCAAACUACAAGUUGUAAGUCUCUUUCUAGAGAACAAAAAAUAAUGUUAUGGCAUCGUAGACCAGGCCACCCAAGUUUUUCAUAUUUACAAGCUUUGUUUCCAUCACUAUUUCAUACUGGAGAUUUCUUUAAUGUGAAAUUUGUCACUUAGCCAAGCAUGUUUGUUCCACUUAUCCUCAAAAAAUACAAUGCUCCACCACCUUUUUCAUUAGUCCAUAGUCAUAUUUGAGGCCCUUCAUGAGUUAAAUAUUUAAUAGAAGAAAGAUGGUUUAUCACAUUUAUUAAAGAUCACACUCAAGUUUGUUGGGUAUAUCUUUGGAAAGAAAAAUCAGAAGUAGAGCAAGUGUUCAAAUCUUUUUAUGCUAUGAUUAACACCCAAUACAAUGCAAACAUUAAAAUUCUAAAACAGACAACGAAAAAGAAUAUUUUAAAUCUAUUCUAGGAAUCUUUCUCUCUAAGAAAGGCAUUAUUCAUCAAAGCUCCUGCAUUAUAACCCCACAACAAAUGGCUUUGCAAGGGGGGGUGGCUUCUUGGAGUGGAGGAAGGAAUAAUCAAGCUUGGCCUAGACUGGACCGGUUUCUAGUGACCCAAGAAUGGCUUGACUGCUUCAGUGGGGUUAUUCAGUGUAGGCUUCCUAGACCCACCUCUGACCAUUUUCCCAUUCUACUGAAAGGUGGAGGGUUCAGAAAGGGCCCUUCCCCGUUUAGGUUCGAAAAUAUGUGGCUCAAAGUUGAUGGGUUUAAGGAGCUUCUUCGGGGUUGGUGGGAGGAGGCGGGGGGGAGGGGGAGGGCCAGCUUUAGAUUGGCUACAAAGUUGAAGGUUAUGAAGGAUAAAAUCAAAGCUUGGAAAAGGGAUGUGUUUGGUAGGUUGGAAGUCAACAAAAACUUAGCUCUGCAACAAGUAGAAUUUUGGGAUAGGGUGGAGAGUGAUAGGAGCCUAUCUAAAAGAGAGACAGAGCUGAAAAAAGAAGCUAAGGAUGUCUUCAAAAAACGGGUGCUCUUGGAAGAAACGCAUUGGAGACAAUUGUCUAGGGAGUUGUGCCUUAGGGAAGAAGAUAAGAACACUGGGUUCUUUCACCGGAUGGCUAAUGCCCAUAGAAGAAAUAAUUCCAUGGAAAAGAUUAAAAUUAAUGGGAGGUGGCUGGAGGAGGAGCAGGAGGUGAGAGAGGGGGUUGUGGAUGCUUUUUAGCAACUAUUGUCAGAGAAGCAUUCUUGGAAAACUGAUAUUGAAGGGCUGCAACUUCAAAGGUUAAACCAUGUUGAAGCUGAAGGUUUGGAACAGCCAUUCACUGAGGAAGAGAUUCAUGCGGCUCUGAUGGGGAUGAAUGGAGAUAAGGCUCCAGACCCGAAUGGAUUCACAAUGGCCUUUUGGCAAUCUUAUUGGGAUUUCGUGAAAGAGGAGAUUAUGGAUUUGUUCAAGGAGUUUUUUGAUGAGAAGUCGUUUGCUAAGAGUCUCAAUUCUACUUUCCUAGUCCUCAUUCCUAAGAAAGGGGGGGUUGAGGAUCUGGGGGAUUUCAGGCCCAUUAGUCUGCUUGGGGGAUUGUAUAAGCUCUUGGCCAAAGUGUUAGCCAAUAGACUUAAGGAGGUUUUAGACAAGGUGGUUUCGGUGGACCAAAAUGCUUUUGUGAAGGGAAGACAAAUUUUAGAUGCCUCGCUCAUAGCCAAUGAGGUGAUUGACUAUUGGCUUAAACGUAAAGAGAAAGGGUUGAUUUGUAAAUUAGAUAUUGAAAAAGCCUAUGAUAGCAUUAAUUGGAAUUUCCUCAUGAAGGUCAUGCACAAGAUGGGGUUUAGGGUCCGGUGGAUGGAGUGGAUAUGGUGGUGUAUUUCAACUGCAAGUUUCUCUAUUCUAGUUAAUGGGGUGCCAGUAGGUUAUUUUUCCAAUUCCAGGGGGUUACGCCAAGGAGAUCCACUCUCCCCCUAUCUCUUUGUGUUGGGUAUGGAAGUGCUAAGUGCGCUCUUAAGAAGGGCUGUUGAUGGGGGUUUUAUUUCAGGUUGUAGGCUUCGAGGGAGGGGGCGAAUGGAGAUGAAUGUUUCCCACUUAUUAUUUGCUGAUGACACUAUUAUCUUUUGUAAAGCAAGGCAAGAUCACCAUAUCUAUCUAAGCUGGAUUUUGGCAUGGUUUGAGGCAGCCACUGGUCUUAAAAUUAACCUAGCUAAAAGUGAAGUAAUUCCAGUUGGGGAGGUUGAAGACAUUGAUGAGUUGGCUAUGGAGAUAGGGUGUAAAGUGGGGGCCCUUCCUUCUGUUUAUCUGGGGCUGCCCCUGGGAGCCAAUCACAAGACCACGGCUAUGUGGGACGGGGUUGAAGUAAGAAUGAGAAGAAGGCUUGCCCUUUGGAAAAGACAAUAUUUGUCAAAGGGCGGGAGGAUUACCCUCAUCAAAAGCACUCUGGCCAGCAUACCUAUUUACCAAUUGUCACUUUUUCGUAUGCCCAAGCUUGUUGCAAAAAGGCUCGAAAAAUUACAAAGGGAUUUUCUUUGGGGAGGGGGAAGACUGGAAAGAAAAAUUCAUCUAAUCAAUUGAGAGGUGGUGUGCACCCAAAAAGAGAGAGGGGGUCUAGGUAUUCGGAAAAUUGAUUUCUUGAAUAAGGCCUUGUUGGGCAAAUGGAUUUGGAGAUUCGCCUUUGAGAAAGAAAUCCUUUGGAGGAAGGUGAUAGGGGUGAAGUAUGGCCAUGUGGGUUUUGGUUGGAGAACAAAGGAGGCUCGCGGAACGUUUGGGGUGGGGGUUUGGAAGGAUAUCUUGAAGGAGUCGUAUUGGUGUUGGGAUAAUAUAGAGUUCAAAGUGGGAAAGGGGACCAAGGUUAACUUCUGGACUGACCAGUGGUGCGGCAAUGAGGCGUUGUCCCAAGCUUUUCCCCAGUUGUUUGCUUUGGCGGUCCAAAGGAAUGCCUCGGUAAAUGAGAUGUGGGAUUCUAGCCUUGGUCAAGGAGGUUGGAACAUAAGACUUUUUAGAAACUCUAAUGAUUGGGAGCUGGACGCUCUAGGAGAGCUGUUUCAUACGCUAAGGGAUUUGAGGAUUUCUCCUGAAGAGGACUCAGUGAUAUGGAAAGGAAGGGGACACGACCUUUUUCAGAUUAGAGAUGCUUACAAGUUGUUGACAGACCCUAAUGUCAUUACCUUCCCGAAAAAGAGCAUUUGGGUGGACAAGGUCCCAACCAAAGUUGCUUUUUUCGCUUAGGAGGCUACUUGGGAGAAGGUCCUAACCUUGGACAGGCUUCAAAUACGGGGCUGGCAUCUUCCAAAUCGGUGUUUUUUGUGUGGUUGUGAAGAGGAAAAUGUAAAUCAUAUUCUUUUACACUGUAUAGUUGUAAGGGCUUUCUGGGAGAUUGUCUUGGCCUUGUUUGGGGCUAAUUAGGUGUUCCCUGAGACAGUCAAAGAGAUGUUAGUUAGUCGGAGGGGCCCUUUUGUGGGGAGAAAGAGGAAAAUGAUUUGGACUUCCAUUCCGUUGUGUAUUUUUUGGACGGUAUGGAAUGAGAGAAAUAGAUUAGCUUUCAGGGGGGGCUCUCUAGCUAUUCAGAAGUUAAAAAAUUCUUUUGUUUGCAACUUGUGGAGUUGGGCUAGGGUGUAUAUGAGAGAGGAGUCCUCUUCGCUUUUAGGUUUUUUGGAAUGGCUUGUCGUUCCCUAAGGGGUGAUGAGUGUUUGUUCUCUUGUCUUUGCUUAGGCUACUAUGUAUACUUCCUGUAUGCUUUGUGGCUUUUUGCCUAGUAAUAUAUUUGCACUCACUUAUCUAAAAAACAAAUGGCAUUAAUGACAGAAAGAAUCACCACCUUCUAGAAAUAACUAGAGCCAUUAUGUUCACAAAUAAUGUACCAAAAUACCUCUAGGGGGAUGUUGUUCUUACUGCCUAUUAUCUAAUAAAUAGAAUGUCAAACCAGGUUCUCAAUUAUGAAACACUAUUAACUUGUUUUCUCAAAGCCUAUCCUCACAACCGAUCUAUCUCUUCACUUCCAUUAAGAGUCUUUGGUUGUACUUCCUUUGUACACAUCCACGGUAAUGAUAGGAGUGAACUUGACCCUAAAGCUCAAAAAUGUAUUUUCUUAGGAUACUCUCCCACAUAAAAAGGGCACAAAUGUUACUCACCAGAAGCACGCAAAUAUUACACUUUUAUGGAUGUGACAUUCUUUGAAAACCAACCUUUUUUCACUAAAAACUUCUCUCAAGGGGAGAGUGUUAGUGAGGACAGAAAUAUUUGGGAUGUCGUUGCUCCUAUAUUUGCACUACCACUUGAGCCUAAACAACCACAAACACCUAAGCUUGAACAGCCACAAACACUACCACCUAACCCUAAACAGCCGCAAACACCCUCUCCUAAACCUACUAUGACCAUAAACAAGGGUUCAAUGAUAGAGGGAGACCUGUAACUCCAAUCUCCCAAGCCAAUUGUUUAUUCAAGACGGAAGAAUACUCAAAAAGUGGAACACCUAAAAAAUCUCUUGCAAAACCAUGAAUUUGAACCAAUAUUAGGUACUCAAACUUCUAACCCACGUGUUACUUCCGAAGAUGAUGAUCUUACUGUACCUAUAACUCUCAGGCAAGGAACCCGAUCUUGUACCCAACACUCAAUCUCCAAGUUUGUAGUUUACAGUCACUUGUCAUCAUUCAUUCAAGUUCUUGUAACUAAUCUAGCAGUAGUGGAAGUUUUGAAAACUAUACAGGAAGCUUUAACAAUACUAGAAUGAAGAAACACAAUAAGAGAAGAAAUGUCAGCUCUAGAGAAAAAUUGAACUUGGGAUGUUGUGAAGAUGCCAAGGAAAAAAUCUCUUAUUGGCAAUAAGUGGGUCUUUAUCAUCAAAUAUAAGUUAGAAGGAUCUAUUGAGCACUAUAAAGUGAGGUUAGUGGCAAAAGGUUUUCCGUUGACCUAUGGAGUUGACUAUCAGGAGACAUUUGCACCAGUGGCAAAACUAAACACUAUUCGAGUACUCCUAUCCACUGGAGACCCCAGUAACUUGGUGUCAAAAAUGCAUUCCUGAAUGAUGAGUCGAAGGAGGAAGUUUAUAUGGAUCUACCAGAAAGAUUUGAUAGGGCCAGAAUUCAAGGAAAGGUCUACAAGCUCAUAAAAUCUCUUUAUGGAUUGAAACAAUCCCCACAAGCUUGGUUUGGCAGACUAACGAAGGCUAUUCGUCAGCAAGGGUACUAACAAGCUCAAUUCGAUCACACUUUAUUCUAUAGACGUAAAAAGGGUAAGAUUUUGAUUCUCAUAGUCUAUGUUGAUGAUAUAAAUUUGACCGAAUGAUGAUAUUACAGAGACGGAAAGACUCAAAAAUACUCUUGCAACAGAAUUUGAGAUUAAAGAUCUAGGCUCAUUGAUAUAUUUUCUUGGUACGAAAGUAGCAAGAAAUAGAAGUGGUAUUUCAGUCUCUCAAAGGGAGUACGUCAUAGGCCUCUUGGAGGAGACAAGGAUGUUAGGGUGUAAGCCUACAGAUACACCUAUAAAUCCUAAUUUGAAACUAGGAGAAUAAUUUAGAAGUACACCAGUUAAUAAAGGUUGAUACCAAAUGCCUAGUAGGAAAGCUUAUCUAUCUUUCACUUUUGGUAUGAAUGCAAAUGUAAUUUCAUUUUAUCCAACUAAUACAUUUUUUUUUUUUGUCAUGAUACAAACUUACAGGAAAUCCAUUUUUCAAUAAUCCCUUGUGGUUCAUAAAUUUGUACAUCAAGCCACCCAACAUGUUCAUGUGGGGGGUGUUUGGUUAUCAAGCUCAUGUGCCUUUCUUGCUUUAAAGUAUUACAACCGUAUUAGAAAAAAAGAACCAAAGUUAUGAAAGCAUAAUAAACAGUGUACCAAUAAAGGAAAGUAAAAAAAGGUCAUCAUAAGAACUUCUCAUCAACAUAUAUUGAAACAUAACAAAUCACAUCCUAUGAUACCUAUAUCAAUUCAUCUUUUACCCUUUCUCCCAGCCACUAUAAUGCAUGCAUUGCCUAGUGCAUGAGGGACAUAAGCAAUAAGUGAGAGAGAGCGAGAGAGAUUGUCUGAAAGCAUAAGUUUCCCCGUAGAUUACAGGAUUUCAAAAUCUCCAGUGAGUUAUUUCCAUUACCAUGAAGACACCAUUUGAAUCUUAUCAUGUCAACAUAAAGGCAAAAUGGUUGGGACAUCUGUAAAUAAUAAGUCUCAUUUAAUAUCUCUUUUCUGGAUGGAUGCGUGUCUCAUUUAGUGAAUCAAAUAACUAAAAAUCAGCUGCAUCAUAUGAUUAAACCUGUAUGAAAUAAAAUCCUAGAACACUGUAAAAUCAUGAGAAUGGUAAUGAAUAGGGUGAAAAUCGAAUAAUAACUCUUUGUCUAAUCAGGAUCAGCCUUACUAGAACAAACAUGAUCCCUUAGACGAUUGGUCAUGAUCUUAGUUUGCCAAACAUCAGGAAGACUCAUGGAAUCACAAAUUUGUUAACCCUUAGUGAAGCAGCUAACCUCAAAAGAAGGGGAAAGAAAACAGGAAAGGAAAAAUAAAAAAGGCAAUGAAAGGGAGAUGAAAAAAGGUUCUCUUAUUUCCCUAUACAUAUAUAGGCAAUCAUUUCAGACUGGCAGGCAAAAUCUAUAAUUUUUCUGUUGCAAGGAGUCACAUAUACAUACCUGUACCAGUCUUUUCCUUGCUUCCAACAUUUCCCUUUCUUCCCUUGCCGUGAUAAUUUUGAAAGAUAAUAUUCUAUCAGAUCUAGAGUUGAUAAGCUCUGACUAAAAACCAGAGCCUUAUCACCCACAUCAGCACACAUGGUUAGGAUAUCAAGCAGCAAAACCAUUUUGCCACUGUAAUCAACCUCUUUAUAAUUAUUUUCAUGGAGAAGAUCAUUCCACCAACCCUGGACAGGGAUAAAUAAUGGGAGUUACACAGAGCAAAAACAAGAAAAACAACACAUGAAUAAACGAAUCACACUUGAGUUAUAUGUUUACAGAUUUCUGCAUCUAUAUGGAUGAAGAAUGUAUAUUUUAAUGAUUCACUUGAGAAGGCACAAACCUAGGGUACACAUCUCACUAGAUAAAACUCAUAGAAAACAAUAUGUCAAAUGAAGUUCUAAUAAGGCAAUUGAAGAUUGACAGCUAAACAGAAAAUUUUGCUCAAACCUUCUGAUAUAAGCCACUAUCGACUUUUCCUUGUUGAAUCUCAUUCUUGUUCCUCACCUUCUCUGCUAAGAGCAUGAAAACAUAGCGAUUACCCAACUGCAUCAUUAGAAAAAUCUAACACUUUAACAAACAAACAAACAAACAAACAAACACACACAAACAAUUCAACAUAAGCAUGCCUGAAGAACACAAUUGAAUGAAUUGCUCCAGGUGCCCUAAAUGCCAAUUUCAGCAUCAGUAUUUUUUUAUUUUUUUUUUGAUAAAUGAAACACCAAAUUCAUUAAAAAAAAUAAAAAUAAAUAAAAAAAAACGUCUCAAGGAUGCCACAAAGUACACAGAGAGUAUGCAAAAAGCGCCUAAAACACAGAAACUGGAAAAGAACCCCAACAACAACUCCCUCCCUUAACCAGGACCCAACCACUCAAUAAAAUCAAAAAAAGACAAAGAAUCUAUCUCUAAGUACUGUUUUACCCACUAGAACAAAUUCCUAAGAGAGAACAUCAAAAAAAAAAAGAGCAGAAUGCUCCUCAUUAUCAAAUGCUCGGAGAUUUCUUUCUUCCAGACCGUCCAAAAAAUACAUAAAGGAGUUGCUCUCCAAACCUUUUUUCUCUAUUUGCCCACAAACAAGCUAUGUCACCCUAAUAAAGCCUCCUUAACUAUAGGAAAUUACACCCAAUGGAUACCAAAAAGAUCAAACAACAACUUCUAGAGAAUCCUAACCAAUGAACAAUGAAGGAGAACGUGAUCUAUGGAUUCUUCAUCAUCUUUGCAAAGAAAACACCUAUUGACCAAAGACCAUCUGCGUUUCUAAAGUUGAUCUAAUGUCAGAACUUUUCUCCACGGAGCCUCCCAAGCAAAAAAGUUAGGUUUAGAAGGGACCCAAGAAUUCCAAACUACCUGUGUUGGAAAAGAAUCAACAACCUUUGAUCCAAGUCAGUUUAAAAUUGCUUAACAAAUAACUUAUUAAUAUUUAAAUUCAGUCACACCAUCUUAUUUUCCCCCUCUCUAUCAAUUGCCAAAUCAUGCAACCACAAAAAUAAAUCCACAACUUCAUCCACCUCCCAAUCAUUCAAAGGUCAAGAAAAACAAGCGUUCCAACGCCCUCUCUCCCCCAACUAAACCCAAACAUCCACCACCACCCAAGCAUCUUUUGAUACAGCUAAGGCAAAUAAAGAGAGGAAGGAAGCACACAACAGUUCAUCACCACACCACUUAUCCAUCCAAAGCUUCACCCUUCUCCCAUUACCCACCACAAAAAAAAAAAAAAAGAAAUUACCCAACAAAGUGCUUUGUUCCUUCAUAAUGGAUUUCCAAAAUCCAACUCCAUAGCCAUAUCUAACUUCACAAGACCACCACCCACCCUCUUCCUCUCCACAUUUGCUCCAAAUCACUCAUGUCCAAAAGGAACCUCUUUCCGUGGCAAACCUCCAAAUCCAUUUACAUAAAAGUGCCUUAUUUAACAAAGAAAGACGUUGAAUCCCUAACCCACCCUUAUUCUUCUCAAAACACACAGCAGACCACUUCACCAGAUGUAUGUUCUUCACCAACCCUCCACCUUCCCAAAGGAAAUCCCACUGAAUUUUCUCUGACCGCAAUUUGACUUUACUCAAAAUAUGGAAUAAAGACAAAAAUAUAUGAGAAUGCUAGAUAAAGUGCUCUUAAUAAGUGUAAGCCUCACCCCUUUAGAGAUGAACUGUCAUUUCCACAACAAAAGUCUUUUACGAAACUUCUCUUCCACCCCAUCACAUACUGCCACAGAUCUAAAAGGAGCUCCCAAAGGCACCCUAAAUAGGUAAAAGGAAGUGUGCCAACUUUAAACCCAGGCACUAAGAUCAACUCCUCAACUUGGUCCACACUACCAAGAGGAAUCAAUUUGCUUUUCUCCAAAUUCACUUUCAACCCGAACAAGCUCCAAACCACAUGAGCAACCAACAUAAAUGAACCAUUUGAUCUUGAGAGGCCUCACAAAAAACAAGACGAUCAUCAACUAAAAAACAAAUGGGACACCUCCAGCCCAUCACCUCCUCUCCCCCUUAUCUUUACCCACGAAAUAUAGCCACCUUCCAUAGAUCUUCAAAGAAAACAACUUUGAGCUUCCAUUGCUACAACAAAUAAAUAAGGAGAUAAAAGGGUCCCCUAGCUUCAAACCUUUAGAGCUCUGAAAGAAUCCUGUAGGAGAAUCAUUAACGAUCACAAAGAACAUGGCAGAAGAGAUACACCAUUUAAUCCAACCAACCCACCUCUGUCCAAAAUUCAUCUUCUCAAGGACAGACAACAAAAUCCAUCAGUAUUAUGCUCGGGACUGCUACAAUUUGGAAUUGCGGAAGGGAAAGAAAAAGGCAUAAAGAAGUUACAAGUAGAACAUACACAAAAAUCCAACACAAACAUUCAUAAAGAAGAUAAAGGAAUGAAUUGUCCAUGUUCCUUUAAUGCCAAUUUCAGCAUCAAUAUUAUGUUGGGGUAAACAACAAUUAUGAAGUGAGGAGGGGGGGAAAAAGGCACAUAGGAGAAGUUAAAUUUAGAAUUCAUCUUCAAGUAAAGGGGCCUCACUAUCUCCCAACACUCCAUAGCUAAUAUACAUCUCUCAAGCUUUCCUUAUUUUUUUUAAUUUUUUCUUUUUUUUGGGGGUGGGGGGGGGCUGUCUUUCUUUUCCUUCUUGAUAAGUGGUAUAUAUAUCUCUAAAGGUUAAUAGCUCUAUAGGGAUAGUUUUCAUCCUUUUUUAUGACAUGCCACAUGUUAAGAAAAAAUCACUAUUACAUAAUUCAGUCACAUAUUCCUCCUCCCUUUAUGAUGUGAUACAACAUUUGAAGCAAGUUAGAGGUUCCUUGGCACCUAGCAUAUGUUUAUGAAUUUCCCUAAACUGAAACAUAGAUUAAUAGGAUCAAUCCAUGCAUAAACUCAAUUCAUAAGCAGUUUUGGCAAAAUGAAGCCCAUAAAGGUCACUUUAGUAUACAGUGAUACACAUACACUAUUCUCAGGAAAAACGGAAAACAUCGGAAAAAUAUUACCUCCAAGAACAGUAUUGUAAUCUAUAUUAUCAUCACUAGAGCUGUCAUCUGCAAGAAAAUUCUCAACACCAUCUUCACGUCUUGCAUAGUCUUUUUCUUCUUUUGUCAAUUGCAAGAUCCCAGGAUGGUUCCAUAUCUAAAACAGACAAGUCAUAUAUUUUUAUUAAAAUAAUAAAUGCAUCAAAAUUAGAAAAAAAAAAAAAUCAAAAAAAAAAGGAAUUGCAUAUCCAAAUGAAUUCCUAUGAGAGAAAACAAUUUGCAGGUGCAUCAAAGAUGGCUUUUCACUGGCAUAAUGUUUGGUUAAAUUAGGAGUCCAAAACAAAUUUCCCUUUGGGGUCUUUAUUAGGUUAGAAGUUUUGGUUUAAUUAUAAGUUUAUAUUAUAUUAUAUUUUAUUAUAUUACAGACACACAAACACAAAUGCAUUAAAGAUAUUGAUGAAAGAAUGAAACAUAUAAAUAUAUGUAAAACAAUAUACAAUUAAAUAAUGUGCCAAUUCUGACAAAAUGUUCAAUUUAAUGAAAACUCCCUUUUUUGUUUUUCCUUUUCAAAGUCAUUGAGAUUUUGAUUGUGGUAAUAGAUAUCUCAACAAAAAACAAAGGACAUUUGUCUUAUGUUUGUUUUAUCUUUUACUCUCAUUCAUUCUUCAGCAGAUACCAAAUAAGAAUUUUCUUCUAAUAAAAUAUGACACAACAUUUUAUAUGGUUGAGGGCUACACAAUUAACUAUCUAAUGUGGCAAUAUUCUUAAAAAAAAUGCAAUUGAUACCAAAUUAUAGAAUUCAUAUGUGAAUAGAAUAAGAUACCAAAAAUAAUUUUAAAAAAGGUUCACAAAAUUAAAUUAGGAUUAAUUUCACUCACACCCCUAAGGUUUGAUAUAAAUACAUUUAGUCACCAUUGGUUUCAAAUUUCACCAGUUAGCACCCCAAUUGAUUUAUCCCAUUUAUAAAAUUUAUUUUUUUAGAGAAAUUUUAGAUAGAACAAUGUUAGAUAAGUGUGUUAAAUAAGAAUGGAAGAAAUCAAUAGGGGUGCUAACCAAUGAAAGUUGAAACUAAUUGUAGCUUAGUGUUAUUUGCACCAAGCCUCAAGGAUGUGAGGGAAAUUAACCUAAUUUAAUUAUAACAGAAUAAGAGAUCAAUAAAAGGAAAACUAAAAAUAGAUGGUAAGCAAGUGAGAUGUGUUAUGGUUCUCAUCAAGGUAUAAAUAGGGAUGACAUGUUUGACUUUUGAAAGAGCUCCAUGACUUAUAUAGACUAAUUAUGAUAACGUAUUUAGAUUUCAACUGUAGAGUACACUUCAUUGUGGCAUAAGAUAUAUGAAAAGAAAUCUGUAAAAUAGAUGUUUUCUCUAAACUCACUGGAGCAAACCUUUUGCUCACUUCUUUUCAGCCUUGCCCAAGUAAUCAUCAAAGAUAUCUACAUUUUAUUAGUAGCUUCCACUUCAUCAAAGUUGUUCAACAUCAAUAUUUAUUUCCAUGUCUCCAUAUUUUUUAAACCUCAACAAUACCCCAAUUUUUCAUAGAUGUUUUCUCUAUUCUUACUAGAGCAAGCCUUUUGCUCACUUUUUUUCAGCAUUACCCAAGUAAUCAUUAAAGAUAUCUACAUUUUAUAAAUCGCUUCCACUUUGUCAAAGUUGUUCAACAUCAAUAUUUAUUUUUAUGUCUCCAUAUUUUCUAAACCUCAACAACACUCCAAAUUAGUCAUUAUAAAUCUCUUUUACCACUGAUUUCAACUUUUUCAAAUUUUCAUCAAUCUCAAUAUUAACAUAAAUAUCUGCAUAUGUCCAUAUUUUGUAAAUCUAUAAAUUGUAGUCUCAUUAGCAUGUGUUAUAUGCUAUUACUAAGCCAACACUGUAGAGUUAUUUAAUUGAAAUAUUUGUCAUUGAUUUUCCAACUAAAGAUGAUAAUCAAUACGUAAAUGAUUAAAGAGAAGAGAAAAGGCAAGCUGUUCCAGAACUCACUUCCUAAUUGCUGACUGCCGCUCCUCACCAUAACUACGUCUUUGAAAUAUGUUUUGAGUUCAAACAUAAAGUAAAUAACCACAACAAUUUAAAUAACCAGAAUAGUGCAGAGUGUAACUUGCUAAUAGCUGUGUAUGUGUGUGUGCGCGCCUACAUAUAACAUCGUCUCUGGAAACUUGAUAAACAUACUGACUAGGCAUACCUGAGCUAAGGCCUGAUACCCAGCAAAAAAACAUCUCUUCCUUAUCUUGUCACUAGAAACCUUGUCAUUUGUGAAGCCAUGCACAUCAAGGAAUCUUUUGUAUAAUUUCCGUUGUAAGGAAGAAAGCUUUACAGCCAUUACAAAAACAGUUUUAGGGGGCAAGUCAUUCUUGACCACACUCAUGUCCAUUCUUUGGACAAACCCUUUUAGUUGUUCAUAGAGGAUAUGAGACCUCUGAUUCAUUAUUUUUACAUCAUCUGAUGUGGAGUUCAUAUGUUGUCCAUUCUCUAUAGGAUUUUGGAAGCUGCAUGGAAAGGAAAGCAUGAUCAAGAGACAUGGAAGUAAAGAAAAGGGAAUACAGUAAUUAGAAUAAUAGCAUUGAAGAAGUCUUACCGGUUUCGGAAUUCAUGGCUACUUCCAAGGAAUCCUUCUCUUACAAAAUCAACCAUCUGUUCCACAUAAAAUUGACAAAGAUAUCACAACACUGAAUAAAAAAAUAAAAUGAUUUGCCAAGAGAUAUGGCUUUCCAUACAAACUUACACAAUAAUAUUCCAUGAGAUUGUUUUGAAGAGGUGAUCCAGUCAAUGCAAUCCGCCUCUGGCACUUCACUUGUUUCAAGGCUUGAGUUGUAUCAGCCCUGGUGUUCUUGAUCAUGUGGGCCUCAUCACAGACCAGUAUAUCUGGUCCAUCCUGACAAUGGGAAUGUAAAUUUUGCCAAAGGAUGUCAUUAGUAAAAAUUUAAGUGGGGAAACAAAACUUUCCCAGAAUGAUGAAAAAUCUACAGACUAUCUGAAUACUUGAGAAAUAGGAGAAAGAGAAAGAAAGAAAAUUAUGAAUUCAUAAAGUGCACAUUUAGGUAGGAACACAAUGCAAUUAGUACUAACCAAUCAUAUUGAGCUUAAUCAUAGGCAAGAAUUUUCCAUACACGUGUCUCAUGCAAAAAAAGGUGAUAUACCAUGACCAUUAAUGAAUCUAAAGAGAAAGAUAAGGAAUAUCCAACAAAAGUAUGGAAUAUCCUUGAUGAUUUUUAUGACUUGUGGCUUGUAGAAUUAUCUAAUGAGCUUCCUUUGAUGCGUAACAUACAGCUGGAAAUCAGUCACUGAUCUCACCAUUGAUUGAUGGAAAUCAUCUACUAAUUUCCAUCCUUGAUUCCAGGGGUUAAUUAGCUAUCUUUGACUAGUUUAAAACCAUUUUAGGAAGUUUUUUUUUUUUUUUUCGUCAACUUUGUAACUAGCCUGACAAAUAUUUGUAGCACUAAUUUAGGAAGUUUAUGUUUUCUUCUUCUCUUAGAUUAUUUCUUCUAUAUAAAUAUGUAUAUUAAUGUAACAGUUUUCAAUCGGAUUCUAAACCGAUAUGGUAUCAGAGCCUUCAUUGCUCACACAUAUGCAGCCUUCAUUGCUGUAAUUUGUUCAGUUUUUUUAAAACCAACCUUCGUUACUGGCUCUUUCAUUCUUCCUACACCAUACACAAAAAUCUUGUUCUUAGACACCUUUAUCUUAUUUUUCUCUUAUCUCAAUUCCUCUAUAUUUGCAUUUGGCAAAUAUGGCUAAUCAAUUUUCUACCCUAAAUCCUGCAAACAACUCUAAUGAAGUCUCAAAGUGCAGUAAGCAUCUCUAAGUCAAGGCUCCUCCUUCCACCAAAGUUACUGCCAAGGUUGGAGGAAAUACUCAAAAUGCUGAGGAACAGCUUGAUCUUUUUUGCAAGAUCAUUAGAAAAAAAUGAGGUGACCUUCAAUCCUACUUCCUGUGCAUUUGCUCAAUCUGGAAUUCUUGGUAACUCUCUACUUUCAACCACUAUUUUAUAUUCAAGCUCAUAGAUCAUUGAUUUAGGAGCCACUGAUCACGUGACCAAAGACUCAAGUGUUUUAUUUCUUAUGAACCAUGUUCUGAUGAUCAAAAUGUCCAAGUUGCUAAUGGCUCAUUUCUACUUUUCAUGGCAAAGGAAAUGCCUAUAUAUCACCAGAUAUCACUCUUUUUUCUGUUCCUCAUGUGCCUAAAAUGUCUUAUAAUUUGCUGUCAGUUCAUAAGCUCUGAGAAACCAGCAAUUGUGUCGUAAUUUUCUAACCCAACAGCUGUGUUUUUCAUAACCAAAUCUCGGGUAAGAUAAUUGGCAAUGCUAAGGAGAGGAACAGCCUUUACUACCUAGAAACUGAGAAGAACAAGACACCUCAAGCCUAUCAAAUAAAGGGAGUUCCAAAAAAGGGAAACUUAGAAGACUAUUGGUUGUUCCAUGAAAGAUUAGGGCACACUAGUUUCCAUUACAUGAGGAAAUUAUAUCCAGAUCUGUGUAAUAAUCUAGAUUUUUUCCAAAAUUGAGUGUGAAAUUUGUGAGUUGGCUAAAAAUCAAAGAGUGUAAUAUCCCAUUAGUGGUAAAAGAAGUGAAAUUCCUUUCCCGGUUAUACAUACCGAUGUUUUGGGGCCCUCAAGGGUGACUUAUAUUUUUUAUGCUGGAUGGUUUCUUAGUCUUAUUGAUGACUUCAGUAUGACUACUUAGGUCUAUUUACUAAAGGAUAAAUCUGAAACUAUUGGCACAAUUGAAAAAAAUUUAAAAGAUUUAAAAAAAAAAAAAAAAUUUAAAUUAAUGGUCUAAACACAAUUUAACGCCAAGAUACAUAUUGUUAGAUCUGAUAAUGAUGGGGAAUACUUCAAUUAAAGACUUGGAAAUUUUUCCUUGGAAAAAGGUGUUAUUCAUCAAUCAAGUUGUGCAGGCACUCUCUAACAAAAUGGAGUGACAGAACAUAAUAAUAAACAUCUUCUUAAGGUAACUUGAGCCUUAAUGUUUGCCAGAAAUGUUUUAAAACAUUUUUGGGGAAAUAUAGUGUUGACAACAACCAACCUUAUCAAUAGGAUGGCUUCAAAAGUACUCAAUUUUCAAACUCCCACUGGAACAUUGACAUUUAUGGUCUAACUUUUCCGUUGAGGUGUGUGGGCGGUGAUUUUAAUGUCAUAAGGAGAAGUUCAGAAAAAUUGGGGGCUCUAGGCUAACUUCAAGCAUGAGAGACUUUGAUAGUUUUAUUAGAGAAUGUGAAUUGCUUGAUCCACCUCUACGGAACGCAUCAUUCACUUGGUCAAAUAUGCAAGAGUCUCCUAUGUAUAAGAGAUUAGACCGUUUUCUUUACUCAAAUGAGUGGGGGCAGCUCUUUCCCCAAGGCAUUCAAGAAACCCUUAUCAGAAGGACCUCGGAUCAUUGGCCAAUUGCUUUGGAUACCAACCCGUUCAUGUGGGGCCCAACACCUUUUAGAUUUGAGAACAUGUGGCUACAACAUCCUAGUUUCAAGGAGAACUUUAGAAAUUGGUGGAGGGGUUUUCAAGGAAACAGAUGGGAAGGCCACAAGUUCAUGAGGAGAUUACAAUUUGUUAAAGCCAAAUUGAAGGAAUGGAAUAAGCUUUCUUUUGGAGAGCUUAAUGAAAAGAAAAAAACUAUCCUCAAUGAUUUAGCUAACUUUGACGCCAUUGAGCAGGAUGGGGGUCUCACCUCUAAAUUAUUAGAUCAAAGAGCCUUAAGAAAAGGGGAGCUAGAGGAAUUAAUUUUGAGGGAGGAAAUCCAUUGGAGACAAAAAGCUAGGGUGAAAUGGGUUAAAGAAGGGGAUUGCAACUCUAAGUUUUUUCAUAAAGUGGCUAAUGGCAGGCGAAAUAGGAAAUAUAUCAAGGCGUUGGAAAAUGAAAGGGGCUUAGUGUUGAAUAAUGCCGAGAGUAUCACAGAGGAGAUCUUACUUUACUUUGAAAAACUCUACGCGAGUCCUAUAGGAGAGUCUUGGUGUAUUGAAGGAUUAGAUUGGUCCCCUAUUUCGGAAGAGAGUGCGAUAAGUUUGGAUCCCCCUUUCACUGAAGAAGAGAUUUCUAAGGCCAUUUUUCAGAUGGAUAGGGACAAGGCUCCGGGGCCUGAUGGCUUUACUAUUGCAGUAUUCCAAGACUAUUGGGAUGUGAUUAAGGAGGAUAUAGUGAGAGUGUUCGCAGAAUUUCAUAGGAGCGGAGUUAUCAAUCAAAGCACUAAUGCCUCUUUCAUUGUUCUUCUGCCCAAAAAGAGUACGACAAAGAAAAUCUCAGAUUUUAGACCCAUUAGUUUGAUCACUAGUCUCUAUAAGAUAAUAGCCAAAGUGCUCUCAGGGCGUCUAAGAGGGGUUUUACAUGAAACCAUCCACUCUACUCAAGGCGCUUUUGUUCAAGGGAGACAAAUAAUGGAUGCGGUUCUCAUAGCAAAUGAGACAGUGGAUGAGAGAAGACGAUCAGGGGAGGAAGGUGUCGUCUUCAAAAUUGACUUUGAAAAGGCUUACGAUCACGUAAGGUGGGAUUUUUUAGAUCAAGUGUUGGAGAAGAAGGGGUUCAGUCCUAAAUGGAGGAAAUGGAUGAGUGGAUGUUUGUCCUCGGUAUCUUAUGCAGUAUUGGUGAAUGGUAGCGCUAAAGGUUGGGUUAAGGCAUCGAGAUGAUUAAGACAAGGUGACCCUUUAUCCCCCUUUUUGUUUACUUUAGUAGCAGAUGUAUUGAGUAGGAUGCUUUUGAGAGCAGAGGAGAGAAAUAUGUUGGAGGGUUUCAGGGUGGGUAGAAAUAGAACUAGGGUAUCUCAUUUGCAAUUUGCCGAUGACACCAUCUUCUUUUCUAACACUAGGGAAUAAGACUUGCAGACUCUCAAGAGUCUUUUGUUAGCAUUUGGGCAUAUUUCUGGGCUUAAGGUCAAUCUUGACAAGAGUAAUAUUUAUGGUAUCAAUUUGGAUCAAGCUCAUAUUUCAAGAUUGGCUGAGACGCUUGAAUGCAAGGUUUCUGGCUGGCCUAUACUCUAUCUGGGUCUUCCUUUGGGUGGGAACCCCAGGGCAGGUGGAUUUUGGGAUCCUGUGAUUGAAAGAAUUUCAAGAAGAUUAGAUGGAUGGCAAAAGGCAUACCUAUCCUUCGGAGGGAGGAUAACUCUCAUCCAAUCUUGCCUUACCCAUAUGCCUUGUUACUUUCUUUCUUUAUUUAAGUUACCUGCUUCAAUCGCUGCAAAAAUCGAGAGGUUGCAAAGGGAUUUUUUAUGGUCAGGGAUUGGAUAAGGCAAAAGAGAUCAUUUAGUCAGGUGGGAUGUCGUGUGUAAACCGAAGGAAAUAGGGGGUUUGGGUUUUGGGAAUAUUUCUCUGAGGAAUCUCGCUCUUUUAGGGAAAUGGCUGUGGAGGUACCCUAGAGAGGGUUCAGCUCUAUGGCAUCAGGUCAUACUAAGCAUUUAUGGUUCACACUCCAAUGGUUGGGAUGCUAACACAUUAGUCAGAUGGUCACAUCGCUGUCCUUGGAAGGCUAUUACUCAAGUCUUUCAGGAGUUUUCCUCGUUUACUCGGUUUGUGGUAGGAAAUGGGGAAAGAAUUUGGUUCUGGGAAGAUUUGUGGUGGGGGGACCAACCUUUGGGAACCCAAUAUCCAAGACUAUUUAGAGUAGUUUUGGAUAAAAACAUACCUAUUUCUUCAGUUCUCGGUUCUACUCGUCCUUUCUCUUGGAAUUUAAAUUUCUGUCGUAACCCGUCAGAUUCUGAGAUAGAGGACUUAGAAGGCCUCAUGCGAUCUCUCAAUGGAUUGCAUUUAUCUCCUUCUGUUCCAGAUGCCAAAUUUUGACCCUUAUCUUCUUCAGGGCUUUUUUCAGUUAAAUCUUUCUUUCUAGCUUUAUCCCAAUUUUCUGGAUCUCCUCAGGUUUUUCCUUCUAAGUUCGUUUGGAAUUCUCAAGUUCCUUUCAAAGUGCAGUCCUUCGUCUGGUUAGUGGCACACAAGAAGGUGAAUACUAAUGACAUGCUACAAGUGAGAAGACCCUACAAAGCCCUUAGUCCUGAUAUUUGUAUUUUGUGCAUGAAGCAUGGGGAAUCAGCUGAUCAUAUUUUUCUUCAUUGCUCCUUGACGAUUGGGUUGUGGCACAGGUUAUUUCAGUUAGCUAAGAUGGAUUGGGUCCCCCCGAGGAGCAUCCUUGACAUGAUGUACAUCAAAUUUAAUGGAUUUGGUUUGUCUAAGAGGGGGAUUGCCUUGUGGCAAGCUGCAAGCAUCACUCUUAUUCGGAUUGUGUGGUGGGAAAGAAAUGCGAGGAUUUUUUAGGAUAAAGCAAAUAAUUCAGAGUAUCUUUAGGACUCUAUUGUUUUCCUUGCUUCUCUUUGGGCUUAUUGUUCCAAGGUUUUUAAGGGGACUCCCCUUAAUGUGAUACAACUUGAUUGGAUAGCAGUGUGUACUCCAUAAGGAGUGGUCUUUUUAGAGUGUUUGCUUGUUUUUCAGUGUAUUUUUCUAUAGUUUAGCUUUCUUUGGCGGGAGGAUUCCUCAUCCUUCUUUUGUACUUAUUUUUAUCUAUCAAUAAAUCUUUGUGUCGUUUCCAAUCAAAAAAAAAAAAACAUUGAAAGAAUGUUAUCCUCGCCUAUCUAUAUUUAGUUCUUUACUAUUGAAAGUCUUUGGAAGCAAUGUCUUUGUUCAUGUCCCUAACAAAGAUAGAUCUAAGCUUGACUCAAAGGCCAUUAAGUGCAUUUUCCUUGGAUAUUCUCCAACCUAGAAGGGGUACAAGUGUUACCAUCCUCCAACCAGAAGGAAAUUUGUCACAAUGGAUGUGAGUUUUUUUUAACAGCAACCAUACUAUACAAAGACUAACCUUCAGGGGGGGCAAAUGGGAGUAGAAGGUCAGUCACAAGACUGGUCAAUCUCAUUACCAACACUAGUUUGGAGUAUUCAAGAAAAUGGGGAGAACUUGGAGAAUUCCUUGGAGACCACUCACAAUGAUAGAAGGAUAGUGGAGAGACAAGUUUGUACCAAAAGCCCUCAAGAUCAAUCUAGGUUAGUGGAAAGCCCUAAUUCUUCAAAGCAAAGCCAAUCAUGAACUUCAGAUGAAGGUAUGGUUUCUAUACCCCCUGAAUCUAAUAGUAAUCCUUCCAAUCCUACUUCAAUUUCUACUCCUCUCUUUGAUACUAAUCUCAAUAUUCCUAUAGCAAUCUAUAAGGGUGUUAGGAGUUGCGCCAAACACCCUUUGGCAAAUUUUGUGUCUUAUCAUAGAAUUGUUGAGACCUAUAAGGCAUUUACCUCUUAUAUAAAUUAGGAGUCAAUUCCAAAGAAUGGUGAAGAAGCCUUUGCUGACCCAAACUAGAAGGAAGCUAUAAAUGAGGAGAUGGACGCUCUAAAGAAGAAUGAGACUGGGGAUAUUGUUGAUUUAUUCCAAGGAACAUGGCCAGUGGGAUGCAAAUGGGUUUUCUUAAUUAAAUACAAGGUGGAUGGUUCUGUGGAGAGAUAUAAGGCAUGACUUGUGCCCAAAGGGUACACACAGACCUACGGUAUAGAUUACCAAGAAACAUUUGCCCCUGUAGUAAAGAUGAACUCUAUCAAAACUCUACUCUCUAUGCAAUUAAUUACAACUAGCCACUACAACAAUUUGAUGUCAACAACGCCUUCUUACAUGGAAAUUUAGAAGAGAUCUACAUAAACCUUCCACCAGGUUUUCCAAAGAAUAAUGAAAGAAAAUGCAAGCUGAAAAAAUCCCUAUAUAGCCUAAAACAAUCACCUAGAGCAUGGUUUGAAAGAUUUUCUCAAUCACUCUUGAAGUUCGAUUUCCAUCAAAGUCAGGCAUAUCAUACUCUUUUCUUUAUAAGAUCAUCCAUAGAGAAGUUGACUAUACUAAUUGUCUAUAUAGAUAACAUCAGUAUAACGGGUGAUGAUAGUGAGGAAAUUCAAAAAUUAUAGGUUAAGUUGACAAAGGAAUUCGAAAACAAGGAUUCGGGUACUCUACGUUAUUUUUGGGAAUUGAAAUAGUCAGGUCAAAAGAAGGGAUUUACAUAUCCCAAAGGAAAUAUGUCUUGGAUCUUCUUAAGGAAACCGGAAUGUUUGGGUGCAAAUCUAUAGAAAAUCCUAUUGAUUUAAACCACAAGCUUAGUGUAGUUACAGAUGGUGCUCUAGUAGAUAAAGAAAGGUAUCAGAGACUUGCAUGAAAAUUAAUCUAUCUUUCCCACACUAGACUCAAAUAUGCCUACUCUAUAAGUGUGGUCAGUCAGUUCAUGCACUCUCCUUUAGAACCUCAAAUGGAAGCAAUAAAAAAAAUGUUAAAGUACCUAAAAGAUACUCUAAGAAAAGGAACGUUAUUUUCUCAAAAUGGCCAUAUGGAUGCGGAAGCAUAUACAGAUGCUAAUAGGGGAAGACCUAUGACUGACAAAAGAUCCACCUCUAGCUAUUGUACUCUUGUUGGAGGUCACUUAGUAACCUAGAGGAGUGAGAAGUAACCUAUGGUAGUCAGGUCAACUGUGGAAGCUAAAUAUAGGAAAUUGUACUUGGAAUAUGUGAGUUGAUAUGGAUAAAGAACCUAUUAAUGGCAUUGUAGAUAGAACCAAAGGGUCCUAUGAAGUUAUACCAUGAUAACAAGGCAACCAUAAGCAUUGCCCACAACACGGUGUAGUAUGAUAAAACAAAACAUAUUAGGAUAGACAAACACUUCAUGAAAGAGAAAAUUGUUAGUGGAAUGAUUUGUACUCCAUUAAUUUCUUCCAAGUUGCAACUAGCAGAUGUCUUCACUAAAGGAGUUCUUAAUCUAAGGUUCAACUCAAUGAUCAACAAGCUGGGAAUGAAGGAUAUUAUCGAACCAACUUGAGGGGGAGUGUUGGAAAUUAGUCAUUGAUCUCAAGAAAACCAGCCACAAAUCUCACCCUUGAUUGAUGGAAAUCAUCUACUGAUCUUCAUCCUUGAUUCUAGUGGUUAAUUAGCUAUCUUUGACUAGUUUAAGACCGUUUUAGGAAGUUUUUUUUAGUCAACUUCAUAAUUAGGUUGACAAAUAUUUGUAGCACUGAUUUAAGAAGUCUAUGGUUUUUUCUUUUCUUAGAUUAUUUCUUCUUUAUAAAUAUGUAUACUCUAUUGUAAAUAAUGUAACAAUUUUCAAUUGGAUUCUAAACCGAUACAUACAACAUCCGAUUAAUUUGAUUCACGGUGCAUCAUUGCCAAAUUUAUCAGCCUAAAGAAUGAACCCAACAAAACAUGUUGAAUUGAACAGGUAAGUUGGACUAAAGGCUUUAUUCGAGAAAGCUUAAAUCCUUAUGGAGUUCCCACUCUACUAACACCAAACAAGGAUCGAUCGUAGCAAAUGUGUGUGGAUAGUUGUGAAAUCAAUAAAAUCACAAUCAAAUAUCAAUUUCCAAUUCCAACACUUGAUGGCAUGCUAGAUAUGAUGGUUGGGUUAGUAAUCUUCUCAAAAAUUGGAAUUUGAUAUCAUCAAGUACAUAUUAGACUAGGGAAUGAAUGGAAGGCAACCUUCAAAACAAAAAAUGGAUUGUAUGAGUGGUUAGUUAUGCCAUUUAGAUUAAGCAAUGCCCAAGUACAUUCAUACAGGUCAUGACACAGGUAUUGAAGCCUUUCAUUGAAAAGUUUGUUGUUAUUUAUUUUGAUGAUAUUCUUAUCCAUAGACGAUCUUGUGAAGAUCAUGAAGAACACUUAAUGCAACUGAUGCGCACUCUUAGGGUCGAAAAGUUUUCACAUUAAUUUGAAAAAAUGUACUUCCAUUAGACCUAUUGAUGUAUUCCUUGGCUUUGUCAUGUUCUCUACAGAGUUGAAAUAGAUUUGGAUCAAAUCAAAGCUAUUGUUGGUUGGCUUGUAAAUAUCCAUGAGGUGCAAAGCUUCCAUGGAAUGACUACAUUCUAUAGGUGAUUUAUUCAAAAUUUCAGCAAUAUCAUGGCCCCAAUUACUAAAUUUAUGAAAUCUGGUCCAUUCAUUUCAAUCAAGGCAGCAAACAAGGCAUUUGAAGAAAUCAAGUAUGUUGAGAGAGAGAGAGAGAGAAAGGAGAAAAACCUUAUUUUUCAUUCAUCUAAUCUCUACUUACAAUUGAGAGAUAUAUAUAUACAAGGCUAGGAGUCCUAACUACCAUACAUGUGACCUAUAUUAACAAGGAAAGAUAGUAUACUAUACAUACAUUAUAUUCAACACUCCCCCUCAAGCUGGAGCAUAGACGUCAUAUGCACCAAGCUUGUUACAAAUAUAUUUAAUCCUAGGACCUCUGAGAGAUUUAGUGAAGAUGUCUGCUAGUUGAUCAUUUGAAUUGACAAAACUUGUAGCAACACAUCCUGAUGCGAUCUUCUCUCUAAUGAAAUGACAGUCAACUUAAAUAUGCUUGGUCAUUUCAUGAAAGACUGGAUUGGAUGCAAUAUGUAAUGCGGCCUGGUUAUCACAGAUGAGUUUCAUCUGUUCAUCCUUUCCAAAUCGCAACUCCUAAAGAAGAUGUCUCAACCAUAUGAGUUCACAUGUUGCCAAAGCCAUAGCUCGAUACUCGGCUUCAGCGCUAGAUCUGGCCACUACAUCUUGUUUCUUACUCUUCCAAGAUAUUAGAUUACCUCCAAUAAAAACACAGUACCCUGAAGUAGAACGUCUAUCUGUGGGUGAGCCAGCCCAAUUUGCAUCUGUGUAACCAACAACUUGAGUAUGACCUCUGUUCUCGUACAAUACACCUUGGCCUGGUGUACUUUUGAUAUAUCGAAGAAUACGGAUUACGGCAUCCCAAUGGCUAUCACAUGGUGACUGUAGGAAUUGACUAACAACACUCACAGGAAAAGAAAUGUCUGGACGAGUAAUGGUGAGAUAAUUCAAUUUACCUACGAGCCGUCGAUAUCUCCCAGGGUCUCCUAAAGGCUCCCCCUGUCCUGGUACAAGUUUGACAUUCGGAUCCAUAGGUGUGUCUACCGGUUUACAGUCUAACAUACCGGUUUCUUCCAGGAUGUCUAAAGCAUACUUCCUUUGAGAAAGGACCACACCAGAACUGGAUUGAGCUAUCUCAAUUCCCAAGAAAUACUUGAGUUUCCCCAAGUCUUUGGUCUGAAAGUGGGUAAAAAGAUGUUGCUUUAGUUUCUGUAUACCAUCCUGAUCACUGCCUGUAAUGACGAUGUCGUCCACAUAAACAACCAGAUAAAUACACUGCCCCAAGGAGUUAUGAUGAUAAAAAACUGAAUGGUCUGCUGUACUGCGAAGCAUGCCAAACUCUUGAACAACAGAACUAAAACGGCUAAACCAUGCUCGAGGAGAUUGUUUCAAGCCAUAUAGAGAACGGCGUAACCUGCACACUAAACCAGACUCCCCCUGAGCAACAAAACCAGGAGGUUGCUCCAAAUAAACUUCCUCGGCAAGAUCACCAUGAAGGAAGGCAUUUUUAAUAUCCAGCUGAUAAAGAGGCCAAGAGCACAUAGCAGCCAUGGAGAGAAGCAAGCGGACAGAAGAUCUCUUGGCAACAGGAGAGAAUGUGUCACCAUAAUCAGAACCAUAAACUUGAGUAUAGCCUUUAGCAACUAAGCGGGCCUUAAGGCGAUCAACCUGACCACCAGGACCAACCUUAACUGCAUAGACCCAACGACAACCAACUGUAGAUUUACCAGGGGGUAAAACAACAAGAUCCCAAGUGCCAUUAGAGUGCAGAGCAGCCAUUUCAUCCACCAUUGCCUGUCGCCAGCCUGGAUGGGAAAGAGCUUCAUGGGUGCUCUUGGGAAGAGAAACAGAGGAUAUAGCAGAAACAAAAGCAGAAUAGGGUGAAGAUAAUCGAUGAUAACUCAAAAAAUUGUAAAUAGGAUGAGGGUUACGAGUAGAGCGAGUAACUUUCCGAACAGCAAUGGGUAAAUCAUUAGGAGAAGGCAGAGCCGGGGCAGGUGAAGCCGAAGGGAUAGGAAGUGAGUCAGCAGGUGCCUCAGGAAAAGGGAGAGGAGCAACGAUACGCGGGCGACGAUGAUAAACCUGAAGUGGUCGAGGGGGCAUAGCUUCAGGUGGGGAGACAAUGGGAAUGGGCAAGACUUCAGAAACGGGAAGAGACUCAGAAGUGGUGGAAAAGAAUGGUGAGUCCUCAAAGAAGGUGACAUCAGCGGAGAUAAAGUACCGAUGAGUCUCAAGGGAAUAACAACGAUAACCCUUCUGAAAUCAGGAAUAUCCCAAGAAGAGGCACUUCAUGGCUUUGGCGGAAAGCUUGUCCUGUCCAGGAGUAAGAAUAUGAACAAAGCAAGUACAACCAAAGACACGAGGAGGAAGGAAAUAAAGUGGUUGGUCAGGGAAAAGAAGGGAGUGAGGAAUCUGAUCGUGUAAGACAGGGGAGGGCAUACGAUUAAUCAAAUAACAAGCGGUAAGAACAGCGUCCCCCCAAAAACGAAAAGGAACGUGACUAUGGAGGAGGAGAGUACGAGUUGUCUCAACAAGAUGUCGAUUCUUGCGUUCAGCUACCCCAUUUUGUUGAGGAGUAUGAGCACAAGAAGACUGAUGAAGAAUCCCAUGAUGAGACAUAAACGAAGUAAAUUGGGCUGAAAAAUAUUCCCUGGCAUUGUCACUGCGUAACACACGAAUAGAAAUAUUGAACUGGGUUUGGAUUUCAGUAUAAAAUUUCUGGAAAAUAGAGAAUAACUCAGCUCGAUUUUUCAUUAAAAAUAACCAAGUACAUCGAGAAUAGUCAUCAAUGAAAGUGACAAAAUACUGAAAUCCUAAAGUAGACGCAGUCCGACAAAGACCCCAAACAUCAGUGUGGACAAGCUCAAAAGGAGACUUUGCCCGAUUAUUCAAACGCUUUGGGAACGAGACACGAGUAUGUUUCCCAAGCUGACAUGACUCACACGGAAGCGACGACAAAGUGGAAAAACGAGGGACCAUCUUCUGGAACUUGGAGAGACUAGGGUGGCCCAGACGAUUGUGAAUGAGGAGAGGAGCAUCAGUGGAAAUGCAAACUGCAGGAGAUGAAUCUGAGGUGAGGUGAUAGAGGCCUUGAGACUCACGUCCUAUGCCAAUCGUCUUCCCCGUACUCCGGUCCUGCAAGGUCACAAAUUUAUCUGAAAAGGUAAUAGAGCAAUUAAGAGUACGAGUGAUUUUGCUGAUGGAAAUAAGAUUAAAAGGACAUUCAGGAGUAUAAAGGACAGAAGUGAGAGGUAGAGAAGGCAGAGGAAGGGCCAAACCAAUACCUUUAGCCACAGUUUGAGAACCAUUAGCUAAGGUAACAGUAGGUAAAUCAGAGGAAGUAGUGAUAGAGGAGAAAAGAUCCUUAUUACCAGAUAGGUGAUCAGAUGCUCCAGAAUCUAGAAUCCAGGGUCCAAGAGAAGAUGUGUGGGUAAGGCAAGCAGAGGCAUUACCAGGCUGGGCAACAGAGGCAAUAGAAGCCUGAGAUGUCUGAGAUGCGGAGGAGCUCGGAAGCUGAGGCAGCGGAGAAUCAGAGGACUGGGCCAUAUGGGCAGUGCGAGGAGGUCUUCCAUGUAACUGAUAGCAACGAUCGCGAGUGUGGCCAAGUUUAUUGCAAUAGGUGCAAUGAGGACGUUGGCCUCGACCUCGGGUACCACUGCGUCCUCCUCGAGAGGUAGUUUGAGAAACUAACACAGAAGAAUCUGAAGCGCUAUCAGAUGGCAAAGUCUGAGUGGACGAGAGACGGAGGAGGCGAGCAAACACGUCAUCCAAGGACGGAACUGAUGAACUACCAAGAAUCUGAUCACGAAUAGGCUCAAGAUCCGGAUGGAGGCCAAUAAGAGUAAGGACCAUGAAGAACUUGUCAAGCUGCAUUUGUUGAGCCCCAACAUCAGGAGUAAGAGGCAUCACAGUCAAGAACUGCUCCUUAAGAGAGGCAAUCUGACCAAUAUAAGUAGAUAGAUCCAAGUCCUGUUGGCUGAGAUGGACAAUAGCAGAAGCCACCUUAUAGAGACGCUGGAUAUCAUUCGUGUAUAAUCCUUUGGCCUGAGUCCAAAAUUUAAAACAAGUUUUAUAGGCCUGAAGAUGAAGAAGAAUUCGGGGAUCAACCGAUUGCCAUAAUACACUACAUAACUGGGCAUCUAUCUUCCUCCACUGUACGCAGUCAACCUCAAGGAUAUCUGCCUCCUGGGUAACCAAGUGAUCUUCAUAUCCUUGACCCAUAAACCAAAGUUCAACAGAGGCAGACCAGGAGAGAUAAUUCUCACUGCCAACCAAUUUCUCUGAGGUAAUCAGAGGAGAUCCAGAUAGAACAGAGGUAAAGAUCUGAUUUUUGGUGGUCAUAUUCACGUAUUUGGAUCGAAGAGAGCCCUGGAGAGGAAGAGAAGCAGCACCCAAGCCUCGGAGAUGGAGAGGAAGCCCUGUCAGAUGUGGUCGGAAUGGCAAGAAAGCCAAAAACAGGAAAAAAAAGUGGAGAUGCAGGGCUCGUGGAGGACUGCCGGAGGGCUAGAAGGCCAAGACGGCGCCGGACGAGCCUGGAGAGGUGUCGGACGUGGCCGGAAAGUGAGCCACGCGCCGUCACGCGCCAGCGCGUGGGUGACAGUCCGACGGGGAAGAUCGGCGCGUGGGGGCGCGUGAGACUCCGGUUGCCGGUGGGGUUUCCACUGGCGUGUAGAUCAGCCUCCGGCGGUUCGGAAUAUGUGGUCGGUGCCCGGAAAAGAGGUCGCCGGAAAAAUUCGCCGGAAAGGGUUGCCGGCGUUGUAGAGAUCCGACGGCGAUGAGGUUGUCCGGGGUGGUUCGGGAAGGGAAUGAGGGGACCGGAGUGAAACACGGUCACUGGACGGUUCGCCGGAAUUGAGUACACGGCUAAACCGAAAAAAAAUUAGGUUUUCUCCUUUGGCUCUGAUACCAUGUUGAGAGAGAGAGAGAGAGAAAGGAGAAAAACCUUAUUUUUCAUUCAUCUAAUCUCUACUUACAAUUGAGAGAUAUAUAUAUACAAGGCUAGGAGUCCUAACUACCAUACAUGUGACCUAUAUUAACAAGGAAAGAUAGUAUACUAUACAUACAUUAUAUUCAACAAAGUAUAAGAUGGGGAAACCUCCUAUCCUAUGUCUACCAAACUUUAAGAAAGCAUUUGAGGUGGCUUGUGAUGCUUCCCAUGUGGGAACUAGAGAAGUUCUUAGCCAAGAAGGAUAUCCCAUGGUUUCUUCUAGUGAGAAACUCAAUGAGGCAAAGUGAAGUAAUCAAACAUUGACACAUUUAAGUGAAGUAACUUGAGAUUUGGAUUUCUUAGAGAAUUAGAGUCAUAAUAGGCUAUUAGAAUCCUAUUAAAUUUUGGAUUUCUUAGAGAAAAGGUUGAUUGAUGUAAACUAAAAUAGAGUGAUUAAAUGACAUUAGUUCCUUUUGCAUGCUUGGCAAUUCUCUCGCUUUAUUAUCUUAUAUCAUUUUAUUCAUUUCUUGCUACCAAAAUUUUAAUUCAUCCUUCUCCUUAUUUCCUCAAUUGUUAAAUCCCACAUCAUACAAUUGUAGGCAACCCUCUUAGGAAGGUCAAUGGGGACCUUGUUUUUUUUUCCUUUUUUCUUUUUUAAUCAAAGACAAACAUUUUCAUUCAUCAAUCAAUUGUUAAUUACAAGAAGGAUAAGCUAUCCUUCAAAGAUGUACAAGAGGUGGUAGGAAGUAACUCAAAACUAGAACCACAAAAAUUAACCUCUUGUACAAACCUAUAUAUAUAUAUAGGAGAAAAUCAUUUGACAUUCAAGGGGAAAGGAAACCUCCAACAAAGGAAAUCUCCUUGUUCGGAUAAAUGAUCUGUAACUUGGUUAGCUAAACAAGGAAUCCAAGAUAAAGAACAAACUAACUCAUUUGCAGCAUCUAUUAUUUUGUGCAUUCAAUUGUCACACUUCUAUGAACCCUCUCCUUAUUUUUCACCCAAAGAUAUUACAUCGGCAAAAUCUUCCUCUAAAAUUAGAUUGGAUAAUAUAAAGAUUUUGUCUGCAUAAAGUCUCUAAUAAAGCCAAAGUCUCUACUUCGAUGGUGAACCCCAUUUCAACAUGCUUAGAGAAAACUCUCAAUAUCAUAUCAGAAUGAUCUCUAAUCACAGCUCCAAUACCUAUUUGUCCUAGGUUACCCAUCGCAUAUCAUUGACUUCUUCAAACUAAUUGGGUAGCAAGCACACUUUCAAUCUAGUAUUAAAAGGUAGAAUGGAAUAUUCAUGAAAGGCUUGGGGGUUGAGGCUCAUAGAAAGGAGGGGGAAAAAUAUCAAGUCCCAAAUAGCAACUUCUGAUCUCCAUCUAUCCUCAAAAUCCUUGCAUUCCUUCCCAACCAAAUAAACCAAAUCAACGAUAAAGCAACCAUCUGGCAACGAAUAUUCCCUUUUGGAAGAGUUCCAAAGAUCUUAAAGGAAAUUUCCAACAUCUCUGCUAUGCCUCCAAAAGGAACCCAAUCAAGAUUAGUAUUAUACCAAAGUACCAAAGCAAUGGCAUAGUGAUGAAAUAUAUGGUUGGCUGAUUCAAUACUCUUUAAGCACAUCACACAAUGGUCCAAACUAAGGGCUUUGUUAGGCCCCCUCAACUGAAACAAGUCGUUAGUAUUAACGUUCUUAUUUGCCACGAGCCAAGCAAAAGCCUUAACCAUUGGUUGGCUUUUAGUUUAAGAUUAACUUAGCAAGAACAAGAGAAGUAACAGCACGAGAGUGAGGAAGGACUACAACAUCUUCGUAGAAGAAGCACAUAAAGAAACAUCUUAAGGGAGUCAAUGACCAAACUCUUUCAUCUAAAAGGACAGUGACAUAUAUACACAUGAAGCAAGCACAAAAGAAGACUAGUUAGUCCCUCAAACUCAGGAUUAGAAAGGUUUCAACAAAAAUUGAAAUUCCAAGAUGAACUAAAAGAGGAUCGAUCUACAAAUGAGGAAACAAGCAUAUUUCUAGUCCUUGUAACUUUGAAAAGAUUUGGAACUUGAAACUUAAGACGACAACCAUUCAACCCAAUAUCUUCCCAAACCGAAUUUUUAUGCCGUCUCCCACUAAGUAUCAAAAGAAAAUAGAAAAGUUGUUGAGGACUUGACAAAUAUCUUUUCAAGGGCAACUAUGUGACCACCUAAAAGACAAUUUCAUAAUUAGGAGUUGGAAAUGGUUUGGGAUUUUCUUACAAGGAUCCAAGAGCAUUCAGUGUAAAGAAAAGGUGAGGAUAGUCUAGUUUAGAAGGACUCCAACCAAACCUUUCUAUAGUUUUUUUGUGGUCAAAGGGAGUAGGAACUUUCCUAAUUAAUGUGGUUUAAAAUCCUUGGAUCCCUAUAAAAAAUGGUUUGCAUGAGAGGUAGUAUGUAGAAAGAUUUUGACCUUGGAUCAAUUGAAAAGAGAGGAUGGAUUGUGGCAAAUCAUUUCUUCUCUACAUAAUGGCAGGAGAAUCAACUUAUCACAUUCUUCUUCAUUGUUUUUUUUUUUUUUUUUUUCUAUAGGUAAAUUUUUGUCCCCAUUUGGACUUGAACAUGGAACCUCCCACAAACCCUCCCUCACCCUUUGCCACUUAAGUUAGCCUCAAGGGAAUUCUUCUUCAUUGUGUUAAAACAAGGAUCUUAUGGAACUUGCUAUUUUGGCUUUUUAGGGUGGAAUGGGUAUUGUUGUCUUCAGUAAAAGCAACUCUCCUAAGCUGACACUAGAGGAUUCUAGAGGAAAAAAAUGGAGGCAUGGAGGGCUACCCCAUUGCAUUUAUUUUAGACCAUAUAGAAAGAGAGAAAUAGUGGGUCAUUUGAAAAUUAGGAAUAGUCGGAUUAGAUUCUCAAAAUGUUGUUUUUGUACUUUGUAUUAUUGUGCACUAAAGGAUCAAUGGAUGUGAAUUUAUUGUCUAUUGUUUGGUUGUGAUCUAGAUAACGAGAAGGAAGUUCCUUUCUCCCUUUUUCAUUAUUUGGUGCCCUUGUAUACAUCUCGUAUACCUUGGUGCACCUUUUUUUAUAUUCACAUCGUUAAUAUAAUUUUUUGUUUCCCUAUCAAAACAAAUGAAGGGGCCUUUUGCAAACAUGGGAGAAGAAGGAAAACGGUGGUUUGCAGUGGAGUCCAAGUCCUUUGAUAUCUUUGUUGAGGGGCUUGGAGGGAGACUGAGAGGGGUCAUAGUGGAGCGCGGAAGAGGUUACUCCAGGUGGGUCAGAUUUAGGGAGCUCAGUCUACGCUACCUUCUGGCAGGACUGGAAGCUUGUUGCAGAGAUUUUGAGUUGCUGAGGUGAAGUAAAGGGUGGAAGGAGAGAGGAAGGUUUUUCAGGCUGGAAUGCCGGGAGAAUGGGGCUGAAAGGUUCUUAUUCUGCAAGGUGGUCAUGGCAGAAUCAAAGAGUUUCUCUCUGGUUUUCCCGGAAGGAAAAGGAAACCAUGGGAGUUGGUUCAUAUUGGCUGAGAAAUUAAGGUCGCUCAGGGUUGUUCCUUUUUCUGAGGAAAAGGUGGAUCCACAAGUUGAGAUUGGGGGCAGUCCGAAGGCUGAAAGUAAGAAGAAUGGAAGUGGGAGAAUUUCGUAUGUGAGUGUAGUAAGAAAGAAUGAAUGUUUGGCGGAGGAAACUAUUUGUCUGCAGAUUGGAGAAGGAGUUGUGCAAGGCAAAGAAGAGAAGCUUAGGAAGUGCUUGGUUGGGAAGUUUAGGGAGGGAUCUUUCUUAGUUUCAGAGGUUUGGGCUUUGGAAAUGUGGGCUAGAAGUACCUGGCAACUGAGGUUUGGCUUGCAGGUGUAUAUUUUUGGGGGGUCUUUAAUCCUAUUUGAGUUUGAGGAUGUUUUAGAGGCAGAAAGGGUGUUGGUGAGAGGACCUAGGAGGUUCAAGGAGAGACUUCUCAGUUUGGAAAGAUGGCAACACGAGACUGGGUGUUUGGUAAAGGAGGGGUCUUACAAGGAGGCAUGGGUGAGAGUGUUGGGUCUCCCUUUGCAUUUGUGGAGCCGUGAAGUCUUCAUUAAAAUCGGGGACUGUUGUGGGGGCUUCGUAGCAAUGGAUGAAGGAUCGGUGAAUUCGGUUCAAAUACAGUGGGUUAGGAUUCUAGUGAGGUUGAAUGGGAGAAGUCUACCCGUUUCCUCGCAGCUAGUGGUCGAGUCUAUGUGCUACUCCAUCCAGUUGUGGUGGGAAAUCCCCCCGAAAUUUUCCAAGGUUGUUCCGAGAAGUUGCAAUGAAGGGUCGCCAGAGUCAAAGGUUAGAGGUGACGACGGUGGUGGUCCACACGCGAGUAUGGGAGUGGAGAAAGACCUUUUCCAAUUGCAGACUGGUAGGGAAGAAGUGUCAAGCUCUGGAGGGAAGAGUGGUUGUUUUGGUGAAGGAUGGGACUGUUGUUUUCAAAAAGCAGUUGCAAGCGGGGAUGAUUAUGAAGGCGGUGGCAGGAGGGUCUGUUUGGUGGUUACAGGGGAUUCAAAGGGGGCAAGUGGGCCGGUGGGGGAAAGCCCAGUUGAAUUGCAAAAAGACAAUAGGGGAUCUGGGCCCACGGUUGAAGAUAGAGGAGGUUUGGGUCGGGCCCAAUUGAGAGGCCCUUCUCUUUUAGGGGUGGAGGGUAGAAUUGGGGGUGGAUAGUCCGUUAGGGCUCCUCGCGGGGGACGAUCGCGCAGCAGCGACUGUCCCGUUGGAGUGGUUCAAGUCGACGUCGGCUUGGAUCUUAGGCACCGAUGAAGCUCUCCAGGCUGAAGCGACAAGGUAUUCCUCUAUUCCCUUUCCUUUGCUGUCUCAAGGGGUGUAGGGCUUCUCUUCUUCAUCUAUUUCUUGUCGGAAAAGAGCGGCGAAUGGGUUCCAAAGUCGCGGUUGGGGAUCGGCAACGGAGAUGGUUGAAGUGGAUGCGGGCAUUAGCCCCCUGAACAUGGUUUUUGUUGACAGAAGUGUUGAGGCAGCCUCUUCCGGGGAGGAAAGGGCACUAGUUGUGGUCGGCGAGACGAGUCUCGAUGAAAGCAACUCUUUGAGACAGCCUGUGUUUGGAGCGGAGUCAGAUGGGGAAUGGAAGUCCUCUUGCCUUGCCUAGUUUAGUGACUUUCUGGGAAUGCCAACCACGGGAUGUGAAGAGGAAAUUCUAACCAUGCUCAAGAAAUGGAUCAUGAGGAAAGAUCAGAAGAAUCGGAGGUCUGGGGCUAAAAGGGUCAAAGUUGAAUCCUCAAAGUCUGAAAGGGAACUUAAAAGGUUGGAGUGUUCCAUUAAUUUUAAAAGUCCAGGGCAUGGAAGAGCUCUAUUUCGAGAGAGUGGGGGUUCAGUCUCUGAGAGUAAAUGAAGCUAAGAAUUCUCUCCUGGAACGUGAGAGGGGCAAAUGAUAGCGAUAAAGGAGACUCAUUAAAUCUCUAAUCAAGGCUCAGAGAGCGGAUUUGGUUUGUCUGCAGGAAACCAAAAUCCAAAGUAUGUCGUGUAGUUUGGUUCGGUCUUUGGGGGUGGGUAGAUUCUUGGAGUGGGGCGCUCUUGAUUCUCGGGGUAUGGCAGGGAGGGUGUUAGUUUUUUGGGUAGUAGAGUUUUAGAGCUGAUUGAAAUGGAAAUAGGUAGUUUUUCAGUUUCCUGUCGCUUUAAAAAUGUGGAGGAUGGCUUCUGCUGGGUCUUUACAGGGGUGUAUGGCCCUGCUGUUGGGAGGUUUAAGGAAGAUUUCUGAGAGGAGUUGGGGACAAUCAGGGGAUUGUGGUAGGACCCAUGGUGCUUAGGGGGUGAUUUUAAUGUUAUUAGAUUUCUGGGAGAGAGGAACAGUAUUUCAAGACUGUCUUCAGCAAUGAGAAGAUUUUCAUAAAUCAUUGAGGAUUUGGAAUUAAGGGAUCUCCCUUUGCAAGGGGGGCCUUUCACGUGGGGGGGUGGAUUGAAUAACCAGAUUCAGUCAAGGUUGGAUAGAUUUAUAGUUUCAAAGGAGUGGGAGUAUUAUUUCAGUGGGGCAGUUCAAAGUCUUUUACCCAGAAUUGUUUCUGACCACUGCCCAAUUAUGUUGGACUGUGAAGGAGCGAGGAAGGGGCCUUCCCCCUUCAGGUUUGAGAAUAUGUGGCUGAAGGAAGAAGGUUUUAAGGAUUUGUUAAGGAAUUGGUGGAUGGGCUUCCAAUUCAGAGGUUCUUUCAGUUUCACUCUGUUUGAAAAGCUGACAGCGCUUAAGGCCUGCUUGAAGAUUUGGAAUAGAGAAGUGUUUGGUAAUGUCACUGCUAGAAAAGAAUCAGUUUUAAAGCAGAUGAUGUUUUAGGAUUCAAUAGAAGGGGAUAGGGUGUUAACUGCUGAAGAGCAAACUCUCAUAAAGCAGGCUUUGGAGGAGUAUAAGAAGUGGGUGAUAAUGGAAGAGACAUCAUGGAGGCAAAAGUCUAGAGAGUUAUGGCUGAGGGAGGGUGACAAAAACACUGGUUAUUUUCAUAAAAUGGUCAAUGCACAUAAGAGGGUCAAUUCCCUUGUGAAGAUUAAGAUAAAUGGGCGUGGGUAUCAGAAGAACGUGACAUUAAGGAUGGUGUGGUUUAGGCUUUCCACUCUCUGUUGUCGGAAACAGAUGAGUGGAGGCCCAGGUGCAGUGGGCUGCAGGUUGGGGUUCUGGAAGAGGAAACUGCAGCUUUGUUAGAGGUUCCUUUUUCUGAGGAAGAGGUGUUUGGUGCUCUCUCGGACCUCAAUGGGGAUAAAGCUCCUGGUCCUGAUGGUUUCUUAAUGGCAUUUUGGCAAUUCAGUUGGAGCUUUCUAAAGGAGGAAGUUAUGGGGUUCUUCAAGGACUUUCAUGAUCAGGACAAGUUCAUUAAGAGCAUUAAUGCCUCUUUUAUGGUUUUAAUUCCUAAGAAAGGAGGAGUUGAAGACCUCAAGGACUUUAGGCCUAUAAGCUUGGUGGGAAGUCUUUAUAAGUUGUUAGCAAAGGUGUUAGCUAAUAGGCUUAAAAAGGUGAUGGGUAAGUUAGUGUCCAAGUCCCAAAAUGCAUUUGUAGAGGGAAGGCAAAUCCUGGAUGCCUCGUUGAUUGCAAAUUAGGCGAUUCAUUCGAUGCAGAAAAGUGGGGGAGGUGGCAUCCUUUCUAAGUUGGAUAUUGAGAAGGCAUAUGACCAUGUGAAUUGGAGUUUUCUUCUUUGGUUGAUGGAAAUGAUGGGUUUUGGAGCCAAGUGGAUCAGCUAGAUUCAGUGGUGUAUUGGGACUGUCAGUUUCUGCAUCCUUAUUAAUGGAACGUCCUCAGGAUUCUUCCAAAGUUCUAGGGGUUUGAGAUAGGGGGAUUCUCUAUCCCCCUAUCUGUUCGUGAUUGUCAUGGAGGCCUUUAGUUGUUUGUUGAAGAGAGCGAAGGAGGGAGGGUUUUUGCCGGGAUGGCAGCUUAGUGGUAGAGGAGGUGUGGGAGUGGAGAUCAUUCAUUUGCUGUUCGCGGAUGACACUUUAGUUUUUUGUGAGCCUUCCAUUGAUCAGGUGUCCUACUUGAGUUGGCUUCUUAUGUGGUUCGAAGCCAUGUCGGGGUCGAAGGUGAACUUGGACAAAAGUGAGAUCAUCGCGGUGGGAAGAGUGGAGAAUGUAGAGGAGUUGGCCCUUGAGUUUAGUUGCAAGGUUAGCCAACUCCCUUCUUAUUUGGGUCUUCCCUUGGGUGCUCGUUUCAAGGAGGUGGCAACUUGGGAUGGAGUUUAGGAAAGGCUGAGGAAGAGGCUUUCUCUUUGGAAAAGGCAGUAUAUCUCCAAGGGGGGUAGAAUGACCUUGAUCCGAAGCACUCUAUCCAACAUGCCUAUCUACUGUAUGUCCCUGUUUCAGAUGCCAAGGAGCAUGAGUUUGAGAUUGGAACGGAUCCAAAGGGACUUUCUUUGGGGUGGUGGGGCCAUGGAAAGGAAGCCUCAUUUAGUGGAAUGGUCUAUUGUUUGCUCAGAUAAACGAAAGGGUGGAUUGGGUGUGAGGAACUUGCCGUUGCUAAAUAAGGCUCUCCUAUGUAAGUGGAGUUGGCGUUUUGCGGUGGAAAGGGAAGCUUUAUGGAGGCAAGUUAUAAGUGCAAAGUAUGGGGAAGAAGAGGGUGGUUGGAGGUCCCGUGUUGUGAGAGGUAGUUAUGGGGUUGGUUUGUGGAAAGCGAUUAGGAGAGGUUGGGAUGUGUUAGGUGACAAUUUGGUUUAUUCUGUGGGAAAUGGUAAGAGGGUUAGAUUUUGGAAGGACAAGUGGUGUGGAGAUGAUCCUUUGUGUACUUCUUUUCCUUCCUUAUUUGCUAUAUCCUUGGAUAAGGAGGCUUGGGUGGCGGAUGUGUGGAGCCAUUCUGGAGGGGGAGUGUGGACUCCUAGGUUCUCUAAGCGGAUUAAUGAUUGGGAAGUGAUCGAGGUAAAGCACCUUCUCUUAAGGUUGCAAGGGAGGAGGGUUUAUAGUGAUGUGGAAGAUCAAGUAAUUUGGACCAAGGCAAAGAACGGAAGAUUUUCUGUUAAGUCUCUUUACAAGGCAUUAGAACCGGAAAGACUAAAAGAAUUUCCUACAAGAGUUAUUUGGAAUUCUUUGGUGCCUCCGAGGGUGAGUUUUUUUGCUUGGGAGGCUACGUGGAAAAAGGCCUUAACCUUGGAUCGUAUUCAGAAAAGAGGGUUCUCCUUGGCUAAUAGAUGUUAUUUGUGUCUGGCAGAGGAAGAGUCUAUUGAUCACAUUCUCCUGCAUUGUGGGUUGGCCAGAAGUUUAUGGAGCUUACUUUUUUCCCUCUUUAGGGUUUCGUGGGUGCUCCCCUCUUCAGUUAGAGAGGCGUUAUUGGGAUGGUUUGGGCCUUGUGUGGGAAAGGAAAGGAAGAAAGUGUGGCUUUCAGCUCCCUUGUGCCUUUUUUGGAUUGUUUGGAAGGAAAGAAAUAGUAGGGCGUUUGAAAAUGAAGAGCAAUCAAUUCAUGGGUGUAAAUCGUUUUUCCUUUGUAAUCUGUGGGCGUGGACUAGGGGGUUUUUUGGUUCUAGUCCCCCUUCCAUUGCUGUCUCCAAAAAGCAACAUGCCAUAUGAGAUAAUACAUCAACUAUUGACAAAACCUUAAGCAAGCCUUAGACUUGGAGAUUCUCAUUUUCGCAAAUAGAAUUAAAUCUCAUAUUCAAUUGAUACCUUCAUUCUAGAAAUAAAACAGGGAUAUGCCAAAAUAAAAGAUAAAUGAAGCAAAAUGUAUUGAAGAAACUCAAUUAUACAAAACAGAGAAUCAACCUCUAUGUUUGAUACUCUACUAAUUUCAAACUUGUGACUGAGUAAAAGUUGUUGAAACUGCAUAAUAGAGCAGCGGUAUCAUCAAUCUUUGUUCACUUCACACUGGUUUGAAACAUCUAAAUAGACAAGUCACAUGCCAAAACUACAGAAACAAUUAAACAAUCCCUGAUAAUAGCAUUUCUCUACAUAAUUUUCCUAUAAUGAUGCCAGUUCAAUUUAAAUCUGAACAUUCACACAUCACACUGAAAUGUUGCACACCCACAUCAUACAAGCUAAAUUUAGCAACAUACACAAAAAUAAAAUGGUAAGAAAGGAGAUCCUAACUUAUCUGAAUCUAAAAUCAGGCCUGAAGAAUAAACUUAAGAACUAUUCCACCAUGAUCUUUGUGUCCUCUUCCAAUGGGCACACAAAGAUUUUGUUUGAAUAUUAGAGAGGACAAGGCAAAGGAAAGAAAAUGAUGAAAAUGGUUUGAGCAAGGGAUUCAUUGUAAAGUUAUUUUAUCAUUUCCCUCUUUCCCCUUUGUUCCUUCCAAUAUCAAAAUGGAGCCCAAGCAAUUGAAUUUUUUCAUCAGCAAUGCAAUAAAUGAAGGAGAAUAUUUACAUAUAUAAUUUCCAUAACCAUAUAUUCCUAAUUUGCAGGUACCAAAAUUUUACAAAGCCAUUGAAGUGCUUCUUUUAACUUCUAUGGAAUUAAAUACAUCAUACUGAAAAGGUAAUUUUUAUAUUAAAAACAAUUAAAAUAAUCAAAUUGAUAACAUGUUGAACCAAUUAAUUACUUUUAAAAAUGUGGAAAUUUACAGGUUAAGUUCAACAUGGAUAACUUAAACCCCAAAUCAAUCCAUAUGACUAUUAGUUCAAAUUCAGAAGGAAUAUUAUUUAACAACAUUUUGAGGUCAACAACAAUCACCUGCAGGGCAUAGCAAAUUUCUCUAGCCAUAUGGCGAUCUUUCACAUUCUUCCCAAGGGAUAAGUUUCUGAAUGCACUAUAGCCGAUUAAAAAGACACCACCCUUAGCUCUCCACUUUGCAAGCAAUUCUGCUCUUCUCUCCCUAGCAAAAAGGAAAAUGUCAGCAGCCACAUUAUGUUCAAGAGUUGUUGAGUCUGAAAGAUAACCAGAAUGGAAAAUAAAAUAAAUAAAUAAACAAUGAAAAAUAAACCACCAAAAAGAGAAAAGAGGUAAAUAUCAGGAGAAAUAUCCAGGGGAAGGAGAAUCCAUCUGCUUAAAUGCUAAACUGUGUCAAUGGCAAGGAACAUACUGCUAAACUGUGUCCAUGAUAUAAGACAUCCUGCAAACCAAGCUUGUAACAUCCUUCAAAAGAAAUUGGGGAAAAUAAAGAUAACUAGAAUUGAAACUAUAUCGAAAAUUAAGUAGAUGACAUUUAUUUUACAGAGUAAAGGAGACUUGACCUAGAAGGGAUACAAUGAAAAGCAUCAAAAGGAAAGGGUAAAACACCCAAGAAAGGUGGGAAAUCAUCCAGAGAAGAAGAAGAAGAAGAAUGAGAAGCAUCGAAAGAAAAAGGGCAAAACACCCAGAAGAAAAGUGGUGAAAUGUCCAGAGGAGGAGAAGAAGACAGAGAAAAAGCAUCUUUCAUCUGGUUAAAUGCUAAACUGUCUCCUAACAUGCAAUAUAGUGUAAACUAAAACUUCUAACAUCCUUCUGCUCCACCUUGUGUGACAUAGAACUAGCAACACCCAGAAAAAAAAAUAAAUAAAUAAUGAAAUAGCAAGAGGAGGAGGAGGAGGAGAGAAAGACGAAGAAGCUUUCAUCUGGUCAAAUACUAAACUGUCUCCAUGAUAUGCAACAUAGUGUAAACUAAAAGUUAUAAACAUUGUCUGAAGUAGUUAUAACAUCCUUCUGAUUCCACUGGUGUAACUAAGAUGAAAGAAGAAGAUGAAGAAUCAGAAUCUUUGGCUUUGCAAUUUCCAAGUCUUUACAAAGUUUCACCAGUUCAAAAUUCUCUUAUUUCAUCUAGCCUUGGACUUUCUCCCCCUCUUACUGGGAAUUUUAACUGUUGGUGAACCCUCACUAAUUCAGAGAUGAAGUAUCUUGAAAGACUUAUGUCCAUUCAAUAGUGUUAACAUAUCACCAUCAUCCUAAGAUGUGAGAGCUUGUUCAUUUUCACCUUCCAGCUAAUUUUCGAUCAAAUCUUUUUUCCUAGCUUUAUCUAAUCAAUCAACUUCAGUUCUCUUCUCUCCAGCGAAUUUCAUUUUAGAAAUCAAAAGCUCCAUCAAAGGUCAAGGCGUUUCUUGGUUAGUGGCCAACAAGAAGGUUAAUACUAAUGAUGUGCUUCAAGUUAGAAGACUUUUCAAACCCCUCAGUUUAGAUUGUUGCACUCUAUGUAUGAGUAGUGAAGAAUCGAUACAUCACCUCUUUUUCCACCAUCCAGUGACUCUAGAUUCAUGGCAUAAGCUACUUAGACAGACUAACUUGGUUUGGCUCCUCCUAGAAGUGUUUGUGACAUGCUGAUCGUUUCUUUUAGGGGGGUGUUGGGGAGCACGAAUAGGGUCAAAGUUCUAUGGAAAAUCUCGUCUUACAUUGAUUUGGAUAGUAAGGUGGAAAAGAAAUGCAAGGAUCUUUGAGAACAAGUGGAGGACAUCUAAAAUGUUAUGGGAUCUAGUCUACUUCUAUUCAUCUUUUUGGCAUUUACUACUACAACUUUCAAGAGCAUUCUUAUCAACUUUAUUGGAUUUCAAUAUGUAGAUCAAAAGGGUUAAAAUGGUAAGGUUGAGACAUUUUGAUGUCUUUUGGUUUAUUUUUCUUUUCCUUUGUUCUGAUCAGGUUUUGUAUUUCGGGAAGGAUUUCUCAUCCUUCUCUUGUUUAUCUGUUAAUGAAAAUGUUUUUGUCUCUAAUAAAAAGUAAAAAAUAAAAUAACAAAAAAGAAUCAGAAUCUUUCAUAUUCAAAAGGCAAAAAAAGUAAUACACCCUCCAAUAUUCCAAUGGUAAAUUGUGUCAAUCAUACAGAAGACCGAUAUUUUAUCUUCAAAUCAACAAUACAACCUUCAUUAGUUGAAUGCUAACUUGUAUCAAUGAUACCGAACAUAGUGAUGACCAAAAUCUAAAACAUCCUCCUUCUCUGUCUUUGAAUAAUGAGACAACUCUUGUGAAGAAUAGCAAGUAUUUAUAUGAAGAAUUAUGAGUACACUUAUGGGGAGAUAACAAUUAAAAUCUACCACAACCACCUAAACUCCUGCAUCUUCGCAGCUAGAGAGGUAUAAUAUUUCCUCUAAUUACCAUUCAGUAAUAUCACCACUCAUUACAAUAAAAAGAUAACAUUACUCUAAACACUCAAUGAUCAUCACAAAUAAUCUAGAUUAUACAUAAGGGAAUAAGAAGAAACUACACAGCUCAUUUCUGAUUUUGAUGGUGUCAUUCUCAUGUCCUUGCAAAAGAACCUUGUACCUUGCUCUUCACUUUUUGUCAUAUCAGAUAGAGAAUCAGUUUUAUAAAUUUUGUCAAGUACUCACAAAACUUGUGGUGGGAAACAAUCUUAAUUUCUUGUCUCCUAUAUUUCUCCAUCAAUAUGUCUUAUUGCCUCCUUCUACACAUUUUCAAUCUCCCUAGAGAGUUCAUCCUGGAAAUGCAACUUCAAUGCUAAAUCUCAGUCAAACAGAACACAGUUGUUUUCCAAUCUGUUCUCUUUUUUUCUUUUUUUUUAUCAGAAGUUGUUCUCUAAUCUGUUAAUCAGGAUGUGUGCAUUUUUUCUUCCUCUCCAUAUGAGAGGAUUUCAGGAUUACAGCCAUUUGGUUGGUAUUUCUUUUCAUUGCUCAUUGCUCCAUCCGUCCCUUCUGUUUCUUGCUUCUCUGAUUUAGAAACAUAAAGGUCCCUUUAAACAAUUCUAUCAAAGGUCAACUGCUAUUAAGGUUUUUUUAUUAUAAUUCACAUAUCACAGGAAGGAUCCCCAAUGAAUAUCCACAGAACCACAAUGCAUGAACUUUGCAUUUUGUACACCUAAAACUUCAAAUUUCAUAAGUGUAUUAGAUUGUUGGGUUUUUAUCUCCAAGACUAAAGAGUUCAUUAGGGAGUGAUUCUUGGAGGGCUAGAAGCAUUUCCUAAUAUUUGGAAGAAUUUUCCUAAAAAAAAUUGUUAUUUGGAGAAGUUCUAAAAUCAUUUUCAAAAAUUAAGAAAAUAACUUGAAGUCACUUUUGGACUAACAGUAAGUGCUUCUUCCAAAAAUCACCCUUUUUUUUAUUAUACAUCCAUAACCAAAAAACACUUUUAAAGCAUUUUUUUGGUUUAUAUCUAAAUGCUAACAGAUUCCCCAUAAAAGCAUUUCUAAUAGAAGUGCAAUUAACAGAAGAUUGCUUUUACAAAAUCACUGCAAAAUGAGAUAUAAAUAAAUGUACUCUCAAGCAAGAGAAACCAGCCCAUCAUUGCAACAGGACACUUCACGACCAAAAUUUUAUAAUUUCCAUUUUUUUCCCUUCUUGGGACUCAAACAUGGAAUCCCUCACAUCCCUAUCGCAACCCCUUAUCAAUUGUUGGAACCACAAUAUUGUACUGAUAAAUGAAGGAAUGAAGCCAUAGCAUAUUACAAGAGAAGUGCACAACAAUACAAUCCCAUCAAUAGAAACAUCUAUAGGUAUGUUCAGCGAACAUGCACAAGGUAUAUAACAAGUGGUAUGAAAAAAAAUGCAUCCAUCAUAUAAACAGAAGCUCAGUAGGUGAAAUAUAUUUAAUGUGAUAACCAAAACAUGCAUAAUUAACCUUGAAACAUCUUCCAACAUGAAGACACGAAGAGGCUUCAAUUCCAAAGGUCUCCAUUUUAUGAACUCCUGUCGCCAAUUGUGCAGCACAUUUACAGGUGUAACGAUAAGUGCAGUUCUUAAUCCUAAGUCAAUACUUCUCAUUGCAGUAUAUAAGAAAGCUAUCACCUGCAUACAGAAUUUGACAAUUCAGGCAAGCUCCAUCCAUCAACCAACAAAAAACAGUAUUAUCCAGGUAUAGAUGCUACCAAUUAUCAUCAAAAUCCACAGGAAAAAAAAAUAGAGUGAGCAAUCAACAACUAAUGCUUGUACUAAUGACAAUUUUCAUGUCUGUGAGCUAGAAUGCAAUAAAAAUGUCGAACUUACAAAGAAGGAAAAUAUCUAAACUCACUCAGUCAAGGUCAUCUCUAGGAUAGAGAGAAUUCAGUAUAAUUAUUUGUUUCGGGUGGAACAUCAAGAUGGUAAUCUGGCGGCCAUACCACCACCUGUAUAAAGCUAUCUCCUAGUAUAAUCUGUUUAUGAGAUGAUUUUUCAAGGAGUGACUAGUCUGUUCAUAUUCAAUAUCCCAGUCUACCACAGGAUCCCAAACACUUGAAAGCCGAAAAGAGCCUUUUUAUCCCUAUUCUUGUUCUCCUCCUUAAAUCCUAAAAUAUUGAAGCUCUAGCCCACCUAUUCGUUAGAUAACCAAGCUAGGGUUGUCAUACAUGAAUUUUGGUAUCAAAGCUAAAAUUCUAGGCUUGAAGGUGUAUACUACUGGAAGAGUGGAACAAAUUAUGCAACAAAAGUGGAAGCUUAUAAUUUUUUUUAGUGUGACUUAUAGUGUCUACACCAAAGGCAAACAACAAGUUGGCUUGGUGGUGUGCUAACAUCUUCUGAACCCGUGUUUUUUGACAAGGAAGACUAUGCACUACGAUUAUUGAUGAGGUAGUAAUUCUAACAUAACUUCAAAAGAACUUGUAAGAAGCUUAAUCUAAAAAUAGAGAAGGAUCCAAAUAAAUAUCAAAUAGUAUGGGUAAAUGACACAUAUUUAGAUGAUUAUCGUGGUUCAAUAAUAUUUAACUUUAGUAAUAAUUUUCAGCUAUUAGUAUGGUGUGAUUUUUUCCGAUAAAAGUUGCCCAUAUAAGGCUUGGAAGACUGGUUUUUUUAUGGAAUUCGAAUAUUAUGGCUAUGAGAACACUUGUACACUCUUGUGCAAUGAGCAUAAAAAAAUUCUCUUUCCAAUGAAAGAGAUUCCACCACCUAAGCAACUAGUAGAGAAAUCAGUAUCUCUGAACUAAAAGAGUCAUCAAAUACUCCUAUUAAGAAGCAAUUUGAAGUUUAGAUCUAGGAUAAAGGAGUCGUCUAUUAUGAAUAUGGAAAGCAAGAUGUGAUGGGGCCUGUGCUAGAACAUGUAGGUGAGCUAAACAAAGUACAUUAGUUGAUUGGGACUCUACUAACCCUUUUUUUGAUAGGGGUUGACUCUAGUCACUUGAUUCCCACAAUGCUAAAGAAUGAAUUGCUAUGGCUCUGAAAUCUACAGCAUGAUAUUCAUCUAACUCGAAACUCCUCUUUUCCAAAUUUACUCGCCUACCAUACACAUCACAGGAAGCACAUGGACUCCAAAAGAUAAGUAAAUAAAUUCUCUACAAAGGCCUUCAUUCAACAAAAGUUUCUUUAUGAUACUUCCUCGUUACUAGUUUCUAUGAAGGAUAAGUUAUACAAAUGGCUAGUCAUAAUCUUUGGAUUAAACAACACACCAACCAAGUUAAUGCAAUUUUUGUAGUCUAUAUGCCUAUUGGUGGUACAUUGAGUUUCAGGCAUGUUCAGGGAAAGUCUAUGCUUGAAUUCUCAAAGUAAAAGAUCGAUACAACUCAUUUGAAAAUUCUAAAUCUUACAUUGUUAUACUAUUAUGGUGAGUGUCACACUCACAAAUUUUUCCCUCAAAUUUUUUAUGAUGUGUGGCACUUAGAAGCCCUCUAAGCUAGCCUACUCUUGCCAACACGAGACUGCACAAGGAAGCAACAAGGAAACACAAGACAAGGCAACAAAAAUUACAAUUUAAGUCUUUCCUCAAACUUGUAUUAUGUUACACAAAGUUACAAGAAUAUUAAGCCUAUUCUUGCAAGCAAAACUCCCACACUAUCUUUCAUGAUUCAAUGCUUUGAAUGGCAAGUGGCACCUCUAUUUAUAGGCUUCAAUCAGUCGACUACAUAGCACAUUCAUAAGAAAAACCUAUUUUGAAUUCAAACGUCUUCAACCACAUCAUUGCUUCAACCAUUUGCCACGUGUUCCAUGACUGAUUUAAAACCCCACUGUUGUUGCCACCUCUAGCAACAUGCAUUCUGUGCCUCCUUAUCAAUUUCACAUGUCCACAAGCUCGACAACCCAUGCCUUCAUGUUAGGAACAGCUUGCUUGACUUGGUCUGUGCUAGGUGUCUCCCACCUCAGCCCCCACAUGUCAGCUCAUGUCUAAUGUUAAGACCAUGUCAAUAAACCCUUGCUUGGGCUUACCCAAUGCCAAGAUGCCUUCCUUGCUUGAGUUCACCCUAAUGCUAAGGACUCCCCCUUAUGCCAUGCAUGUGUUAGCUUGCACCUUGUAGUCGAGCCCGUAAGCAUCAGCCCACUUACGUGUCUUGAUCAGCCCCUUGUGAGUGUCAACUCAUUGCCUGCAUGUCUAGGCAGCCCAUGUAUUUGCCAAGCCCUCUCUUAGCCCACAGCCAUGUAUUGCUAUGUUGGCCCACAUGUAUGUCAACCCACUUGAUCAAACCAUCUCGCCAGGCAUGCUUCUGUGUGUACCAUAAUCACGCCCCAUGUCACUGCACCCAUCACUAAUACCACACCUAAUGGCGUUGCACCUAUAUGUGUGUGCUAGGAAGGCUCAUUCGUGUGUGAGAUCCCUCAUGAUGUGCCCUUGGUGUGGCCAUGCACGAUCCACCACUCCACCUUUAACCGAGUCAUGCAUACCCCCCCCACAAAAGGGAAAAAAUACCAGUCCAAAAAUUGAAUUUUGGCCAAAUUAAGCUGAGUCGAGUUGGGCCAAGUGCUGGCCACACAUGCCAGCCCGAGUGUUUGUACUAUCCAUGUGUGCUAGCAACAUGUGUUGGGUGUCUACCCACUACCAAGUCUCUACACAUCCUAUUGCAAGCCUCAAUUCCCCCAAGCCUCACUCAUAGGUACAAAGUGCUACCACACAAGGCUUUGGUGCCGCAUCAUCCAAGUCAUGGUCUUAAUAGUAAGGAAUAUUGAAAGGACUACAUCUACAAUUUCUUUGUUCUAUGGAACGCUUGAUUGUCAUUUUUUAAAAAGAUUAAUUGCUAAGUUCAAACAUCAUACUCCAUUCUGAGAGAUUUUAAGAUCCUCUAUUACAUUAGCAAAAAAUAAAUUUAAAGAGCACUGGGAAGAUCCUAGUUCCUGAUUGCAUCCGGUAUCAAUUUUGCAAAGAUUUAAUGAAGAGUUCUUUGCAAUGCAUUAUCAAUUCAUUCUUGUAGGUCAAUAAAGAGAAAAAAAAAAGUAGAAAGAAUUACUCGAGAUUUCAAUUAACCAUGGAAAGCCAUUUAAACUUGAGGUUUAGUUAUUUUUCAAGUCGAGGGAAAAUAACGAGAUGAAUCCCUAAGAUCUACUGGAAAAAGGAAUUUAAGGAAAAAUUUGAACGAAAAAAAAAAAAGAGGUAAAUUACUCUAUCAAAGGUAUUUAGAUAAUUUUACAGUUUUUUAGGUUCUCUAAUAUCAUAAUUAGUAAAUAUUCAAUAUUAAAAUUUUCUUUGGAAUUUGGUAAGUUUUAGAAUUCUCCUCAAAAGAAGUUUCCAAACUUCCUAUUUUUUAAAUUAAUCUCCUUUUUCAAGAGUUUCUAUUUGUGUUUUUACUAUCUAGAAUUCCUUUUUUAUUUGAAUCUCUUAUUACAAGGAGUUUCUAUAAAGUAAAUUUCUAAUUUUAAAAUGAAGCUUCUAGUUUAUUUUAAAAUAAAAGUCAUAAUAAAUUACCAUUAUACAUUAGGUUUAUAUUUUCAUGAUUUUAUUUAGUUUUUAGGGAUUUCUAAAGCCUAUAAAUAAGACUAAUUGAUGUAAAACGAGACAAAUGAUUAAUGAUAAAUAUUAAUUUGUCUUGCAAUUUUCAAUAAUGAGAUUCCAUUUGUUUUCCUUCUAGGUGAGACUAGAGAGUAAGUUUCUAAUACCAAAAACAUUUUCAUUCUCUUUUAAAUUUAAUUUAAUUUUAGAUGAUUUAAUAGUUUUAGGAAGAGAAUAUAAGUCCUAAUAAGCUUCUAUACAAGUUAGAUUUCUUGUUUCAUAGUUGUAUUCAGUUUAUAGGGUUUUGUAAAGCCAUAUAUAUAUAUAUGGCUAACUAAUGUAAAAUGAGAUUAACUAAUAAUGAUGAAUAAUAUUAAGUCCUUUUGCAUAACUUGAAAUUUUAAGUGGUAACCGGUAAGACUCCAUCUACUUCUCGUCUAGGUGAAACUCCUAGAAGGCCAUGGUAAGUGUCACACACUCGAAAAUCACCCUAAAAUUUUCACCUGGUGCGCAGUGCUAAAGACCCUUCCUUAGCCAACCUUCUCUCCCAGCCUUCUCAACACACACACAGCAACAACAAAUCAAAGGAAACAGGGACACAACGAGGUUAUAGGAAAUCCUUCCCAACUUGUAUUAAUCUCAACUACAAGAUACAAAAUUGCUUCCCUGAGUCAGAGAGCAAUACUUACAUCCCAAGCAUUCAAAGACUACUUUCCCUCUUCUCCCUCUCUCUCAUCUCAAGGCUGCAAGAGCCCUUUUAAAAGACUCACCCUGCAGUUUUUCCCUUGGUGGUUAUGCAACCGCCCAGAACUGCCCUGAACUGCUUGCACAACCACCCACCACCCAGAUGGUGGUCUGCUGAGAAACCACCCACUUGCAUCAGCAUCAGCAGUGACUCAGCCCACUACCAGUCCAUGCAGCUGACUGACUUGAUCACUAGCUGUCCUAGCUAGUGCUCUGACUAGCUGCCAUCUCCUCGAGCCUGCCUCAUCAAGUUGCCGGAGAGCCCUCCCCUAACAAGCUGCCUCCUUCCCCGCAAGGUGCCUUUUGUGACCGGGUGCCCACCAACGCGUCUCUGAUCAAGGCUCUUGGAACCAAGCAGCAUGCACCACUAGCUGACCAGGCUGCAUCAGUGUGCCUCCCCCACACUGAUGCGUGAGCCCAAGCCAUGUCAAGGUGUCCAUGGCCUGGGCCUGUUGCUCCCACUCAUUAGGUUUAGCUUCAACGAGUCAUGGCAUUGCGCCCAUGGCUGUUCCCUCUUGGUGCACAGGGCAUUGCGCCCCUGUGCUGUGCAUAGGCGUCAUGGUGUGAACCAGCUACUUGUCUGAUGCCCCAUCUGGCCAUGGCAUUGCGCCCAUGGUCUUCUUGGCUGGCUCGCUUGCACAAGGUUUAGGCGCCCUCGUGCCUACGCGGGGAGGGGGUAGGCCGCACCAUGCCCCGUGCUGUUGCAGCCACGGGGUGCAUGCCACACACGUCGUGGAGCCCAUGUGUGCAUGCUUAAAUGCCAUCCGUGUCCUAGGCACGCCCAAGGCCAUGCCAGGGUGCCCUCUUGGUGCGGUCAAGGCUCGCCCUUGGUGCUCAUCCCCCUUGAGACACCCACACCCCCCUUAAAGAGCAAUACGGGCCGUUUUCAAAGUUUCUGGAGGAGACAUCAAUAUGUCUGAGGAGACAUAAUGAAAUAUUUAAAUAAAUACAAAUUAAUUUAAAUUGCCAAAAUAUCCCUCUGCACCACUCCAUGGCCCAAGUGCCUUCAUGAUGCGCGCACGGUGCGUGUCUGGCUCGCCCACGGUGCGCGUGCGGUGCGCGUCUAACUCGUCUGUGGUGCGCGCGGUGCACGCUUGGCUCGCUCGCGAUGCGCGCCUAGCUCGCUCGCGGUGCGCGCACGGUGCACGCUUGACUUGUCCGCGAUCCCCACACUUAGCUCCUGGGGUUUGAACCACCAAACCUCCAGGCUUUCCUUGCUUUCCGCCUAGGCUCUCAUGGGUGCAAGGCCUACCCAUGAGGCCUAUUUCUCCGGGUCUGAAUCAAGUGGCUAAGGGGCUGACAGUAAGACUCUUAAGUUUUCUAGCUUUCUUCUCUUUCCUUUUCCUAUCCUUUUUUUACCCUCACUAUAAUUUUAUUUUUGUUCUCUCAAAAGAUAGAAGCCCUAACCCACCUAUUUGAUUGCAAACAACCACCUUAGGGGGUUGUCCAACAUCACAUGAGAGAGGAGUUAUUUCUUAGCGUGGCAGAGGUCAAGGAGAUAGAUAUUGUACUCACUGUGGAUGCAACAAUCAUGUUUCUGAGAAGUGUUGUACUCACUUCUCUUCUAAGUGAAACUCCUAGAAGAUCAUAGUAAGACUCUCAAGGUUUCUAUCUUUCCUUUUCCCAUCCUUUUUUUUUUUCCUCCCUGCUAUAAUUUUAAUUUUGUUUUCCUCCCGAAAUCUUAUAGAUUGAAGCCCUAACCCACCUAUUUGAUUGCAAAUAACCAGCUUAGAGUUGCCCUACCUCACGUAAGAGAGAAGUUAUUUCUUAGUGUGGCAAAGGUCAAGAAGAUAGAUAUUGUACUCACUAUGGAUGCAACAAUCAUGAGGCUGACAUGUAUUUGGCACAGUUUGGCAAACCAGAUUUGGCAAAUCAAGCUUACUUUGAUCAUGAUGACCAAUCAUCUACUUCAAAGGCAUCUGGCGCACUCAUUAUGAAUACAAAUCAUCUUCUGACUUCACGAAACCGACUAAGUGGACCUUCAUCUACACCUAUAGCUAUUGUUGCAAUAUUAGGUACACCAACUGCUUUCUUAUCGAUAUUCAAUUCUAUAUCUUGGAUUGUUGACUCUAGAGCAUUCUCUCAAAUGAUAGGUAAUGAAUCCAUUAUUAAUCAUUUUUCUCCUUUCUCUAAAGAGUCCUCAGUUUUGCUUAUGAUUGUUGUAAAACUCAAGCCUUGGCUGAAAGAAGUGUUUCCUCUGUUUGUUUGCCUUUUUCAUCAGUUUCAUAUUUGCCAAAGUUUCAUAUUAACUUUUUAUCUUUUAGUCAGCUUACAAAAAAGCUUAACUGCUCACUCCCACCAUUCACUCGAAAUAGCCAUGAGAAAAUAAUGUUCAUAUUUUGAACAAAUGCUGGGACUUGGUACUACCAGAGACUUGUAUAUACUCUCCUCUUUCUAAUCCUUCUUUUACACACUCAUUCAGGCAUUGCACAUGUACAAGUUUGAUAAGCCAUUUUUAUUCUCUAAGAACUUCUCAUGAAGAGAAAAAGGAAUGAUUGAGAGAAACGAACGCAAUACCUGAAAAGUUUUACCAAGCCCCAUGGUGUGAGCUAGAAUGCAACCAAGACCUUUAUCACCAGAUUUCACUUUUCUAAUGGACUGGAUAAUAUUUUCCCACAUAAAUCGUAUCCCUGUGAUCUGAAGGAAUGAACAAGAUAAGAUUUCAUUAAAACAAAAAAAAACAAAAAAAAAACAAACAAAACACCAAUAUACUAACACCUUCAUGAUCAUUAGUUUAAAGGAGGCCAUCAAACAAGCACUUUACAAGAAACAAGUAUUUUACACGACACAAGAACACCAUUAUUAGAGAUAAAAGGCUAAUUUUAAGUAAACAAAUUUAAAGGCAUACUUCUUGUUACAAUUUUCCAGAAUACAUCAGCUCAAAUUUAUGACAUCUCAACUUUGUUUUAGUAGGACUAAACCAAGCAGGAAAGCAAUAGUCCCAAGUUAUCGUGGCAGGGUCAAAAUAAACACAGGCAGUUUAGGAUAUCUGGAUUUUGGAACAGUUUCUAUCCUCUCUGCCUCUAGUUCCUCUGAGUCACUGGACCAAGUUGAACAAAAAAUUUCCAACCUUACUAUGAUGAUGAUUUCUUCUCUCUUUUCUUUACCCUUCUUUUGGCUUAUGUAUUUGGAGAAAUGGUGUAGGAAAAGUCUUGACAUGCCAUCCAAUCUUCUAAUAGCAAACAAAUACUUUAAAUGGGGAACAACACUCCAUAACAACCAAAAGUGACAAAGCAAGAUUAUUCUUGCCAAUUUCAAUUUUCUGUGCAGGAAUAUCAAGGCCAGCAGGCAUGAGGCACAUAAAAGUCAACAAAACUCUGGCUGCCUUGCGGUUCAUAUAUUCUUUAACCCAUGCCAGUAUGUCCAACAGUUCAAAUCCAUGACAGUCAGAAUUGGCUGCAUGCCAUCUCUCUAUUGUAGCCCCUCAUGUAUCAAUAGACAGAUCACUAAAUAACUAGCAAAUUGUACAAGUAUCCAAAUCAAAUAAAGAAAGUUGUCUAUCAAACCAAGGAAGAAAAAACCCUACACUUUCAAUUUUAUAAUAGGGAAGGAACUUAGUUGGAAUGAAAAAAGAGGACAGCAAGGACUUCUGAAAUGAAGAAAAUUAAAGAGAGAGAGAAGAGAAGAGGGCAGAAGGGAUUUAAAGUAGAAAUAAAACAAUUAAACAAAGUCAGUUUCUAAGAAUGUCCUAUUUUGGAAACAAGAAGACAUUUGAAAGUUGCAGGAGGCAUGAUUGAAAGGGACACAUUAAAUUCAAGCCAUUUUGAAAAAGCAAUCUAGCUAAAUAGCAAGGAUCCCAGAAGAACACAGAUACAUGUAAGUUUAGGAAGAAACCUGAUGGACUUUCAAUUUGGCAGAGAUGCUUGGAGGAAUCCUCACAGCUUCUUCACCUUUUUCCCUCACAACAUUCACUAUAUAACCUUUCGAAGCAUCACCUAGAACUUCAACACUAGUAUCCUCUGAUAAAUUACCAUUGCAACUUGCAGCAUUCAUCAUCUUGGAUUUCUCGGAAAACUGCACUUGUAGAGACUUGAGACGUUCUUGCCGUUCCUAGAAAUAAAGGGAACAAUUGACAACCCAGCACCCAAAUACGAGUUUGAACUGAACAAUUCAACAACCAAAUUUACCUUUUCGAUUGCAAUUUUUCUUUUGGUCUCUUCCCCUAACUCAGCAUCAUCAAGAAUCCUCCGAAUUUUCUUUUUCCUUCUUCGUUUGGAGCUGAUACAGAAAAGGAGUAACUAUAUAGUUAUAUUCAGCACAGAAUCCUGUUAAGAUUUGUUUGAACAACUUGAAAAAUACUAGUACAAAUCUGGAAUGUCAUUUAAAAGCCAAAGAAUAAUAACUUAAAAGCUCAUGGCCAAUCUCCUAACAAGUUCAGGCAAGAAAGGAGGUGUAAUGAUGGUUAGGCAUAGCAGGUCUAAACAUCAAGAGUGAGGCUUGCACUUUCAUUUCUUAAAGCUAGAUUCCGAUUGAGCUAAAAAAUGUGGUUAAAUGAAACUCAUGGUACCAAAGGAAACCCCAUAAAACUUUAACACUAAUGAAAACUCCUAUUAAUACAAUGAUGAAUCACAAAACCAAAACAGAAAGCCAAAAUCAGGAAACCCCACACAACUUUAAAGUUUAACACUCAUGAAAACUUAUACUAAUUCAACCAUGAAAUAUCACAAAAUUAAAACAGAAAGAAAAAGAAUACAACCACGAUCAAAAAAUUAAAACAGGAAUUCUGCAUUAGAGAAAAAAUCAAACCAAUUUUUGAGUUUUGAUACAGAAAAACCUAAAAGAAACAAACAAUGGAAAUACUAAUGCUAAAACAUUAUGAAAUACAUUAAAAAUCCCAAUCACAAUCAAUUGAUCUUAAUACCUGAUUGCAACAUUGAUAUCUUCAUCUGAAUCAUCUGAAUCACUAUCAGAGCUAGAAACUGUCAGACUACUAGAUCCAAUGGCUUUUUCUAACUCCGAAGUCAAUUGUUGCAGAAGACUUGGAGAGCAGCAACAACAUUGCCAGCCACUUGCUUUGACAUCUGACAAGCAUUCUUCGCCGAUGUUCCUCUUUAUACACGUAAUACAGAAUAAUGUUUUACAUGACUUACAACCUACCAAGUCAUUGCUCCGUCCACACCAUCCACAAUAACACUCAGAGCAAUCAGGAUCCUGCCACAGCAAAUUAUCUCACUGAAAGGUAGAGUAUAAAUACUACAGAACAUUGCCAUACAAUCCAAUUCAAAUAGAAAUCUGACAAAUCCAACAAUCAAGCAGUAAUUAUAAAAUAAUAAUAGUAGCAGAGGCAGUAGUAGUGGUGGUAAAGACACAGCUACUGUGCAAGGUAUGUUAGUUGCAGUGUCUAAGGGAGGAGGAAGAGAAUAUGAAAGAAGAAAACUAAGAAAAAAGGAAAAAGAACAAGAAAGAACAAAUUAUAAUUUUUUUCAGUUUUUUAAGUUCCAAAAAAUUGACUGGAGGGUUUCCAGAAGUGGAGCCAGUACAGAAAGGUAGCCAGCUUCAGAUGUAAGUUUCCACAGAAACUAGCAGAUAUGUUUCUUGAAAUUUUUACCUCAUAACCUAGAGGAUUUCAGCACAUAAAGAGUGAAAGAGGAAGGAAACUUGGCAAUGCUGCUUUGAAUGGUGUCACCAAAAAAAGGGGCAGGGCCUUGGGAACUAGAUUCUUGGGUCAAAAAAUUAUUAAUAUUUUAAGAGAUUUUGAUUGCCACUCUAUUUGGAGUUCUAGGUUGGCAAACAAGACAACUAAUAGCUUGGCCUAGCAGCCUCCUUGUUGAAGGCCUUUGUUAGGGAUUUCCUGCCCCAAAGCAACAGUUUCUUUUUUCUUUUUUUGGAAGGAAUUAUGCCAGUUUUUUGGUGUAGUUGACUCGAGGAGAAUGUUGAGUACAAAACCAGCAUUUUGUUGCAUUGAAGUAGUAAGAACAAGCUCAUUGCAUUGAGGACAAAUCUCUUUGUCCUCAGUGGUGCAUUCUAUGCAAAGGAAAAGGAGAAUCGAUUCACCACCUUUUUCUUCAUUGCCCUUUAACUAUUGGGUUUUGGCACAAGCUCUUCAAUCUAGCAGGGUUGGAUUUGGUUCCACCACGAAGUAUUGAGGACAUGAUGAUUGUUGCAUUUAGAGGUUUGGGGAAUUCAAUUAGAGGCAAGACACUUUGGCAAAUCACUUGCCUCACUUUGUUGUGAAUUGUGUGGCAAGAGAGAAACGCUAGGAUUUUUUAGGAUAAAGGGAGAUCGAAAGGGAUGUUAUGGGAUUUACUUCAUUUCUAUUCCUCUCUAUAGGCCUCUUGUACUGCUGCUUUUAAAGGAGUUCCUCUUAGUGUUUUACAACUCAACUGGACUGCGGUUUGUGACUCAAAAGUUUGAGAUAGUUGGGGAUUAUCUUUGUAUAUAGUUUUCUAUAGAGGGGUAUAUACUUACAUUGACCAGAUUCUAUAUUUUGAGGGAAGCACCUCUCAUCCUUCUCUUGUAUCUUCACUACUAUUAAUACAUAUUUCUUCAUUUCUGAUUUUAAAAAAAUAAAAAUAAAAAUAAAAAUAGUAAGAACAAAGAAGGAUGAGAAACCUUCCAACAAGUACAAAUGGUAAUGUACUAAUGUUGGGUGUUUAAUAGAUGGUUUAUCUAAAUCUCUUUCUUCUUGCACCAGGUUCGAAGCAUGAUUAAUCCUUCUUUAUAUUCCUAUUUUUUAUUGGUAUAAUUUUGCUUGUUUCCUAUAAAAGAAGUAUUAUAUAUAGUUGAACCAACAAGAUACAAACAUAUAAACAUAUAUUCACACCUAACACUUUUACCCAAGUCCAUGUAACAGAGACUAUAAUAAAUCUAAAAGCUUAAAAAUUAAUAUUUUGAGUUAAAUAAUCUAUGUUUCACCAAAUAAUAUUCUAGUUUUACAUUAAGCAUAAUCAUUAAGCCAAACAUAUUUGAUAUUCUGCUCAUCAAACUGCUAAACUGUUGAAAGCAACACAUGUACAACACUCAAUACAGUCCAUACCUUAACAUGCAUCUUUCUCUCAAUUAAACAUUUGCAAUCCCCACAGAUGAUUACUUUCAGAAGAGGAUGACAGUGCACUUCAAUAGCCACUUUAUUACAAGCAGUGCAGUGAAAAUUCCCAUUCAUAUGCUUUGAAGGAAGAGAACCAGAACCAACAAAAUCACCUUCAGUUUCUUGCAAAACAGACUGACCCUCCAUCUUAGUCAUAUUGUUAACAAGAGAAUUGGAUACAUUGCCCACCUCAUGAGUUUCAUCAUCACUAUCUAUGAUAACAGUCCGAAACCUCUUAUUAUCAACAUCAAGUUCCCCAUUGUCAUGUGAACGCUUGAAUCCUUUGGUUUCAGUUGAAUCAGGCAAAACAGAGCCAGAAAGCACCGAAGAAUUGCCAUUACUUGCAGGCCUUUCUUUGUCAAGAGUGUCAGGCAUUUCAAGACUUUCCGACACCUCAGUUUUCGAACUUUGACAUGCACCAUCAUCAUUAUUAUUAGAUAUACUUACCCCGUCCCCACGAGUUUUCUCUCUCAAAACAGCCUGAGAGUAGUCAUUCAAAAGCACAGAAUUGUCUAAGAUGUUUUCUGCCAACCGAUCUUCUUUCUGAAUGGUUUCCUGAUACAAGAACAGAACAAACAAAGCAUGCCAAAAUGAGGGACAGGUACUUAUUCAACAAGGUGCACAACACCCCAAUACUGAAAUGACAUGUUUAGAAAUGACACUCCUAAGCAAACCUCUUUUCCAUGCUUACAUCAAUUAUUAAUUAUAAUUAAACCUACAUAAAGUGAAGUAACUUCAUCUGUUCAUUAAGCCUUUCCUCUUACACAAAUGAAGCAGUUUUCAAUAUAUAAUAUUGCUGAUGCAAAGCACAUUGAUAAGAAAGGAAAAUUUGUGUUCAUAUGGGACUUUCUUUUUUCCUUAUUUCAAUUUCAUUAUCUAUAUAGGAGCAUUUUAAUAAUUUUAAGAAUUAGGGCCUCGAGGGCUGGAUCUAGUGGUAAAGCAUUGGGUGAGGUGAGGGCGGUUCCAGGUUCCAAUCCCAGCAAGAAGAAACAUAAAAGUUUAAAAAAAAAAUAAAAAGGAAUAAGUUAACUAUCAAAAUAAAACAAAAUAAAAUAAAUAAUAUUAAAGAUUAUAACUGUUUGUAUCCAGGUCAGCAGUCGUUUGCUUAUGGUCUAGUUUCUUGAUAGGUUAGUUAAGAUCUCUUAUAUAAGCCACUGCAGUAUGUAAGAUUUCCAAUGCAAAGCACAUUAUGAAGGGGAAAAAUGUGUUUAGGGAUUUCCUCUUCUGAACAGUUGACCACCAAUGCAAAACCCUUGCUAGAAAGAUCUUAAGAAUUCAUGAAUAUAGACACUUGACUAAUGAAUCACUUUUUUAACAUUGCAGCCAUUAUUGCCUAGAUUCUCUUUAAGAAUAGUAUUUCUGUAAAUAAAGUUUCAACCCAAAACCAGCUACUUUAACUUUUAAGGCAAAAAUUCCUUCUUCCAUAAUUCUAAAGCUCUUCCAACUUCUAAGUCUUGAACUAAAUUCCCAAAAAGGCAAAAUUAGUUGCUGUCCAGAUAUUCUAGCAACCUAUUUUACAAAAUUUCAGAAAUUCCAGCAAUCUGUCCAGAAAUUCCAGCUUUUUCUCUCUUAUAAUUCCACUUCCUGAAAUUUCGGCUUCUGUAGAAACCUGAGAGACCAAGCAACAGCUGAGCUUUCUUUUCCUCCUGCUUUGCAACAUGUCAUUUUCUCCUUCUACCCCAGACAAGAGGUGUUGAGCAUUGCAAUUGUGUGGCCUUUUCUCUCUCAACCAUUCUCCAUGCUUUAGUAGAUCUAAUUGUCUGAUUGUGUUCCCUGAUGGCAAAAAUCAUUUGGACUGCAACUAUCAUUUGGAAGUCAAAUACUUCCCAGAAACACAAAGCCUUUGCACGGUUAAUGGCUAAUAAGAGGGUUAAUACCACCAACCUGCUUCAGCUUUAACACUAACAACUUUGGUUGCUGCAUUCUAUGUAUGAGGAGUAAGAAGUCAGUAAAUCAUCUUUUCCUCUUCUUUUUUACAUAAGAAUAAUGGCAAAGGUUGAUCUCCUUAGCCAAAAUCACAUGGAUUGGUCUAAGGAAUACAGAUAUGUUGGCCAACCCAUUCCUAGCUUUUGAUGUGGGUUAUUUGGCUUGAGAAGAACACUAGAAAUUCUGAAAAUUUGAAGGCACAGUAUUUGAUGUCGGGAGAAGUGGUAUCACCUCAGGACUUUUUGAAUGACUGUUAACAAGGAGUUCAGUGAAGCUCCAUUCAGCAUUUUUUUCUUUUUUUUAUCCUUUUUUUGAUAAGCAAAGAAACAUAUAUAGAUAUAUAUGAAAAGAAAAGAUGUACACCAGAGUACACAGGCUAUAUAUAACAGGCACAAAGUGGCAGACCACAAAAAAGAAACAAAAAACCACUCUCUCUCUGUCUCUCUCUCCCUCUCCCUCUCACACUCACAGUGUGAUCCCAAUCAAUCUACAAAAUCAAUCAAAGGCAUUGAAUCUUCUUUAUGUGCAUCCCAACCCAAGUAACAGAUUACUUAGGAACAACCAUUUCAACUUAUUCUCAUACUGCUCCUCAUUUCCAAACUCUUUGGUUUCUCCUUCCAAAAAGUCCCAAAAAUGCACAGUGAAGCUGCUUGCCAAACCUUCUUCCAUUUUCUCCCUACAAAGUACUAUGCCAGCUUAAAAGAGUUUCUUUGACUGAGGAAGGAAGCAACCAAAAACCACCAGAACAGCAAUUGUCAUAGAACCCUUGACAUGGUGCAAUGAAGAGGAAUGUGAUUGAUUGAUUCCCCUUCAAUUUUACACAAAUAGCAUCUAUUCGCCAACAGUUGUCCUCAUCUUUGAGGCAGGCUUAAUGUCAAGACCAAUGUUUUCAGAACCGGACCGGUGAUCGAACCGAAAAAGUUACCGGUUCACGGUUCACUGAUCGGACCGGCGGUCGAACCGGUGACGUCAUAAAUAUAUAAUUUAUAUAUUAUUAAAAUUAAAAAUAAUUAUAAAAAUUUUAAAAUAUAUAUGAAUAAAUUAAACAUCAAUAAUAUUAUUUUAUAUCUUUGAUAUUAUCAAAUUAAAUCAUAUUAAUAUUUUAAAUUUUAUUAAAUGAAAUAUGUAUAAUAUUUAAAUGUGAAUAUAUAAAAAAAUGAAAAUUUAAACUAAUUUCAUAAUUUUAAAAAAUAUUAUAUUAUUUUUAUUUAAUAUUAUAAAAAAUUUUAAAAUCUAAUAUGUCUUGUUUUGUUUGGUAUAUUAGAUAAUAAAAUACAUGUAGCCGAGUGGUGUCCUAGGUGGACUAUAGUACAGGGGGUGGUCCAAGGUUCAAAACUUCUUGGAGUUUUGUUAUGUUUUUUUUCUUUGAUAUUUAGCAAUCCCACAUCGAAAAUUGAGAGGAACAAGGAGUCAAAUGACUCUUAUAAAAGCCAUCCUCAGCAAAGGCUUUAGAUGGUCUUGUGGGCUCAAAACUCAGCCCACAGUAAGUGGAAUGGGUAUGUGGGUUGUGUCAUAAGACAGGCCCAACAUGUGCUUUAGUAAAAACCAUUUAAAUUCUAUGGAAUCCUUUCAUCAAUGAGAGGAUAAUAUUUUCAUUUUGUAAUUUUUUUUUAAAAAAAAUUAAAAUCAUUUGAACCGGUCAGUUCGUCCAGUUCACCGGUUCGAGCGGUUCAACCCCGGUUCAAUCUCAAUCCGGUCCAAAUGAUCGGAUCGGACCGGAAUGGUGACCGGUCGACAGUUGGACCAAUCGGACCGGCCGGUCCAGUCCGGUUUUUAAAACAUUGGUCAAGACUUUUCCCCUAUUGGCUUCCCAAGCAAAAAAAAACCCACUUUAGUCAAAACCCGAGAAUUCCAAGUGAUGCUCAAAGAAUAGGGGAUUGACCUCAACUCCAACAGACAGUAAAAGGUUUUCAUUGAGAAAACACCAUUCUUCAACUCCUUCCAAAUCAUCCGAUUGAAAUCUUUCCUCCUCAAUAACUUAUCUUGCAACCUUGAGAGAAAUGUCUCAGCAGCUUCCAACUCUCAAUCAUUUAAACGCAUAGAGAAAUGCAGAUUCCAAUAACCCCCCACCCUUAUCUCAUCCCAAGUAACUGCCACCCACACAUCUUUUAUAGAAGCUGGUUAACCCCACCCUCUAAUUAGCUUUUUACUAGGGUUCUUUCUGGUGUUUCUUCUUUGUAGUUCUUUUUCCUUUCUGUAGAAGGGACUCCUCAUCUUUCUUUGUAAGUUCCUUUCUCUCUAUUUAUUGUCCAUUCAGAAGACUAAUAAUAAUGAUAAAUAAAUAAAUAAGAAAAAAUGCAACCUUAUCAUGGAUUUAAAAGUUUCAAAAUUUUCCAGCAACUGUCCACUCUUUCAAUGGUGGACCUCAGCGUCCUAGAGAAGCCACAGGCUAUACCUUCUGAAUCCAUGUAUCCCAUUUCCAUACUCCCAUUCCCCUAAGAAAAGCCAAGUCCCUUUCCACUUGGAAGUUUCUACUCCCCAUAGAUUUUGAUUCAGUCAAGCCUUCCAUCAAUGCUAGGUUCUGAACCUCUAUUGCCAACUGAACCAGAUGGCUUUGAGAAAGCCCAGAUCACACUACCACUUUGAUCUUGAAUCAUUCCAUCAAACUGUAACUAGAGCAAGAAAAACACCUAUCAAAAUUUAGUUUGGAACAUCCAUAGGUCCCAUACUGCACUAACCCUAACCAAAGUCCUACUAGCUCUACCACUCCAAGGAUCUCUCCAAUUCAACAUAAUAAUGCCCAGAGGAGUAAACCCAAGAACUCUAUAAAAACUAAGCUCCACAAUCAAGUAAGAUAGUAGAUAAUUAAGGAAGCAAGUGGGAUCCACUUCUCUAAAAAUCCUGUCAUAUGAAGCCAAAAUGCCGAAUGAAUAGAAAUCAUGGUGCCACAACAUUUUGUAAGCAUCAUCUCUGCAACAUCCCUUAGAGGACCCAAGACAAACCAUGUCUCCAAACAAUCUGUAAGAUAAAAUUCCAAGCCACAGAACAAUGAAGAAAAAGGUGAUUCACAGUCACAUAAAAGCUAAGCAAAGAACAAGGUAUCUAGGGUUAAGAGUUUUAAAGGAUCACCUAAUCUGUCAUAAUUCAUUGGUAUUAAUCCAUUUUUACCAGCCACUAACCAUACAAAGUAUUUGAAUCUGGGAGGAACUUUAGACUUCCAAACUAAAUUAGCAUGUAGAAAGGAAACUAGAGAAUCACUCUUGGCAAGAACAUAAAACAAAAAGUUAGAUGAAAACAGUCCUAAGGGAACCAAAAUCCCAAUCCUCUCACUAGAAAAUGAUGGAGAGAAAAAAUAAGAUGCAAAGUGAGCAACAAUGAGGAUAAUUCAUAACAUUCUUGAUCUGAUGAACCCUCUACUCACCAUAUUUCAUUCAUAAGCCCUAAAAUCUAUUUUUUGACUGCACUCACAAGCAUCAAACUUAAGACUCUAUAAAACCUGGCCACUAAUUAAGAUAUUUGCAAACAGAAUCAAUCUAGCAUUUAAAUGUUAUAUGUGUCAACCAGCCAAAUCUGUCCAUAAGCUCUUAUCAAAAAAACACCAAAGUGAAAUAAUGUACCAUAAGACAUUAAAGUGAAACUGACACAGUUUUUGACUGAAGAAGUGGAAUUUAGUACUGUGCUAAGAUUUUUCUAAAUUUAAUCUAUACCAGUAUAGUUGUUUGGUUAACAAUGAUCCAAAUCCUAAGUUGUGAGCGGUAGCAUUAUGAAAAAUGUCUGCAACAAUAUCAUGGCAACAAAGUGCAGCCUAGGGCCCAUAUUCUUAGCCCAUCAUAUCUGCACUUACCAAAUAUAAAAUUUUAUUCACCACAUUUGAAAUUCUAACCUCAUUCCGAGUGAGUUUUAUUAUUUCAAUUUCACUAGUGGAAAUCAAAAAUCAAGAUAGAAAGGCAGUAUAGAUGGCACAAAGUUCUCAACCGUUUUCAGAUGAGGACAAUGGAAUGAACCAAAAAAGCCAAGAAAUGAACACUACACCUGUGUACUUCUCUUUCUAUAUCUCCUACGUUUCAAAUGAAGUUGAAGCUUCCGAUCUAUAUUUGCAUCAUCUUCCUCUUUCACCUGUCAACAAAUAUAUUAUAAAUAUAGGGAAGAAAAAAAAAACGAUGAGGCUUUACCAAAAUUUUGGCAUUUAAUUAUAAAUGAGCCAAUUGAACUUGCAAAGUCUCAAAAAAUAAAAAAGACAAGAACUUAGUUAGCAAACAAUAGAUGGGACACCUCUACUCCCUUGCCACCUCUCCCCUUGACCCUCUCUAAAAGAUAAUUGUCUCCAUUUUCAACACAAAUAAAUAACGAACAAGAAUCCUCUUGUCUCAAACCUCUAGAACUUUGAAAAAAGUCAAAGGGGGUACCAUUCACUAACACAAAAAAGUUUACCAUGGAAAUGCACCAUUUAAUCCAUUUCUGGCCAAACCCCAUUGUUCCAAAAUCACUAGCAUGAAACCCAAAGUUAAACUCGCCCUGAGAAAAUGCAACAUUAUAGACCCAAAGACUAUUCCCUUUUUUUUUAUCAAAAACAACCAUUUGCAUUUAUCUUAAAAGGAUAAACAUAAGAAGAAUAAGCAAUCCUUCAAGGAUGUACAAAAAGUUUAUAAAGGAAACAAGUGUCAAGCCCCACAAAAACUCCUCCAACCUUACAAAUUAAAAACCAAGGUACAAAGAAGAGAAAUAUAGCACCCCAAAUGGGAAAGAAAGUCUCCAACAAAGGAGACAAAUGCUUAGCUCCUUGUUUGGCUAACCAAUCUAUCACUUGGUUGGCUAAACAAGGAACCCAAGAAAAUGAGCAACCUAAUUCAUUGACAACAUCUAUAACUUUGCAUAUCCAAUUAUCAAACUUCCAUGAACCUCUUUCCUUAUAAUCACCUAAGAUACAACAGUAGUAGAAUCUCCCUUUACAAUUACAAUGGAAAGGUUUAAAGUUAUGGCCUAAAACAACCCUCUAGCAAUGUCAAUAUCUCUACAUUGAUAGCCAACUUUAUUCCUAUCUUCUUAGAGUCCUGACAUCUGUAAGUUGUGUAUAAAGUACGGAGAACCAACAUAUCAUCUUUUCUUACAUUGUUCUUUGACGAUGGGGUUGUGGCACAGAUUAUUUCAGAUAGCUAAGAUGGAUUGGGUCCCCCCAAUGAGCAUUUCUAACAUGAUGACCAUCAAUUAUAAGGGUUUUGGAAAAUCCAAGAGAGGCAUAGUUUUGUGGCAAACUACCUGUAUAGCUCUAAUUUGGGUUGUGUGGCGAGAAAGAAAUGCUAAGAUAUUUGAGGAUAAGGCAAGGAAUUCAGAGGUUCUAUGGGAUACCAUUCACUUCCUUGCUUCUUUUUGGGCUUUUUGCUCCACGAUUUUUAAGGGCAUUCCCCUUAAUAUGAUGCAACUAGAUUGGCUAGCGGUGUGUAGCUCCAAUGGUGUGGUCUAGCAAGGAGAGUUUGCUUUUUGUAAUUACCAAAUAGCUUAUUGUUUUUGUAUUCUUGUUGUUUAGUUUUCUUUUGUGGGAGGAUUUUCCUCAUCCUUUCUUUGUACUUCUUAAUUCUUUCUUCAAUAUAAUUCAUUGUUGUUUCCUAUCAAAAAUAACUCCAUGGGAUCUCUUGAUCUUAAGCAUGUUGGAGGUAUUAACUUUCAUAUGAACCACUAGCCAUGUUAAUGUUUUGACUUAAGAGGGCUUUUGAUCUCCAAAUUAGUUUGACUAGCAGAAGAAUAAGGUCAAGUUGCCUCUCUUGGAAACAUGGCGUUAUUGAAACAAUGCAACACUACCAUAGGGUUAUGCCUUCUUCCAACCAUCCGAAGUCUAAAUACUUUACCAACAAUUGGAUCCAUCUUGUAUUCCACCCACCGCCCCUCCCAUCCCCCACAAAAAAUUAAAAAGUGGUCCUUUCUCUAGUAAGUAAAUAAAAAACAAAACUUUCAAAAACAACACAUCUAUUGCAAAAUGAGAAUUUAUUUGAUCACUAUGGUCUAAGAGAGCUUCCAAAAAGAAAGAAAAACAAAUAAAUAGGUGAUCAUUCGGAUACACUUCUUAUUUUUGUUUUUAAAAACAGAAAAUGGUAUUAACUUAAACAUAAAAAUUUUAAAACUCUUAUAUAAAAAGUAUGAACUAUCUUGUGUUCUUAAAAAUCACUUUCAAAAAUUUUUCAAUUUGAAUUAUCAAAAAUUUUUUGAUACCUCAAUUUUUUUAAAAUAGUUUUAAAAAAAAGGUAUAUGUAUAUAUAUACAUAUAUAUUGAAACGACAUAUCUAAUGCAAAAUGAGAAUUUAUUUGAUCAUUGUUGAAUAUAAUGUAUUUAUAGUAUAUAAUCUUUCCUUGUUAAUAUAGGUCACAUGUAUGGUAGUUAGGACAUGUAUGGUAGUUAGGACUCCUAGCCUUGUAUAUAUAUAUUUCUCAAUUGUAAGUAGUUUUUACAUGAAUGAGAAUUAAGGAUUUUCUUCUUUCUCUCUCUCUCAACAUGAUAUCAGAGCCAAGGGAGAAAACCUAAUUCUUUCCUAUUUCCCGUGUCAUCAACACCGGGAAACCUUCCGGUGACCGUGUUUCAUUCCGGUCACCUUCCCCAUCUCCCAAUACUUUCCGGUCAGUCGGAUCGUCGUCAGAAAACACUCACCGCCUAAAAAAAAUUUCCGACGAACUUCUCCGACGACGUCUUUUUCCGACACCGACCAUACCAGAAGGAGCGCCUAGAGGAAAUCUCCAACUUUUGUGAAGGCACUAGAACCAAAAGAUCAUCCACGCGCUUGCCACGCGCAAUUUUCUGGCCGGCAACUGCAUCUCACGCGCCGGCGCGUGAGGGCGCGUGAGGACUUUCCCGGCCACGCGCCUCCUCCUCCAGCCUCGCCUGACGCCGACUAGCCUUCCUUCAUCCCUGGUUCUGCCAUCCAAGCCCUGCACGUACCUCUUUUGGGGUUUUUUUGCCUCCGCCGACCCUCCAAACAGUUUUUCCAACAAGCUUCGGCUACUUUUUCUCCAUCCUAAUCCCUGCACGUGCCUAAGGAAGUGUUCUUCUACCUUUCCGAUGGUGCCACGCUGCGAUCUGAAGCCGUCUCCCUUUCCAGUGGUGCCACGCCGCGAUCUGCAACCGUAUUAGGGCUCUCUUCGAUCCAAAUAUACUUCAUUCUCCACAUAAAUAGAUAUGGCUACUAAAACUUCCAUUUUUUUCCUCUGUUAUAUCUGGAUCUCCUAUGAUUACUUCGGAGAAAUUGGUUGGCAGUGACAAUUAUCUUUCCUGGUCUGCCUCUGUUGAACUUUGGUUUAUGGGUCAAGGAUAUGAGGAUCACUUGAUUACACAGGAGGCAAAUAUCCCUGAGGUUGACCGCGUACAGUGGAGGAAGAUAGAUGCACAGUUAUGUAGUGUAUUAUGGCAAUCGGUUGAUCCCAAGAUUCUUCUUCAUCUUCGGGCCUACAAAACUUGUUUUAAAUUUUGGACUCAGGCCAAAGGAUUAUACACGAAUGAUAUCCAGCGUCUUUAUAAGGUGGCUUCUGAUAUUGUCCAUAUCAGCCAAUAGGACUUGGAUCUAUCUACUUAUAUUGGCCAGAUUGCCUCUCUUAAGGAGGAGUUCUUGACUGUGAUGCCUCUUACUCCUGAUGUUAGGGCUCAACAAACACAGCUUGACAAGUUCUUCAUGGUUCUUACUCUUAUUGGCCUCCAUCCGGAUAUUGAGCUUGUCCGCGAUCAAAUUCUUGGUAGUUCAUCAGUUUCGUCCUUGGAUGAUGUGUUUGCUCGCCUCCCCCAUAUCUCCUCCACUCAGACUUUGCCAUUUGAUAGCACUUCAAAUUCUUCUGUGUUAGUUUCUCAAACUAGCUCUCGAGAAGGCCACAGUGGUACCCGAGGUAGAGGUCAACGUCCUCAUUGCACCUAUUGCAAUAAACUUGGCCACACUCGCAAUCGUUGCUAUCAGUUACAUGGACGGCCUCCUCACACUGCCCAUGUGGCCCAGUCCUCUGAUUCUCCACUACCUCAGCCUCCGAGCUCUUCCGCAUCUCAGGCUUCUGUUGCCUCUAUUGCCCAGCCUGGUAAUGCCUCUGCCUGCCUUACCCACACAUCUUCUCUUAGACCCUGGGUUCUAGAAUUUGGAGCUUCUGAUCACCUAUCUGGUAAUAAGGAUCUUUUCUCCUCUAUUACUACUACCUCUGUAUUACCUACUGUUACCUUAGCUAAUGGUUCUCAAACUGUGGCUAAAGGUAUUGGUUUGGCCCUUCCUCUGCCUUCUCUACCUCUCACUUCUGUCCUUUAUACUCCUGAAUGUCCUUUUAAUCUUAUUUCCAUCAGCAAAAUCACUCGUACUCUUAAUUGCUCUAUUACCAUUUCCGAUAAAUUUGUGACCUUGCAAGACCGGAGUACGGGGAAGACGAUUGGCAUAGGACGUGAGUCUCAAGGCCUCUAUCACCUCACCUCGGAUUCAUCUCCUGCAGUUUGCAUUUCCACUGAUGCUCCUCUCCUCAUUCACAAUCGUCUGGGCCACCCUAGUCUCUCCAAGUUCCAGAAGAUGGUCCCUCGUUUUUCCACUUUGUCGUCGCUUCCGUGUGAGUCAUGUCAGCUUGGGAAACAUACUCGUGUCUCGUUCCCAAAGCGUUUGAAUAAUCGGGCAAAGUCUCCUUUUGAGCUUGUCCACACUGAUGUUUGGGGUCUUUGUCGGACUGCGUCUACUUUAGGAUUUCAGUAUUUUGUCACUUUCAUUGAUGACUAUUCUCGAUGUACUUGGUUAUUUUUAAUGAAAAAUCGAGCUGAGUUAUUCUCUAUUUUCUAGAAAUUUUAUGCUGAAAUCCAAACCCAGUUCAAUAUUUCUAUUCGUGUGUUACGCAGUGACAAUGCCAGGGAAUAUUUUUCAGCCCCAUUUACUUCGUUUAUGUCUCAUCAUGGGAUUCUUCAUCAGUCUUCUUGUGCUCAUACUCCUCAACAAAAUGGGGUAGCUAAACGCAAGAAUCGACAUCUUGUUGAGACAGCUCAUACUAUCCUCCUCCAUAGUAAUGUUCCUUUUCGUUUUUGGGGGUACAUUGUUCUUACCGCUUGUUAUUUGAUUAAUCGUAUGUCCUCCUCUGUCUUACACGAUCAGAUUCCUCACUCCCUUCUCUUCCCUGACCAACCCCUUUAUUUCCUUCCUCCUCGUGUCUUUGGUUGUACUUACUUUGUUCAUAUUCUCACUCCCGUACAGGACAAGCUUUCCGCCAAAGCCAUGAAGUGCCUCUUCUUGGGAUAUUCCAGACUUCAGAAGGGUUAUCGUUGUUAUUCCCUUGAGACUCAUCGAUACUUUAUCUCCGCUGAUGUCACCUUCUUUGAGGACUCACCAUUCUUUUCCACCACUUCUGAGUCUCUUCCUGUUUCUGAAGUCUUGCCCAUUCCCAUUGUCUCCCCACCUGAUGCUAUGCCUCCUCGACCACUUCAGGUUUAUCAUCAUCGCCCUCGUGUCGUUACUCCUCUCCCUUUUGCUGAGGCACCUGCUGACUCACUUCCUAUUCCUUCGGCUUCACCUGCCCCGGCUCUGCCUUCUCUUAAUGACUUACCCAUUGUUGUUCGGAAAGGUACUCGCUCUACUCGUAAUCCUCAUCCUAUUUACAAUUUUUUAAGUUAUCAUCGAUUAUCUUAACCCUAUUCUGCUUUUGUUUCUGCUAUAUCCUCUGUUUCUCUUCCAAGGAGCACCCAUGAAGCUAUUUCCCAUCCAGGCUGGCGACAGGCAAUGGUGGAUGAAAUGGCUAUUCUGCACUCUAAUGGCACUUGGGAUCUUGUUGUUUUACCCUCUGGUAAAUCUACCGUUGGCUGUCGUUGGGUCUACGCAGUUAAGGUUGGUCCUGAUGGUCAGGUUGAUCGCCUUAAGGCCCGCUUAGUUGCUAAAGGUUAUACUCAGGUUUAUGGUUCUGAUUAUGGUGACACAUUCUCCCCUGUUGCCAAGAUUGCUUCUGUCCGUCUGCUUCUCUCCAUGGCUGCUAUGUGUUCUUGGCCUCUUUAUCAGUUGGAUAUUAAAAAUGCAUUCCUUCAUGGUGAUCUUGCCGAGGAAGUUUAUAUGGAGCAACCUCCUGGUUUUGUUGCUCAGGGGGAGUCUGGUUUAGUGUGCAGGUUACGUCGUUCUCUAUAUGGCUUGAAACAAUCUCCUCGAGCAUGGUUUGGCCAUUUUAGUUCUGUUGUUCAAGAGUUUGGCAUGUUUUGCAGUACAGCAGACCAUUCAGUUUUCUAUCAUCAUAACUCCUUGGGGCAAUGUAUUUAUCUGGUUGUUUAUGUGGACAACAUCGUCAUUACAGGCAGUGAUCAAGAUGGUAUUCAGAAACUAAAGCAAUAUCUUUUUACCCACUUUCAGACCAAAGACUUGGGGAAACUCAAGUAUUUCUUGGGAAUUGAGAUAGCUCAAUCCAGUUCUGGUGUGGUCCUUUCCCAAAGGAAGUAUGCUUUAGACAUCCUAGAAGAAACGGGUAUGUUAGACUGUAAACCAGUAGACACACCUAUGGAUCCGAAUGUCAAACUUGUACCAGGACAGGGGGAGCCUUUAGGAGACCCCGAGAGAUAUCGACGGCUCGUAGGUAAAUUGAACUAUCUCACCAUUACUCGUCCAGACAUUUCUUUUCCUGUGAGUGUUGUUAGUCAAUUCCUACAGUCACCAUGUGAUAGCCAUUGGGAUGUCGUAAUCCGCAUUCUUCGAUAUAUCAAAAGUACACCAGGCCAAGGUAUGUUGUACGAGAACAAAGGUCAUACUCAGGUUGUUGGUUACACAGAUGCAGAUUGGGCUGGCUCACCCACAGAUAGACGUUCCACUUCAGGGUACUGUGUUUUUAUUGGAGGUAAUCUAAUAUCUUGGAAGAGUAAGAAACAAGAUGUAGUGGCCAAAUCUAGUGCUGAAGUCGAGUAUCAAGCUAUGGCUUUUGGCAACAUGUGAACUCAUAUGGUUGAGACAUCUUCUUCAAGAGUUGAGAUUUGGAAAGCAUGAACAGAUGAAACUCAUCUGUGAUAACCAGGCCGCAUUACAUAUUGCAUCCAAUCCAGUCUUUCAUGAAAGGACCAAGCAUAUUGAAGUUGACUGUCAUUUCAUUAAAGAGAAGAUCGCAUCAGGAUGUGUUGCUACUAAUUUUGUUAAUUCAAAUGAUCAACUAGCAGACAUCUUCACUAAAUCUCUCAGAGGUCCUAGGAUUAAAUAUAUUUGUAACAAGCUUGGUACAUAUGACGUAUAUGCUCCAGCUUGAGGGGGAGUGUUGAAUAUAAUGUAUUUAUAGUAUAUAAUCUUUCCUUGUUAAUAUAGGUCACAUGUAUGGUAGUUAGGACAUGUAUGGUAGUUAGGACUCCUAGCCUUGUAUAUGUAUAUUUCUCAAUUGUAAGUAGUUUUUACAUGAAUAAGAAUUAAGGUUUUUCUUCUUUCUCUCUCUCUCAACAAUCACUAUAGACAAAUAGAGCUUCCAAAAAGAAAAACAAAUAAAUAGGUGCUCAUUUGGAUAAAAUUAUUUUUAAAAAAAAACAAAAAAACAAAAAAUGGUACUAACUUAAACAUAAAAUGUAAAAACUCUUAUAUUAAAAGUAUGGACUAUCUUGUGUUCUUAAAAAUCAAUUUUAAAAAUUUUUAAAUCUGAGUUAUCAAGAAAUUUUUUAUGCCUCAUUUUUUUUUAAAACAGUUUAUAUAUAUCCUUUUAAGAUAAGUCUCCAAGAAUUAUUGUAUUUUAUGUUGAGAUUAAUACUAUUUUUUGUUUUCAAAAACACAAAACAAGAAGUGUAUCCAAAGGAUACCUAAAGAAUCAAUAUUUAAAAGCGCUACUCUGAAGAACUAAUGAUAAAUACAACUAUGAUUGACAAACCUUUUUAAAUUUUUUCUUCUGUUCUUCAGAAAGAUCCACGGCUCUUUCAUUCGCUAUGGCAUCUGCAACAAAUGGAUCACUUGAAUUGCCAUCAAUAUCAUCGAUCUCCUCCACCUGACCACAAUUAAAUUCAAAAGCUUAUCCAGAGAAUAAAAUAUGAGAAACUCAUAAACUCUAUCAAUUUUGAUUUUAUAAAAUAUGAAGAUAGAUUACAAGGUCAUUUAAACAUUUUGGGGGAUCAAAUUAAGAGAAAAUUAAAAGCACAGAGACAAAAUCCAUGAAAACUUAAAAGGGAAAUGUCCAAGCAGAUUCAGCUGAGAAAAAAUUUCCAUCUUAGUUGUCAAGUAAAUUUCUUUCAUAUUCUUCUACAGGUUAUUCUUUAUUCCUCUGUUGUCAGACAUUUGGGACCAUCACUACUUGCCUCUUAAAUGGAUUUUACAGCCACCACCAACCCCAUUCCAUAUUUUUGAAACCAUUUUAUAUCCUCUUAAUGAACAGGUAACAUCAAGCCAAACUAUCACCCUUAUACAAGGAGGCAUAUGGACAGUAAAAGCACAAGAAAAAGAUGUCCUAGGAUAGAAAUUGUGGGAUCUAAAUGAUAGGUUGCAAAAAUCAAUUUCUUUGACUAAGCCUGGCAGAAUAUGCUUCUAAGAAAUAAUCAAAGAAACAUGCCCCAACAGUAUAACAAAAAUUGAAUCUAAUCUUUAUUUCAGUACUAGGCCUAAUUAAGUCCAAGAAAGAGCAUCAGCUAUAUCUUGAACCAUAAUGAACCAAAGUACUGACAUUAAAAUGUAAAUUAAAUUGAGACGUUCCAUAGUGAUCAACUUUUAUAGGAGGGAGAAAACACUUGUAUAGUAAACUGUGAAACAAAAAUUGAACUAGACCAUCUUUGUUACCUCAUCAACUCCAGGAAAUUUGAGCCCCAUCACUGCCGCUUGCUGUGGAGUACUUGCUAAGUACACAGAAGCCCAGUGCUCACUGCCGAAUAAAGUACUAUCCUCAGAUGCAUGAUCAGAAAAACAUUUGUUGAAAGAGCACCAAUCCACUUCUGCAUUCUCUGUGACAGCCUCUCUGUUCCCAUCACUAGCAAGUUUGUUUGCCAGAUAUCCACUGGCACCCUCCUCCAAUAGUUUUCCAUGUCGUCUGUUCAACAACAUAGAUCCAAGCAUGAAAUCAACAUAAACCUACAUGGAUUCCUAAUGCAGAAGGAAAAAAGCAUACCUUCGCACCGGCCUGUCAGUUUGGAGAUGCUUUUCAGCUUCUAUGAUUGAUUCAGUAGUAUCACCAGUCACCUGAGAUCCUAUCCAAUGUACCCUUUGUUUCCAAGCUUCAGUGCAACAACCAUUAGGAGCCUGACUUUCAAUCCACUUAUAGAGACUUGGUAAUUCAAUACCAGCCCCAUCAAGUUGUUCCUGUUCAUGGAAACAUGUAAAUCAUAAGCAGCAGAAGCAAAUGAUAUAAGCUCCAAUACUUGUUCCAAGGAAUUGUCAGAAUGGCAACUAUUCUUAACAGAUAAAUCAACUAGCCAAAUAUCAUUUUUUUUUUAUAGGAAACAACACAUGUAUAUAUUGAUAGAAAAAGAAGUACAAUAGAAGGAUGAGGAAUCCUCCCACCAGAGAUAAAAUUAAACAACACAAAAAGAAAACAAGACACUACACUAUGAAAACUACAAACAAUCUCCCUUGACUAGACCGUCCCGUUGGAACUACACACUGCUAGCCAAUCUAGUUGUAACACAUUAAGGGGAAUGCCCUUAAAAACCGCGGAACAAAAAGCUCAAAGAGAAGCAAGGAAAUAAAUGGAAUCCCAAAGAUUCUCUGAAUUCCGAGCUUUGUCCUCAAAUAUCCUGGCAUUUCUUUCCCGCCACACAACCCAAAUUAAAGUUAUGCACACAUUUUGCCACAAAACCAUCCCUCUCUUAGAGUUGCCAAAACCUUUAUAGUUGAUGGAUAUCAUGUCUGAAAUACUUAUCGGAGAAACCCAAUCCAUCUUGGCUAGCUGAAAUAAUCUGUACCACAACCCCAACGGCAUAGAACAAUGUAGGAAAAGAUGAUCUACUGAUUCUCCUUACUUCAUGCACAACUUACAAAUGUCAAGACUAAGAGUUUUAUAGGGUCUCCUCAAUUGUAGCAAGUCAUUAGUAUUUACCUUCUUGUGUGUCACAAGCCAGGCAAAGGCCUUAACUUUGAAGGGUACUUGAGAAUUCCAUACAAACUUAGUAGGAAAAAGAGGAGAUAAAUCAGGCAUUUGGGACAAGGGUAUAAAGAAAUACUUGACUGUGAACAAUCCUGAAGAAAAUAAGGAUCAUGAUCUCGCAUCUGAAACCGAAGUGGAUAUAUGCAUACAAUCAAGAGAUCGCAUCAGACGUUCUAAAUCUUCUAUCUCAGAAUCGAAAAGAUUACAACGGAAAUUAAAGUUCCAUGAAAAAGGGUGAACAAAACCAAGAAUUGAAGAUAUAGAAAUAUUUUUAUUCGUGACUACUCUAAAUAGUUUUGGAUAUUGGACUUUGAAGAUCUGAUCCCCCCACAACAAUUCUUCCCAAAAAAGAAUUUUUUCCCCAUCUCCUCCAACAAACUGAGUAUACUUGGAAAAAUCCUAAAAGACUUGUGCAAUAGCCUUCCAAGGACAACGAUGUGACCAUCUGACUAAAGUGUUGGCAUCCCAACUAUUUGAGUGUGUCCCGUAAAUGCUUAGAAUGACUUGAUGCCACAGAACUAGCCAAAUAUCAUAAAAACUCACAUGUGUGAUAUUAAGGUAUUCUAUCACAUACAACAAUGAUAUUGUGCUUGAAUGCAAUUACAAACACAACUUUAAUUUUUUCUUUUUUUCAGAAACAAACAUAUGUAUUAAAUAAGAAUAAAAAACAUGAAAAGGAUGAGAAAUCCUCCUCAUGAAAUACAAACCUGAUCAAAAAGAGCUAAGUAAACCUCCUCACAAAGGGCUAUAUAAAAUGUACAACAACCUAUACAAAACGUACAAGAGCUAAGUAAACACCACUUUUAAUUAUUUUUUUGAUGGAUAAACACACAAAAUAUAUAUUAGAAAAAUGGCGUUUAAGAGGCAACCCAAAGCAUACAAGGAGUAUACAAGAGUCACCAAAAGGCAAGAACAAAAAGAAGCAAACACUCACUAGCCCUCAACUAGAACCCAACCAAUCAAAAAAGUUGAUUAAAGGUAGAGGUCCUACAUCUAAAUAUGUCUUAGACCAAGACCAAAGAUUACAAACUAUUGAAUAUAAUGCAUUAUAUAAUGUACAAUAUUUCUUUCUUUUCUUAAUAUAGGUCACAUAUAUGGUAGUUAGUUUAACCUAGCCUUGUAUAUAUAUUCCUCUAUUGUAAGUUGUAAGUAGCCAUGAAUAUGAAUAAGAAUUAAGGUUUUCCCUCUCUCUCUCUUUCAACAUGGUAUCAGAGCCAAGGGAGAAAACUUUAUUCUUUCUGGUUUAUCCGUGUAAUUAAUUCCGGGAAUCCGUUCAGUGACCGUGUUUCAUUCCGAUCACCUUUUCCAUCUCCCAAAGCUUUCCGAUUAGCCAUAUCGUGGUUAGAAAACCCUCAUCACCGUCAACAUUUUUCUGGCGAUAUUUUCCAAUGACUUUUCCGGUGACUUUUUCCAGCGACUUUUUCUGACAUCGACCACACCAUCAGAAGCGCAAAGAGGAGAUCUGCAACUUUUCUCAAAUCACCGGAGCCAAACACCCACCCACGCGCCUCCCACGCGCCACUCUUCUCCGACGGCCUGAAUCUCACGCGCCAGCGCGUGAGGGCGCGUGGCCCACUUUCCAGUGUCAAGCUUCUUCCAACAGGCUCGUCAAGCACCGUCUUGCACUUCUAAGCCUCCGUCAAGCCUCUCCGAACCCUGCUUCUCCAUUUUUUUGGCAUUUCAGCCUCCGCAGGUCUUCUUUCAACCUCCUCCGGCCUCCGACAGCAGCUCUCUUCCUUGGCCGAGACCUGUGUGUGCCUUGGGAAGGCCUCUUCUUCAUCCCCAAUCACUUUUAUCCUUUGUUUGGGUCCCGACAUACCAGGUUCUUCUUCCACAGCUGUGAUCCAACCUCCCUUUAGGGCUCUCUUCGAUCCAAACAUGAUUCAAUCUCAGGUGAAGUAGAUAUGGCGACUAAAAAUUCCAUUUUUACAUCCGUCAUCUCUGGAUCUCCUACUAUCAUAUCGGAAAAAUUGAUUGGUAGUGAGAAUUAUCUCUCCUGGUCAGCGUCCGUGGAACUCUAGUUUAUGGGACAAGGUUAUGAGGAUCAUCUUGUUACACCUGAGGAUGUUAUAGCUGAUGUUGACAAAGCGCAAUGGAAGAAGAUCGAUGCACAAUUAUGCAGCGUAUUAUGGCAAUUUGUUGAUCCCAAAAUUUUCCAUCAUCUUCGUGCCUACAAAACCUGCUUUAAAUUUUGGACUCAGGCUAAAGGAUUAUACACGAAUGAUAUUCAACGAUUUUAUAAGGUGGUUUCUGGUAUUGUUCAUGUGAGACAGCAGGACAUGGAUCUGUCUACUGAUAUUGGCCGGAUUGCGUCUCUUAAGGAGGAGUUCUUAACUUUGAUGCCCUUCACUAAUGGUGCUGAAGCUCAACAAAUACAAACUGACAAGUUCUUUAUGGUGUUAACCCUCAUUGGCCUCCGUCGAGAUCUUGAGUCUGUCCGAGAUCAGAUUCUUGCUAGUCCAUCAGUUCCAUCAUUGGAUGAUGUGUUUGCUCGUCUCUUAUGCCUCUCCUCUACUCAGACUUUGUCGACUGAUGGCCCUUCAGUUCCAUCUUGCUAGUCCAUCAGUUCCAUCUUGCUAGUCCAUCAGUUCCAUCUUGCUAGUCAACAACGCUCUUUCCACCACCUCAAGGGCCUCCAGCGACAAAGCAGCCCUCAUCAUCCCUACGAGAGGAUCCUCGUCUCCGCUUUCGUCUCUAACCUUCCUAAGCAAAUACUCAUCUAGUGCCCCAGAAAAAGGGACUGAAGACUUUGGCCCAAUUAAAUCCCCUCCUCCCGUUGCGCCAACAACUUCAGGCCCAAGGCCCACGACCAACUCUCCCUCACUGCACCCUUUUAAAUCAAUUAAAGUGAUAGGCCUAAAGACCCGGCCCAAACCCACUUACAACUCCUUAUCUUGUCCCUGGGCCUCCCCAAGGCCCAAUCCAAAAGGCCCACAACUAAGACCACUAGUCUCUAAACCAAGUCCGCCCAGCCUGUUUAAAAAAGACUUCUGAACCCCUCUCACUUAGAAAGGAGAGUUACCUACCCUAAACCUCUCUUCAGUCUCUACGACAAAGACCUCAGCAGGAAGGGUAGUUGCGUUGCCUCCAACUGACGACAUGACAUCUACCCCAAGCUGCAAGUUCAACUGCUCCACCUUCUCCCUUUGACUCCCACAGCAAGCAACGCGUGAGCUUCCCCCUGCUUCUUCUCCUUCCCUUGAACCGCCCUCCCCGCAGUUUCUUCCCAUCGGCACCACCUACACGAAACUAGGUGGAGUCUCCCACCACAAAUGAAAGAAAUAGCACCCCGACCCCACAACAACCUGAGCAAUGUUAGGUAAAACCCUUUCCGCACGCUUCACCAGGAUCCGAGCCCACUGCAGCUUAGAAAAUGAAUCAGUAUCUUCAUCCACUGCAACAAAGCCUCCACACCCAUCACCGAUUCUUUUGAACACCUCACGACUCCACAAGUGAAGCAGGAGCCCCACCACCCUCACCCAAGCUUCAUUAGCAAAGGAGUCCUUGCAAAGACACCCCACCUCUGGGUUCCAUCUAUCCAAAAUAAGAAAAUUUUCCUUAGUACUUCUUUUGCCUCUAGCUAGAAUUUGCUCAGCCUCACUUGGCAUCUCAAAUUCAAACAGCAAGAGUCUUCUGCCUAACACAACAACACUAAAAUUCCCCUUUAAAGGCCAAUACUAAUGCGUCCAUCUCCUUACGAAAUCCAACUCAGGUAAUGGAGCUUAAUUAUCACCCCGCCAACCCACCAAACAUUGUUUCAUCUGAUUUAACCUUCCUCGCACUUCUCUUUCCCCCACCUCUAACCAAACUGAAUCGCCUAUUCUUCCCGAUUUCAACUUUACAGCAUCUGCGUAGGACUUUGUCUCCACCCCCUUCUCCCUGCACAAAACCUUCAGGCCCCCCUUCUCUCUCCACAAAACCUUCGGGCCCCCCUUCACCCUCAACGGAACCUCUGGAACUCUGGUUUCCUUUAAGCCUCCUGUAGGGACCACUCCAAGGCCUCCCAACCACUCGGCCAGAGAAUUCCAUCCAUUAGACAACCCCCUUCCCUUCUGAACAAAUAAUGCUGAUUUUUUUUCCUCAAGAUCACGGACAGAGCAGAGAAUGAACCUUCUUGCCUCAUUUAAACAUUGCUCCAGCCUAUACUUCCUACCCCCCUCCUCCCAGCCAAGAACUCAACUUCAAUUAUCAACCUCUUUACAACAUGCUUCUACUCCUUCUAGUAAGCACUGUAAACUAACCUCCCCAAAUCUAAUCCAUGAAGAGAUACCUCUACUUCUCUCCCAAAUACAACCUUUCAGCUUCCCUCUCAUAUCCUCAACCAAAAUCUCAAACAACUUGGAAUCCACCACAGACCAACUUCUUCCACCCUUGGCAACUUCAUCUUCUCCCCGAAUAACCCUCAUCUUCCACCCUUGUGUUUGUGAGAGACUUUUUACCCUCUUAAAUGUAGAGGGGCCUUGGAUUGUACACUGUUUUUCUGUUUCUCUAAAACCCCACACCACACAUUUUUCUUCCUCCCUGACAGGAUUAUUGAUUUUGUAGAGUAAUAAAAGCAGGUGUGGAAGAGGGGAAUUAUCGAUUUUUAAAUCCAAAACAACCAAAAACAAAAGUAUAUAUCAAAAACAUAAUUAUUUUAAAGCUAGCAUCAUGUCAUAGUUCAAUUUAGCGGCUUUGACAGUUGAACCAAUCAGUGAACUAACCCCUUGAAGCCAAAUUAACAGAUUGAUCUCAACCAUGCCUUUUGUAGAAAUUUUUACAAUAUUUACCACACCACCUUGCAUUACCUUUCAGCUUUUUUCAUAUGGGUAUGGUGUCAUGGUUCAACUCAGUUGCCCAAACAAAAGAACUACUUAACUAUGAACCAGUCCCUUGAAAAGGUUACUCUUGAGCUGUAAAUAGAAUAGGAGAAUUAUUUUUCUAUUAUGUUAGUUUCCUAUUUCUGUAAAUAGAUAGUUUUAUGAUUUAGGAAUAAGUUAGUUUAGGAAUAAGUUAAUUUCCUAUUAUGUCUAUUGUUUCCUAUUUCUUCUCUUCUAAUCUCUUAUAUAAACUGUGUAUAGUCAAUCUAAUAUACAGAACUUAUUAUUUUCCAUCCCAUAUUUUGUGUCAUGGUAUCAAAGUUAUAGGUUUUUACAACCUGGGCAUCAUUCUGACCUUCAUCGCCAUUUUUUUUGCCUUCAUAGCUGGAUUUUUUUUUUAUUCACGUGUUCUUUUACUAGCCUUCAUUGCUGCUGGUUUUUUUUUUUGUUUCGCGAUCUGCCUUAAUUCCCAAGAGAUCAGGUGUUUUCGUGAAAGAUGUCAAAGGUUGCAGAGACGACUACUACAGCACAAUCGGAGGAGAUUGUUUGAUCUCAACAACCUAAGGAAUUGCAAAACAUUCAAGCUGCGUAUAGGCUAGAUGGAAAAAAUUACCUUAAAUGGUCUCAACUUGUUUGCACUAUGCUGAAAGGGAAAGGGAAGAUCAACCAUCUUAUGGGUACAGGGCCGAAACCAAGAGAUCCCCCGUUUUGAAGCAUGGGAUGAAGAAGAUUCUAUGAUUAUGGCGUGGCUGUGGAAUUCUGUCACUCCUGAGAUUAGCGACACAUGUAUGUUAUUGGCUACGGCUAAGGAUAUUUGGGAUGCAAUCCAACAGACGUAUUCAAAAGCUAGAGAUGCGGCUCAAGUAUAUGAGGUUAAGGUGAAGACGAUUGCUGCAAAACAGGGAAGUAAAACAGUUAUUGAAUAUGUCAUUCAAUUGAAAGCUUUGUGGCAAGAACUUGAUCAUUAUAGGGUGAUAAAAACCAAAUGUCCUGAGGAUGCCGCUGUUCUCAAGGAUUUCAUUGAACAAGAUAGAAUUUAUGAUUUUCUUGUUGGGCUUAACCCAGAAUUUGAUCAAGUGAGAAUCCAGAUUCUUGGCAAGCAGGAGGUUCCAUGCUUUUAAUGAGGUGGUGGCACUGAUUCGAGGCGAGGAAAGCCAAAGGAGUGUUAUGCUUGAACCACAAACCUUGGAUGGAUUAGCCCUAGUUGCAAAAACAGAAUAUUCAGAGCAAGGAAAUAAUGAUCUGCCUAAACACUUAGGUAGAGAAAAUCGGUGGAAGGAGAACAAGGACAAUCUCUGGUGCACCUGUUGCAAGAAACCAAGGCACAAAAAAGAAAAGUGUUGGAAGCUGAAUGGUAAACCACCAAGUCGUGAAUGGGGAAACCGUGGAGGGCAGCAAAGGUCUCAAGCACACAUGGCAGAGCAGCCCAAAACUGAGGAAAAUUCAACAACAAGCAGGUUCAAUAGUGAAGAAAUGGAGAAGUUGAGAAGCUUGUUGGGAUCCCUUGACAAACCUAUUGGAACUUGUUCUUUGGCUCUUUCAGGUACACCUUCACUCUCUUUUUGCAUAAAUGUCUCACACAGGGUUUAUGACUCCAAAUCCCAACUUUUCCAUACCUAUACCCCAAGCCCAAGUAAUAAGAAAAUUGCAAUGGCCAAUGGCUCUUUAGCUACCGUUGCAAGUUUCGGAGACAUAUACAUCACACCUACCCUUAUUCUUAAAAAUGUCCUCCAUGUACCAAAAUUGUCGGCUAACCUUGUUUCCAUUCAAAAGCUUACCCAUGAUCUUAAAUGUUAUGCUAUUUUUUUCCCUUCUUAUUAUGUUUUUCAGAAACAAGGCUCGGGGAGGAGGAUUGGACUUGCUAAGGAAAGGAGCGGUCUUUACCACCUUGAAUCAUCUCAGCAAACUAGUAAUAAUUCGUCAUCUUUUCUCAGUUCCUCAAAUAAAGAUACCAUUUGGUUGUAUCAUCUAUGUCUAGAUCAUCCAUCUUUUAGGGUUUUAAAGGUCAUGUUUCCUCAUUUGUUCCAAGGAUUAGAUAUUUAUGAGUUUCAUUGCGAAACUUGUGAAUUGGAAAAACAUACUCGUGUAUCCUUUCCUAUCAGCAAUAAAAGAAGUUCUCAUCCUUUUCAUUUGAUUCAUAGUGACAUAUAGGGUCCUUCAACUAUACCUAAUGUUUCCGGGGCUCAUUGGUUUGUAUCCUUAAUUGAUUACUGCACUCGGGUUACAUGGAUCUUUCUUCUUAAACAAAAAUCUUAUGUUAGCAUUAUUAUACCUAAUUUCCACUCAAUGGUUCAAAACCAAUUUGGGGUUAAAAUAAAAAGCUUUAGGACAGACAAUGCUAGAGAUUACUUUAACCAGAUUUUGUCACCCUAUUUUCAAUCACAGGGCAUUAUCCAUGACUCAUCAUGUGUUAACACAACCCAACAAAAUGGGGUAACCGAGAGGAAAAAUGGGCAUUUACUCAACACAACCCGAGCCUUACUCUUUCAAGGGAAUGUUCCUAAGUCCUAUUGGGGGGAAGCUGUUCUUACUGUCACAUACAUAAUAAAUAGAAUUCUCUCAGAAGUGUUAGACAACAAAAGCCCCGUAGAGAUACUUAAGAGUUUCUAUCCACACUUCAGUACCUCAAAUGGACUCACUCCUAGGGUAUUUGGGUGCACUGCAUUUGUUCAUGUCCACACCCAACAUAGAGACAAGCUAGACCCCCGAGCCAUAAAACGUGUCUUCCUUGGUUACUCAUCCACUCAAAAAGGAUACAAGUGUUACAAUCCCUCAACCAUAAAAUUUUACAUCCCUAUAGAUGUCACCUUCAUAGAAAAUGAGCCAUAAAAUGUGUCUUCCUUGGUUACUCAUCCACUCAAAAAGGAUACAAGUGUUACAAUCCCUUAGCCAGAAAAUUUUACAUCCCUACAGAUGUCACCUUCACAGAAAAUAAACCUUUUUUCCCCAAAUCCCAUCUUCAAGGGGAGAUUUCAAUGAUGGAAGAUAGUCCUUGUGAGUCCUUUGAACCUCUUGACUUUCUUCAUGUCUCAACCCAUGGUGAUGAAGAACCUGAGUCAUCCGGGUCAAUCACACCUGAGUCACCCAAUUUUACCAUUGAACCCGUGUCAUCCCCUAUUCUAGCCAAUGUCACUCGCAAUUUUCCACAAUUUCCUAAGGUGUAUUCAAGGGACAAGGGAAAAGGUCAUUCCAGAACAAAAGUAAGUCCAAGAAUCCAACUCAAACCCUGGGAAUGCAAUCACGGUAAGAUCAGACCCACAUUUACAUACACAACCUGGUGAAACUUCCACAGACUCAACAGACAACCUAGGCCUAGACCUUCUCAUUGUUGUCAGAAAAGGCACCAGAGAAUGCACUAACCAACCACUCUAUCCACUAUCACAUUAUGUGUCUCCUAAGCACCUAUCACCAGCCCACAAGAAUUUUAUUGUGAGUCUAAACACCACUAUCAUCCCUAACACUGUUUCUGAGGCAUUGACAAAAAGGGAAUGAAAGGAUGCUAUGAGAGAGGAGAUGAGUGCAUUAGAAAAGAAUAAAACAUGGGAGAUUGUUGAAAGAUCGAAAGGGAAAAACAUUGUUGAUAGCAAGUGGAUUUUCACACUAAAAUAUAAGGCUGAUGGAUCUCUUGAAAGACAUAAAGCAAGAUUGGUAGCCAAAGGGUACACUCAAACUUAUGGAGUUGAUUAUCAAGGGUACACCAUGUAAGAAUCUUAUUGUCACUGGCUGCCCACUACAAUUGGCAACUCCUACAGUAUGAUGUUAAGAAUGCAUUUUUUCAUGGUGAUUUAGAUGAAGAGAUUUACAUGAACAUCCCAUCGGGAUUUGAGGGAAACACAAGUAACAACGUGUGCAACCUGAAAAAGGCCAUUUGUGGGUUCAAACAAUCUCUUAGGGCUUGGUUUGGGAGAUUUGCAAAAGUCAUGAAAGAGUCUGGGUACAAACAAAGUCAAGGUGACCACACUCUCUUCAUUAAGCACUCGGCUGCAGGGGGAGUAAUUGUUCUUCUAGUCUAUGUUGACGACAUCAUAGUGACUGGAAAUGAUGAGAGAGAAAAGCAUGAAGUGAAACAAAGAUUAGCAACAAAGUUUGAGAUAAAGGAACUAGGGAAACUGAAGUACUUCCUCGGUAUUGAGGUGGCAUAUUCCACACAAGGGAUCUUCAUCUCUCAACAAAAGUAUGUGAUUGAUUUAUUGGCAAAAACAGGGAAGAUUGGGUGUAAACCAGUCUCUACCCCAAUGGAUCCAAACCACAAGUUGGGAGAAGCUAAAGAAGAACCAGUAGUGAUAAAAGAAUGUACCAAAAGCUGGUUGGUAGGCUCAUAUACCUUGCUCACACUCGGUCAAACAUCGCCUACUCGGUGAGCGUAAUCAGUCAAUUCAUGCAUGAUCCAAGAGAACUUCAUCUUCAAGCUGCUUACAAAGUGCUACAUUACUUGAAAGGCAACCCCGGGAAAGAAAUUUUGUUCAAGAAGAACAAUACUCUUGCUCUAGAAGCAUACACCGACGCUGACUAUGCAAGUUCCCUAGUGGAUCAAAGAUCAACUACAGGGUAUUGUACUUUUCUUGGAGGUAAUCUGGUAACAUGGAGAAGUAAAAAACAAAAUGUGGUAGCAAGGUCGUCUGCAGAAUCAAAGUUUAGGGUCAUUGCUCAAGGGUUGUGUGAACUACUUUGGCUGAAGAUUAUUCUAGAUGAUUUGAGAAUCAAGUGGGAUGGUCCUAUGAAGCUCUAUUGUGACAACAAGUCCGCUAUCAAUAUUGCUCAUAACCCUAUACAAUACGAUAGGACAAAACCCAUUGAGAUUGAUAGGCAUUUCAUCGAAGAAAAAUUGGAGGAAGGAAUAGUGUGUAUGUCCUAUGUUCCAUCAAAACAUCAAUUAGCUAAUAUCCUAACAAAAGGGUUGAACAGUUCAAUGUUUCACGAUCUUGUAUUCAAGCUGGGAAUGGAAGACAUCUAUUCCUCAGCUUGAGGGGGAGUGUUGAGCUGUAAAUAGAAUAGAAGAAUUAUUUUCCUAUUAUGUUAGUUUCCUAUUUUUGUAAAUAGAUAGUUUUAUGAUUUAGGAAUAAGUUAGUUUCUGAUCAUGUCUCUUGUUUCCUAUUUCUUCUCUUGUAAUAUUCUAUAUAAAUUGUGUGUAUAGUCAAUCUAAUAUACAGAACUUAUUAUUUUUCAUUCCAUAUUUCCUGUCAGUUACUUCAAGGUUUGAGGUUGAAAACAGAAUUUUGGUAUCACAGAGCCAAUGGAGACGCUCAUUUGGCAUCCCAACAUCGGCUUGACAGUGAAACAAUGUCAAACGAAAAGGCUUACAUUUAGUUAACUACAUAUAGUAAGGAGCAAAAGAAUAACAAGUUUAGAGCAUAUAAAUAAAAUCCAACAAAUGUGACUAGAGGUGGAUCUCACAACUUAGUAACAAAAUAUAUCAUUAAAACAUAGGGAAGCAAACAGAGAUUGAAACAGUAUCAAAAAUGACAGUUAGUUAACAGUUCAAAGCCACUCAAUUUCAUUUUUAUUCCAUUUUCCUAUCAGUUUUGUAAACACUUCAAAGACAAUCAAUUUCUUUCUAAUUCACUUUCCUCUGUAAACUCUUCAAUGGGAUUCCUCAACCUAACUCUGAUUCAUUCCUUAUCUGAAUCAUUUUCUCUUCUAUUCUGUUUCCUAUUUAGUUUAGUAAACAACCCAAUAUGGAUAAUUAGCUUUUUCUUUAGAGGAUGGUCUUAUACCAAUUGAUUUUUUAGAUCCUUUUUUUUUUUUUUUUUGAUAGGUAAAAAAGGUGAUUAUAUUAAAAGUGAUUGAAAAGGCACAGCAAAGUACAUAAAGAAUUUACAAAUAGCACCUUACAACAAGCAAAAGGAAAGAGCAACAACAACCCACCACUCAAACCAAGCCUAAAGCCCAAGAAGAAACACAGUACCCCCCAACGACCUUCUUGCAGGCAUAUAAAAACUGGUUGCUGCAAACCAAACAAAGCUUAGAUGAACUUCCUUUUGAUGAUGUCAGAAGACCCUCUAGUAUUCCAAAGCAAUGAAAAAAGGUAUCACCUACCCACUGCAGCAAUAUCCCACUCUCCAUUUCCACCUCCUAAUUGUCUACCUUUUUCUUUCUUUUUGACAGGUUCUAAUUGUCUACCUAAUGGUCCCUUAUAAUUCACAAAACAUUCCAACUUCUUUAGUUCCCUUUCAAAUUUUGAAGACGAGUUCUUCCUCCUCGUUCCACCCUCCUGGACCUUUACCUCUUCCCUCACCUUCAUUUUUCUAAGUAGAGCCAAGAUCUCAAUCUCGAACCCCACUGUUUCAUGCCCAACCAAUUGUUGAAAGCUGCCAGGUUGCUUGAGGACCAAUCCUCCGUAGGCACCUCCACCCUCUGAACCAAACCAAGGCGUGCCCCCUCUUCCUUAUCCAUCUCACCCACCACAACUUUGAUCAGCCUCACACCAAUCUCACCAAACUCCAUUGAAGUUUCGUCCACCAAAACCAUCCUUAGAGGACUGCUACCCUCUCCCAGUGGAUCAACUAUAGAAUCCACCUCACAUCCCUCCAGACCAGGACCAUUCCCAGAAGGAGAUGGAGAAGAAAUUGCACAUGUCCCCAACGAAAAAACAGAGAGAGAAAUAGUACCGGGGUGUCUUGUCACUUCUGCCAUGAGGGCCAUGUAGGUGCUUGUGUGAAGUACUACCAACAGGGAGAGCUCAGACUUCUGGAAAUUGUUCCCUCUAAAGGCAAAAGAAGCCCCAAAAAUAGCCAAUUCCACUAGGCUAGUCUUAGAACCAGCACUGCAGUCCAGCAUAAUAGAGCCCUCACCUCCUCUUUGGGCAACACAAAUAACAGGAGGGCAAUGGGCCGUCUUAGAACAGUCACAGCCCAGCCCACAUGCCACCUUAGAAAUUAAAACUUUCAGAUUCAAUUGCUACAAAAUAAACAAGCAACAUUGUACGAUAAAGAAUGGUCACAUUUCUCUAAGAGAGGACAAUUUAAUCCAGUAUAUACUUAACCCCCUUCUUGUGAUCUUUAUUCUUUUAUUCAAGAUUCCAGAAUAAGUGGCCAAAAGGACUAGAAACUUGACAAAAUUUCCUCAAUCUUGUUUAACAGGGCAUAACAAAUACCUUUUGGGGACUAAUCCACUCCCAAAUUGCUUAAAGGGCUGGAACUAAAAGGGUUUCAAACAUUUUGCAGCUUUACAAGAAAUGUUCUCAAACAUCUUUCAUAUUCUUAACUUGAAAAGAUCUCAUCCAUUUUCUUUUACAAGAAAUGACUCGUAAGUUCAAUACCAGAUUAAUUCAUGCAGCUUCGAAUAUCACCUUUGUUUUAAGUUCUUGGGGGGAAACUUAAUAAAAGAUCGACACAAAAUAACUAAUCACAAUCAUUACUCGCAUAAAGAAGAGCAUAGUAAAAGAAAAUAACAAUAAUAAUAAUAAUAAAUAUUUGGUUUGAACACAAACAUUUUGCAAAAGAAGCAAAGUUGAGUGUGAAUGCAAGGAUGUGGAAUAUGCAUCAAGAACUACAUAAAUUACUCAGAUUGAAGAAAGAAGCAGACCAACAAGUGAGCACUCUCAGUCUCAAGUUCAUCAAGCACAGCUUCCCACUCUUCCUUAAAAUUUGCCAUUUCCUCUGCAACAGCCGUUUCCAACUAUCAACAAAAGAAUUAGCAUCAACAAUAGGCCAGACCAAAUGAAAUAUUAAGAUGGGGGUGAGGACAGAGAACUGACAUCAUUCCCUUGAAGGGUUUGUGCCAACUCUUCUCUAACUUCAAUCUCCAAUUUGGAAAGUGAUUCCUCUUCAAGUGAUUCUUGGGCCUCUGCAGCCUAAAAUGAAAAUGAGAGAACCAAGAAAGAAAUCUGAAACCUAUUAAAAAGAAAAGUUAGAAUCUAGCAAAGAAAAAUGAUACCUUACUCUCAACAUCCAAGAAUUCAGCAAUUAACUCUUCUAUUUCUUCCUCAGUCAAAGUGACCUGCACAACCAAAAAAAAAGUGCAAAACAAAGGAAGCACGAAAAAGCUUCAAAUGAUUUAGCAUAGAAGGGAAAUUAAAAAGGAUAAUGCAGCAAAUAUGAACAAAAGACAAUUCAAAUUGGGGGUGGGGAGGGAGGAAGGAAGAAGAAAAGGGACAUCAAUUAUGGCUUGCCUCAAGAUGCAAUCCAUCAUCUUGACCAGAUGUCAUUGAUUCAUUGUUGUCUAAAUCAUCAAUGAAAGAAUCACUAGAACUACUCUCGACAUCUUCCACUUCCUCAUGUUCUUCGUCCAUCUCUUACAUAAGUCGUGUUGAUUGAAUAGGUAACCCAAUAAAACAAUAUCUAGGAAAGAAAGAAACCGUAUCAGAAAAUUAAGAUAGAGAAGGAGUAGCUCAAAAUUAUUUGUCAAUAAGUUAUAGAUCACACAAAAAGAAAUCACAAAAACAGCCUCAUCCCCAUAAAUAAGAAGAUCCAAAAAUAUUGGCAUAUUAGUAUUAUAAUUUUUUUUUUUUUUUUUUUUUGAUAGGUAAAAGCAAUUGCAUUAAAAAGAGAAGAGUAUACACGAUGUAUACAAGCAACCAAAAAACAGAAAGGCGCGGAAACACAAAAAUAAGCACCCGCACCCUACAAAGUUCAUAACCAAUCCACAAAAUCAAGCAUCGACAUGGAGCCAUCCCCAAUAUACAAUCUUACCCAAUCCCAAAAUAGAUAUAAAAAAGAACUUUUAAAAGAAUGAUCUGCACAUUCACAAUUCUCAAAGGCAAUUUCCUAUUUCUCUCCACUGGCAUUAGUAUUAUAAUAAUAACUUUUACAAUAACCUUCUUGUACCAGAAUAGUUUAUUAGUAUAAAAUAUAAUCUUAAACUAACCAUAUCAUUACCCUGUGCCCAUUCAUUUUUAACAACUACAGCUGUUAAAUCUACAGGCCUCGGAUUGAAGAGAAAAAAUCUAAAAACUAGUUGACUAGUAGUAAGAAUAAUAAAUGGCCAAAACCCCUAACAAAUACUGCAAUCAUAUGCCAAUCAGAGGAAUGUGGUACAACCAUAAUGCAGAAGGGGCAAAAAGGAAAGAAAACCACAAAUGAGCACUGCAAUUAUGAGCAAAUAUCCAGUGCCUCUGUUGUACCACGUCAGCAUGCUAAUGUGGUACAACCAUCCAUUCAUAUUUUGCCAUCUCAUCAGGAAUUAGUUCUGUAAAAAUGAAUAAAAUGGUAAAUUGUUUUAUUAGAAAUAAAAUUUCAAAAUUGAUUUCUCUAAUAACCAAAAAUUUUCCAUAAUCAUUUUCAAAUCCAAAUAACUUUCUCAUUUUGCUUAUGUUUAAGCUUUAAGAUGAUAGAAUAUGAAUAGAUAGUUGUACCACAUCAGCAUGCUGACGUGGUACAACAAAGAUACUCAAUUACUUAAUAAUUUUUUUUGAAGAAACAAAAAAAAAUACUAUUUCUAGAGAGGGGGAGAGGGAGAGAGAGAGCACAUAAUAGAAAGGAGAGGAGAGCUCUAUCCACAAUAUCGAGAGGGAGAUAAAGAGAGAGAGAGAGCACAUAAUAGAAAGGAGAGAAGAGCUCUAUCCACAAUAUCAAAAAAAUAAAUCUAUAAAAAAAAAGGCUCAACAAACUACAAAUCCCAGCCAGCGAGAGUGAGAAAACAAUAAAAUUUAAGUUACCUUAAGAUCCUUAUGAAUAUAAUAUUAUAUCUAUAAUUUUUCAACACUGUGAAAGAUUUUUCAUUGUUGUAUAAUGAGAUGAAAGAUCAAAGAAGAUAAAAGAAAAUGAAAGAAAAGAUGGAUCCUUGGCGAUCACACCAAGGCUUCUAGAAUAGAAACAUUAAAUUUUAAGUUACCUUAAGAUCCUUAUGAAUAUGAUGUUAUAUCUAUAAAUUUCCAACACUAUAAAAGAUUUUUCCUUGUUGUAUAAUGAGAUGAAAGAUCAAAGAAGAUAAAAGGAAAGGAAAGGAAAGAUGGAUCCUUGGCAAUCACACCAAGGCUUCUAGAAAUCACACCAAGGUUCAUAGGCAAACACACCUAAGGUUUCCUAAGCAGCCCACUUAUGUGAGAAGGAAAGAAAAACAUAGAUCCUCAAUAAUCACAACAAGGUUCCUGAUCAGUCGUAGAUGAAGGUGGAUGAGUUUUUUGUAUCCCCUCUUCUUUUUUGUCUUUGCCUUUAGGCGCCUCUUGUACACUAUUGGUAUGCUUUGGAUUAACCUUUGGGCGCCCUUUCUUCUUUAUUUCUAUACCUUUGCAUUCUUACCUAUCAAAAAAAUAAAAAAAAACAAGGUUCCUGAGUAAUCACACCAAGAUAAGACAAUCACGCAUUUAAAUCGUUAGAUAGUUACUAAAUUCUCAAUACUUCUACAUAGGUUUAUAUAAAUUCAUGGAAUUCCUUUUCCUAAUAAAAAGACUCUUUCCUAAUAGGAAUAUGAUGUCUUUUUCCAAUCAAACAAGAUCGAGCUUGGUUCAUCAUAUAAAAUUUCCCUAUUGUUACAAGCUUUUAUUCUUAUGUCUUACCUCAUGAGAUAACACGAAGAUUCACCUCCAUUUCUGACCGGUAUUGCUAUGUGGUCAAAAUGAAAGAUCUCAUCUUAUAGGAAUCCAAGAAAGAGAAUGCACAAAGGUCAUAGAGAGAUAGACCUUCUCUUUCAAUAUAUUAUAGAAUAAUUCCAUUGAUCACUAUUGCUAAACUAACCCAUCAUCAUUGCACUAUCUACAAAAGUUACAACUUUCAAUUUGCAAAAGUUUCUCUUUUUUUCAUGAGGCUUAAAAAUUUCUAACCUUCUUCAAUGAGCACUCAUUCUCAAAGUUCACAUUCCAAAAAGAAAUAUAAUAAUAUACUUUAAUCAAUAAGGAUACUUUAUUUACUUCAUAUUAAAGGUUAGGUUCUUAAUUGAAGGAGGCCAAUCACAAGGGUAGAUGCAAUGUCUAAAUAUGAAGGGAGAUGCAGUGGAAUGGCAGACAAAAGGGUUGGCACACUGGCAAGAAGGUAUGUUAUCCAGAUAAUGAAGGAUCAACAGAAUUUGGGAGCAAAUUUAGGAGGAGAUUUUCUUCUUCCUUUUGGUAAGAUAUAUAUCAUUUUUAUAGUGCUUCAAAAUAAAGGUAUCUCCUAUACUAAUUGUCCUAUGAUGACAUGAAAGCUUCAUAUUGUAACAUGUGGCUUGAUUUGGACAAAACAAGCUUGGUGGAACCUUAAUCCCACCUUAGUGAGUCUCAACUCUAAUUAUCAAACUAAGGCAAAAUACUCAAAUGGUAGGAGGAUUAAUUCCACCAUCAAGAUGCAUCAAGUUCGAAUUGGACCAUCUAAGUAAGCACAUUUGUAUCAAGGUAUCGUUCCAAAGUGACACAUUCAAAGAUAUUUUAGAGAUAUAUAGACUCUUCUCCUACUAAUGCAGGCAUUCACAUUCUGUGGUUAUUUGAGGUACUUUGGCACCUAACCAAUGGUAGCAUGCAUGCCCAAAUGCUAUCAACCUUUGAUACCCAGACUCGUCAACUUAACCCAACAUACCCAUGUCAACACAAUAUGAAAAAGGUGUGGGUGUGGGGAUCCUUCUAAGAUUUUUUUCCUUUUUUCUUUUUUAUCGGAAACAACAAAUGUAUUAAAUUAAGGAUAAAGAAAUACAGAAGAAGGAUGAGGAAUCCUCCCAAAAUACAAUGAACUAAUCAUAAAGCAUGUUGAAGCAUCCAAAGUACUAAGUAAACUUAUACAACACUAAAGUACUACAUGAGAAUAUAAAAAAAAACAACUCAUAACUCUAAUAUUUGAAUAAUUUCCUUCCAAGCAGCCUCUCCUUGCUAACCCAUACCUUUCGAGCUACACACUAAAAACCAAUCAAGUUGGACCACAUUAAGGGUGAUGCCCUUAAAUGUUGUGGUGCAAGAAGCCCAAAAGAAAGCAAAAAAAACAAAUGAUAUCCCAAAGAGCCUUUGAAGCCCGAGCCUUGUCCUCAAAUCCUAGCAUUUCUUUCUUUUCUAAAAAUAAGGAUAAAUCAAAAAAGAAAGAUAAUUUUAUUAUUUUCAAGGAUUUUUUGCUUCUAAUUGACUUUUAAUUUUUUUUCCCCCCUUUAUUAUGUCAUAUCCAAGUACCAGUCAAAAUAUGUUUUCAAUUGAGUCCAUUAUCGUAAAAUUUGAGAUGUGAAUGAUCAAACACCUUGACACAUACUUGCACAAGAGACCCUUCCCCUAACCCAAGUAGCUCAACACUACAACAUAAGAAAGGAUGUGAGAUGGUCUGAGCAAGGGAAAGUGUAUGCACAUAGUCAUGCAUUACUAUCUUGGUUGGUUAAGUGGAAUUAAGUCCCAACAGAUGUGAUGUUUUAUGAUUGGCUACAUAACAAUGAUGCCUAUAUGUCACAACUAUACAUGUGGCAUGCAAUGAUUUUAUAAAUAUAUCAAGUAUAAUUGCAUUUUAUAGAAUGUGUCAUUAAUUAUUAGGGAGCAAUAUUUUAGUCAAAACAAUAAUCAAAAUCCUUAUCAAAACAUAUAAUCAAAGAAGGACAGUAUAUACAUUCAAACAUCAAUACUGCAUCAUGAUUAAGUGAAUCCAAAGCAUGUUAUGCUAUGAAUGUUUUACAUUGUGCAACUUUCAAUUUAACAAAGCAACUUUUGGUGAUAUUGGAAACAGGAACGCUUCAACACUCAUGAAGAUUGCAAAGGUUGAAAUUUAAGGAAUGAGUCACUUAUCAUAUGAGCUUGAUCCUUGAUAAUAAGUAGGACAAUGGAGAUAGGGAAAAUUACAAGAGACAAAUAUGUGAUUUGGAGGCAGGUUUCCAUUGAUGUGAGUUAAGGAGGAUGAUUGUAGUUCUAAAUUGUUGCUAGAUUGGUAAACCUUAGGAGAGAAAAAACUAAUCAAAUAUAUCUCAAGGGAGGAUAAGUCAAUCUUAGAACAAGAUGAUUUCUAAGGAAAUUUGUAGAUUUUCAAACAAGAUGAGAUCAUGGGGUUAGACUCUUUGCCUUUCUUAGAGAGGAUAGCGCAAAAUGGUUGACAAGGCCAUUUAAGGGGCUCAUCUUUCAAACAAACGGGGAUAAAGCCCUCAACCUUGGACAAAAAUCUAUCAAAGUUGUUGACCAACACCUCGUAAUGUUCCAUAAGACUAUCUCCUCUUCGGAUAGAUUCUUUCUUAGGGAAUAUUCUACCAUAAUGGUUUUUGCACUCAGCAAAAGAGAUUGCUCCAUAGGGAUUAACGCUUUUAAACCUAAUAACUUGGUAACUAGUCUCUAUAAGGUCCUAGAAAAGGCCCUCUUCAAGCAUCUUAGCAUAAGGCUUCCAAAGAAUAUCUCCUCCUCUCAAAGACUAUUUGUUAAAGAUGUUAUUGAUACAAAAAUUAUAGAUAAGAUAUGACAAUCCAGAAAAGAAAAUGGUUUUCUUUAGCAUACACUCACUCUGAGAACAUGUUUAAAACUAAUUAGCGAAUGUGACCCAGGUUUUUCUUUCGUCAAUGGGUUUUGCAACAUUGAUUUAUGGUGAUGCUAAGGCAUGAAUUGUUGCCUCCAAAUGUUUUUUGUUUUUUCUUUUUUGAUAGGUAGCCUCCAAAUGUAUUUUUGACAAUGAGAUACCUUUCAUCCUUCUUGUUUAUCUUUGCAAUCAAUAUUCUUAAUAACUUAAUUUCUAAGGCAAGAGAGUGUGGUCUAGUUGCAACUUUAAGGCUAGAAAGGAUAGAUCAAGAGGCUCCUAUUUGUAACUUGAAAACAAAACCAUGUCUUUCUCUAAUGCUAGUGAAGAAGUUAUCGAUGAUCCUAAUUUUAUUCUUAAACUUUUGGGAUGGUUUCCACCCUUGAAAUCAAUAUAGAUAAUUGUGGGAGGCCUUACCUAUCAAAAAAAUAUAGAGAUAAUAGUGAAUUCUAUAAACCUAUGAAUCAUCCAAUCCAUGACUCAACUUGUCUCAGCAUAAUUCUAUAAACCAAUUUGUGAUGAGCUUCAAGCAAAAUUUCGCUUAGAGUCAACCAAAUUUCAUUUUGAGAUGGCUUGACAAUUCUCCCAAUUACAAGUUGGUUUAAAGUUACACCAAACUGAAAGACAUUGGUUUGAGUACCUUUGAGACAAUUACCAAGGCCACAUGAUACUACAAGUGAUAUAACCAAGAAUGCUAAAGUAGAUGCCCUAAGUUAUGAUAGAUGGUUAGACUAAUGUUUUCUUUUAUUGGUUAGCUCAUCUUGAGGAUUCCUUUGAAUAGUAUGAUACACCAAACAUUCAAUGCUUUUGCUUCACCAAAAUGAAAUUGUUGGUUCUACCAAGCAAUAUUGGUAAAGAGUCCAACCCAACUCAGAACAUUUAGGUGAGGAACCAAAACCAUAGGGCUGAAAAUGAAACAAAAGUGGAAAUAUAUAUAUAUAUAUAUAUAUAUAUAUAUAUUUCCUUACAUAUCAUAAGAGGCAAUUGCUAGAUUUGUGGAUUAACCAUAGGCAAUUAUUUUUUAAUUAGAAACAAAAGAUAUAUCUAUAUCAAUAAAAGUUGAAGAGAAGGAUGAGACAUCCUUCCCACAAAAUACAAAACCUGAUGAAAGUAAGAGCAGACUCCUCCACUAUACAAGGAGAAUUAUGCACAUAGGCCAUACACAAUAUAACUCAAAAGCCGAAAUUAACCCCUCUCAAUGUUAUCUACCCCUUUUGAGUUACAAAACGAAAGUCAACUAAGUUGAAUAACAUUAAGUGGAACUCCACUAAAAUCCACAGUACAAAAUUCCCAAAGGGAGGAAUAAAAGUGAAGUAGAUCCCACGACAUCCCUUCCAUUCUACACUUUUCCUUAAAACGCAAUCCAAAGCAUAAUGAGGCAAGCAAUUUGCCAAAGAGUCUUACCUUUGAUUGAAUUCCCCAAUCCUCUAAAUGAGAUAACCAUCAUAUCUCUGAUACUCCUAGGUUUCACCUAAACCACAUUGACUAUUUAGUUAAUGUAGAAAAAGAAGGUCAAUCAAUUCUCCAUUUCCUUUGGAUAAAAUGCACUAAUGAGGACUAAGGGAUUUGUAGGGUCUUCUCACCUAAAGCAAGUCAUUGAUAUUUACCUUCUUAUGCACCACUAACCAAACAAAAGCUUUGACCUUUGAAAGGGCUUUUGAUUUCCAAAUAAAAUUGCCCAAAAAGAAUGGGAAUGGAUAUGAGGAAUUGGACAAGACCAAGAAGAACUAGGCAAUUAUCCUUCAAUGUGACUACUUACCAUGCUUUGAGGGAAUUAAUUAAUAUGCGAAAUGAGGGAGGAAUCUUAGGUAUGGCAAAAUUCAUUAAUGGUUUGAGAUCAUAAAUUAAAAGAGAGGUAGACCUUAGCUCUCUUGAAAUUUUAAAGAAAGUCUAUCACAAAGCUUUUAUAAAUUGAGAGAUACUUUAGGAUUCCUAGUCAAAAAACAUACAAUUUAUCAAAUUGACAAAUCUUAUCAUUCUCAAGUUUUAUUUUAUGAUAGAGCAAGAAACAACUUAAGGGCUACUAACGAUGUUAAAGCCAGUCAAAUUAUUUCAAGUGGCAACAACAACACUAGUCUAGGAGUGAGAAGUAAUAAGAGUGGAGAGUUAGUUUCAAGUAAUCCUCAAUCUAGUCAUUCUAACAUAGAGUGUCACCAUUGCCAUGGUAGGAGUCACUCUUUUUUAUAGGUUUUUUUUUUGUCUCCAUUGAGACUUGAACCUAAAGCCCUUCCAUAAGCCCACCCCGACCCUUUCCCACUUGAGCGAGGCCUCAAGGGCAUUGUCAUGAUACCAAUCAUAUAGUGUCACGUUUUCCAGAUCACACCCUAACCAUAGAAUAAGAGCCUAUGGAUUCAUAAGAAGGUGAAGAUAGUGAUCAAGUUCAUAAACCCUCAAAUUACAUUACUAAUCUAGUAGAGGAUGUUGAAGAAAAAUGGGCUAAUUAUGACACCCACAUUAGUGUUUUACAGUCUAUUUUAUCCCCUCUGACAAAUAGUAAUGAGUGGAAAUGUACCUGUAUUUUCCACACAUAUUAAACGUUGAAUAAAGUUGUUGUUGCUACAUUGAAACUUCAACCUAAACCACAUAUUUAUAUAAAGUACUUUAGAUAGACAAAACUUCAUUGUCUAUGACUAAAAGAUGUUUAAUUCCAAUUUCAAUGGGAGACUACUCAUAUAGAAUUUAGUGUGAUGUCCUCUCCAUGAAUGUUGCUCAUGUUCUCUUACACUGUCAUUGGCUAUAUGACCUUAAAGUCACCAAUUAUGGUAGGUAAAAUACUUAAAAUAUAACAGUGAGUCUAUCCUAUUAAAACUUGAAAGCCCACUAAAAAUCAUAGCAAACAAAAAUUUAAGAUAUUAACCUAAUCAACCAGCUUCACAUCUCAAACACCUAAAAGUUCUACUCAAACUCUUAAGAAGUAAAAUCUUCAUAGUUUAACAUGAAUGGAGCAUGAGGAGAUGAGUGAAAUUCAAGAGUAACGUUAGUCUUGAUAGUUAAAAAUAUUUUUCACAAAUUGUUAGCAUUUAAUAUUAUAUUAUCAACUCAAGUCAACAAAUUGUUGGGUGAGUUUCAAGAUAUAAUCCUGAAGACCUACCUAGUAAAUUAGCACCCACGAGGAACAUGCAACAUGCCAUUGACCUAAAUCUAAGGUCUUAACUACCUAAUCUCUAAUAAUAUAGAUUAAAUUCUAAAAGGGGAGUGGAAAGAAAUUGGCAAGUCGAUGAACUCUAUUCAACACAGUCUUAGCCCUUUAUUGUCCCUACCUUGCUUACCCUUAAGAAAGAUGGUUCUUAGAGAAUGUGCAUAGAUAGUUGUGUCACCCAUUAAGAAUAGGUUUCCCAUACCUAGAUUGGAUGAAAUGUUAAGACUUGAUAUCAGAAUCAAAGUGGUUUUAUAAGAUUGAUUUAUGUAGUAAUUAUCAUCAAAUCUAUAUUAGAUCAAGAGAUAAGUGGAAAAUUACAUUUAAAAUCCAAAAUGGACUUUAUGAGUGGUUAGUCAAGCCAUUUGGGUUAUCUAAUGGUACAUUUAUGAGGGUUAUAUCACAAGUUUUGCAUCCCUUCAUAGGAAAAUUUAUAAUGGUCUAUUUUCAUGAUAUCUUGAUUUAUAGUUAGUAUGAAGAGGAGCAUUUAAGAGCUAAGAAACUUUAAGUUAAUCUUUUUUUUUAUAUAAAUAAAGAGAUUGUAUUAAAAAACCACCGAAACAGUGGCUAAAAAUACAAGAAACAGAAAAGAAAAAGAAGAACACCCCUCGCUCCCUAGCAGAAUGCCAAGGCCCGAAGAGCAUCCCUACCCACACCCUUAAUGGGAAGCCACACAGCCAACAAAAUCAACUAAGGUCGAGGGACCAUCUUUUAUAGACCUCUUCGUCUCCGACCAAAGAACACAAAAGAAGACUUAAGUCUUUGAAUUGACAGCUCCUCUUCCUUAAAAGCAACUUUGUUCCUUGUCUUCCAAACCGUCCAAAAAAGACACAAAGGACUUGCUUUCCAAACACCCUUCCUCUUCUUACCCACAAAAGUCCCAUUCCACCCCGAAAGCAUCUCCUUAACCAUGGCUGGCAGCACCCACUGCACCCCGAACAUUGAGAAAAGCAGCACCCAAAGAGUUCUUGCCUUAUCACAAUGGAGAAGAAUGUGAUCAAUUGACUCUUCAUGCCUUUGACAAAGGUAACAUCUGUUCGCUAGAGCCCAACCUCUCCUUUGAAGCUGAUCCAAGGUGAGGGUCUUCCCCCACGUUGCUUCCCACCCAAAAAAACUCACUCUGGGCUGCACCGAAACUUUCCAAAUAGCCGACGAAGGGAAGGAGGUUGGAUGGCCUGAUACUAAUGAUUUGUAGAGAGACUUAAUCGAAAACUUCCCACAAUUAGUCUCUCUCCAAAUCACCCUAUCAUCCACCCCUUGCUGAAUUUGCUUCCUAUUUAAGACCACAAAAAAACUGCACACCUCUUCCAACUCCCAAUCAUUAAACGGUCUAGAAAACAGCAGACUCCAACUUCCCCCACCCUCAUUGCACCUCCAAACAUCCUUAACCCAAGCAUCCUUGGAAACAACCAAUGCAAAUAAAGAAGGAAAAGAAACACAAAGAAGUUCAUCCCCACACCAAAUGUCUUUCCAGAAUUUUAUCCUUUUCCCAUUCCCCACAACAAAAAAAAGCCUACUUUUCACAACUUCCCAUUCUUUCCUAAGUGUUUUCCACAAUCCCACACCAUCCCCCCCCUUGCUUCCUUUGAACUCCAUCCCCCUUGCUCCUCCCCAUAUUUUCCCCUAAUCACUUGGUUCCAAAAAGCCUCUCUCUCAAUAGCAAAUCUCCAACUCCAUUUACAUAAAAGAGCCUUAUUGAGGAUAGAAAGACUCUUGACCCCCAACCCCCCAUUAUCCUUCUCAAGGCAAACCAACUCCCACCUAACAAGAUGAAUCUUCCUCUCAAGAGCUCCACCUCCCCAUAAGAAAUCCCUCUAAAUUCGCUCUAACCUCAGUCUGACUUUUCUAGGCAUAGAGAGCAUGGACAUAAAGUAAAUGGGCAUAUUAGCUAGAGUACUCCGGAUCAAAGUAAUCCUACCUCCUUUGGAUAUGUAUUAGCUCUUCCAUGUAGCCAAUUUUUUCCUCAUUCUCUCCUCCACACCGUCCCAAACAGCCAACGAUCUAUACUGCGCACCUAAAGGCAACCCCAAAUAAGUGGUUGGAAGACUUCCAACCUUACAACCAAUAGCUGCAGCCAACUCCUCUUCGUCAUCCACACAACCCACCGGAAUAAGCUCACUUUUGUCAAGAUUAAUUCUCAAACUCGACAUGGCUUCAAACCACAUUAAAAUCCAACUUAAAUGCAGCAAUUAAACCUUGGAAGCUCCACAGAAAACCAAAGUGUCAUCAGCAAACAAGAGGUGUGACACAUUAACUCCCUCACCACCCCUGCUCCUCGCCUUACAAGCAGACACAAAGCCCCCAGCUACUGCACUCCUUAGGAGACUACUAAAAGCUUCCAUUACCAACACAAAAAGUUAUGGAGAGAAAGGAUCCCCUUGCCUUAAACCUCUAGAGCUUUGAAAAAAACCUGAGGAAGACCCAUUCACCAAAACGGAGAAGCUAACAGUGGAGAUACACCACUUCAUCCAUCUAAUCCAUUUUUCCCCAAACCCCAUCUUACUCAUGACUGAAAACAAAAAAGACCAUUCCCCAUGGUCAUACGCUUUCUCAAUGUCCAGCUUACACAUCACUGCCUCUUCCUUGUUUUUUAAAACCGAGUCUAAAACCUCAUUAGCCACCAGAACAGCAUCUAGAAUUUGCCUUCCUUGCACAAAAUCAUUUUGAGCCUUGGAUACCACCUUCCCCACCACCUUCUUUAAUCUUUUAGCUAAAACUUUAGCCAACCACUUAUACAGACCUCCCACCAAGCUGAUAGGCCUGAAGUCCCUUAUUUCUUCUGCCCCUCCUUUCUUUGGUAUCAAAACAAUAAAGGUGGCAUUAAGACUUUUAACGAACCUGCCAUGGUUAUGGAAAUCCCUAAAAAACCCCAAGACCUCCUCUUUCACAAACUCCCAAGAUGAUUGCCAAAAGGCCAUAGUAAAUACAUCAGGUUCGGGUGCUUUAUCCCCACAAAAUCCUUUAAGCACCUCCAGCACCUCCUGCUCCGAAAACGACUCCUCCAAACUGGCUGCAUCCACAGCCUCCAAUCUCUCAAAAGACAUUCCCCUUAAGCUGGGUCUCCAACCUCCAGCAAUAGACAGCAUAGAUUUAAACUCAUUCACCACCCCAUCUCUAACCUCAUUCUCCUCUGUUAACCAAACUCCAUUUAUUUUUACCCGGGAUAACAUGUUCCCCCUCCUGUGAGCGUUAGCCAUCCUGUGGAAGAACUUAGUAUUCAUGUCCCCCUCUCUUAGCCAGACUUCCCUUGAAUUUUGUCUCCAAGAUAUCUCUUCCAGCAAAGCCCACUUUUUAAAAUCCUCUUUAGCUCCUCUCCUUGCGUCCACCUCCUGAACAGAGAGAGGCCGAGAUAACUCCAUUUUGUCCCAGAAAUCCACCUAACUCAAAGCCAAAGUCUUAUUGACCUCCACUUUACCAAACUCCAGCUUAUUCCAAUCUCUCAACAGAGGCUUCAAAGCUUUCAAUUUAGAAGCCAACACAAAGCUCGCAGACCCACUAAAAUUGAGCCCCAUCCACCACCCCUGCAUUUUUUCUUUGAACCCCUCUUCCUUCAACCACAUAUUCUCAAACCUGAACGGCAUCGAACCACAUAUUCUCAAACUUUAAGUUAAUCUUAAAGAAACGUUCUUUCCUUCAAUUCCUAAGUGAUCUAUUAGGGAUUUGUAAUCUCCUCAAAGUUAUAGAAUAAGAUCCUCCGAAAGCCACUUUUUUAUAGGCAAUAAAAGAAGUAUAGACAAAAAAAGAGAAGAAUAUAUCAAAGUACACAAGGUGUAUACAUCAGGUACAUUAGAGAGAACAAAAAAAAAACAACUCUCUCUCUCAACAAGAUCCUAACCAAUCAACAAAAUCAAUCAAAGGUAUUGAACCUUCUUUAAUGUACAUCCUCACCCAUGCUAAGAGGUUAGCUAAUAAGGAAAAAAACAUUUCAACUUUUGAUCUUAGGUCUCGUUAUUUUCAAAUGCUCAUCGGGUUUUUUUUUUCCACAACAUCCACAAGGGAGUUGUUUUCCAAACUUUCUUCUAUUUUCUCUCUAUGAAGGAGUCAUGCCACCUUAAUAGAGUUUCUCUGUCCAUGUAAAGAACAACCCAAGCUAUGCCAAAUAAGGAGAACAACUACCGUAGAACCCUUGAUUUGACAAAGUGUAGAAGAAAAUGAUCAAUUGAUUCCUCUUUCAUUUUACAAAGAAAAGAUCUAUUUGCCAAAGACUACCUCUCCUUUGAAGGUGAUUCAUUAUCAAUACUAUUCCUCAACUAGCUUCCCAAGCAAAAAUAUUCACUUUAUUCAGGACCUAUAAAUUCUAGAGAAUGACUGAAGGAACGGGAAUUGGUAGAAAAAAACUUUAUUUCUUGACUCCUUCCAAAUCAUUUUUUCAAUAUCUUUUCUCUCCAUGAACUUAUCUUGCAACCUUAAAAAAAUAAAUAAAUAAAUAAUAAAAAAUAAAAAUAAAAAAAGAUCUAACAAUACCCAACUCUCAAUCAUUAAAGUGUCUAGAGAAAUGCAAAUCCAAUGACCCCACCCUUUUGUCACAUCCCAAAAAUCUACCACCCAAGUGUCUUUGGAUAAUGAUAGAGCACACAAGAAAGGAAAGGACACACACAAGGGUCAUCCCCAUACCAUCCAUCCUUUCAAAACUUCACCUAGUACCAUUACCCACUACAAAAGCAGUCCUACUAUUGAGGAUGUCUCAUCCCUUCUUGAUUCUUUGGCUUGCUUUUGGGCCCAAUUUUUAUACUCCAUGUGUACCUUUUUGCGCCUUUUGCCAAGCACUUCACUAUAUAUUUUUUCUUACUUAUCAAAAAAAAUGUUCCAUCCCUUCUUGAUAGCUUUACAAACUCCAAUCCCAUCCCCAUCUUUCACAUUGCAAGAAAGAAAAGGACACACAUAAGGGCUCCUCCUCACACCAUCUCUCCUUCCAAAACUUCAGCCCCACACAUUAUCCACAACAAAAGCAACCUCAUCAUUGAGGAGUCUCAUCCCUUGCUAAUAGUUUUUCAAACCUUAAUCUCAUACCCUAUUGAGGAGGUCCCAUUCCUUCCUCAGAAAGUUAGAAAUAUUAAAGUGCAGUAUGAGCCUAAGACUAUCAUAUGGUUCAUAGUUUUCAUAGAUUAGCCAUUUUUUAGAGGCAAUUCAUUAAUGAAUUUAGUAUUAUAAUGGCUCUCUCAUUAUUGAUUGCAUCAGAAAAGGGGAGUUUGAUUGGAAUAAAGCAACAAGAAAGGUAUUUGAGGAGAUAAAAUCAAAAUGACUAAAGCAUUUGUCUUAAGCCAUCCUAAUUUCUCAAAAGUGUUUAAGGUGCCAUGCAAUGCAUUAAGUGUUGGCUUAGGUGGUAACUUACGUCAAGAAAGGCAUCCAAUUAUGAUAAAGAGUUCUAAGUCGUUGUGCAAUGAUUAUAAAGAGGCUAAAUGUGGUAUUUCAAUUAUGAUAAAGCAUUCUAGGCUACUGCACAAGCCCUUUGGCAUUUGAGAUAUUAUCCAUUACCUAAAGAAAUUGUGUUGUACUCCAACCAUCAACCAUUAACAUAUCUUAAUUCUCAAAGAAAGAUAAGUGCCAAACAUGCUAGGUGGAUGGUGUUUCUUCAAGAAUACAUGUUUGUUCUCCACCAUCAUGCAAGAACUAAGAAUAAAGCCAUUGAUGUCCUUAGUUGAGCAGUGGUUGUUUACAGGCUAUGAGUGUCCAUGCAGUCAUAUUUGAGACAAUAAAAGAUGAGUAUCUCGCUUACCAUAAUUUUGGUGUUGACUUCCUUUUUAUUUUUAUUUUUUUGAUAAAAAAAUAGAGCAUCUAUUGAAGACGAGGGCCUCCACCUAAUGGAAGCCUAGGCUUAUCUAUGAUGGUUGGUCUUCUAAGAAGAUGAUCCAAAUGAGUAUUUAUGGCCUUUCAAAGGCUAUACUAUUAGGAUAAUCUUGAAGACAACUAGUUUUAGGUAUGCCAUUAAGCAAAGAUUUUGGCUUUAUGGAUCGCCUAAAAGAAGCAAAAUUGUACAGUGAUACCAUGAUUGGAAUGAUAGAAUACUUUACGCAUUUAAAAAAGUGCCCCCCAAAAAAAUUCUGUAUGUAUAACUCUACUGGUACCUCUCCGUCAUUCCUUGUUUUCUAACUUAAUAAAUAUGGGAUCCAAUGAGUAAUUGAACAUUAACAUUAGAAAAGCAUAACAAGUUUAGCACAUCCAUGAGGAAUCGAUAAUGGAAAACCACAUCUCCGAAGACUAUACACUACUCAGGCUUCACACAACCUAGAGUCUGAUUUGGUUUGAUUUUGAAAUCCAAGAAAGGGAAAACAAUGGGAUAACAAAUUCCCCAAUUGAAAAUAAUCAAAAAACAUAUAUAUAUAUAUAUACUAUAGACCUUUUCCAGAGUAGAAAUGAAAAUGGGUUUUAAAAUAUUCUCAUUUUCAUAAAUAAAACAGAAUUUCUAUAAAUCAAUUAGCUCCAUUCUCAUUUUCAAUGCCUUCAGGAACUUCCUUUCCUUUUUCUAUUUAAAAAACACACACACACACAGAACAGCAAUAACAACAUAUCCCAAACACCAUUCUAAAACACACUCCCUCAAAAUGCGUAGCAAGCAUAGCUCCAAUGGACACCAUUAACUUCACCGGAUCCACAAAAGGCAAAAUCAGCAAACCAAGAACUCAUACGACCACAAGACUGAAGCUAAAAGCAUUUGGGGACAACACACCGAACAACAACAGUUUACAACUCCAACCGCAUAGAAUCGGAUCGAAAUUGAAGAACAAGACAACCCUAACAUUAGAAUCCAAGUAUUCAAUUUGGGAACUCACCUGAGAAAAGAAGGGUCCAAGUUCUGUUUCAGAGGUCGCUGAGAAGAAGCUAGGGCUCGCAACGACUCCUCCGAGGAGGGAAAUUUUUAUUUUUAGAUUUCAGACACAAAUAGGGAGUUUUGGAGAGAGAAGGCAAAGAAACGAAGGGAGAAAUAGAAUCGUUCUCGCAUAUAUUUUUUAUUUUGUGGGCCACUUGGUAAGUUUCAGCUUUGCCUAAUUUUAUAUAUUUUUAGGUCAGUAGCUGUGGAUGAAGGUUAGAAAUCUGCUAAAAGUUAUUUUCUUUGCCACCCCUAUUCAUUUUCUUAGAAGAAAACUGUCAAAUAUGUUUUCGAAAACAAUUUUUAAACAUAAAAAAAAAUUAUAUUUGAUAACUAGAAAACACUUUUCUUAAAAAUUAAAAAAUAAAAUAAUAUAACAUGAUAUUUGCAUAAAAAAAAAAUUAUUACUUUUACUUGUUUUUUGAUAAUUAAAAUAAUUAUAUAAAUAAAAAAUGAUUAAAAAUAAAGCAAAAAAUAAGUUUAAAAAAAACACAGAAAUCAAGUCAAAAUCAUCUUACAUUUUCAAAUAGAUAUUUGUUCUAUAAAACAUCAUAAAACGGUUUUAAAAAUUAUUGUCAAAAAAUUUUAUUUUUAAAAACAGCUAUCAAACAAAAUCUAAUAAACCGGUUUGUUUUUUAUUUUGAAUUUUGAGAAUUAUUUUUAUUUUUAAAAAUAUCUAUAAACUCAAUGGUUUUAAAAUGUAUAGGUAUAAUAUUUUAGUUUUAAUGGUUGGCUUUAAACUUAAGAAUUGGAAAUUUGAGUUGAUAAUAACUUUAGAAAAUGAUCUCUCAAACAAUACUUAUAGAAAUUAGAUUUAUUUAUAAAUAAAUAAAUAAAUAAAUAUUCUCCUUUAUUUUAUUUUUACUAGUUAGAAAUCACGUGUGAUGCACAUAAGCUAGUAAAGUAUAAUUUUUUUUAAUAUUUUAUCAAAUAUAAUAUAAAAAAUUUAAACAAAAAAUUUAUAUUAAAUGAACUUUGAAGUCAUGACAUAUGAAGCUUUUAUUUUCUUAGACAAUGAAAGAAGUUGGGACCUAACGGAAGUACCAUUAGGGUGGAGAAUCCUUCUCCUAUUAAAACUCUCAAGUAAGGAAGUCAAUAAGGAAUUCAACUCUCAUUUGAUAAAUUCAAUUUCAAAAUCAAAGUUUGAAAGUAAAGUUUAUCAUCUUGCAAAAAAUUGUUUUAAAACUAGAUUUUUAACAUCAUUUUGUAAAAUAAGCUUUGCAAUCGAUUUUAAAAAUAAAUUUUUUAUUUAUUAAAUCACUUUGAAAUUUUGAAAUACAUAAAACUAUUAAUAAUUUUUUUUUAAAAUAUUUGAAUAGUUUAUCUAACGACCUAACUAAAUCCCUGAAUAAUAUAUAACUAUAAAAAUAUUGAAAUACAUAGAAUUAUUGAUAAAAACUUUUUUUUGUAAAAUAUCUUUUUCAGCUUUUCAAUCAAUUUUUAAAAGAAAUUUUUUAUUUAUCAGAUCACUUUGAAAUUUUGAAAUACAUAAAACUAUUGGUAAAACUUAUUUUUUUAUAGUUGAAUAGCUUUUUUGAUCACUCAACCAGAUCCCUAAAUGAUAUUAUACGCACUUAAUUAUUGUAUUCUUAUUUUAACAUACCUUUGUAAUCUAUAUUAAAUGCAUCUGAAUAAAUUUAAACCCUUUUUUAAUAUUAAAUUUCGAAUUUCCUUUUUCAUAGAAUCAAAAUAAUUCAUGAAGUUCUUUUAAUAAAAUUGAAAACUUUUCCUCAAACCAAAUAAAGAUAUUUAAAAAAAUCAAUCAAUCAAAUAAAAAAAAUUUAGAAAAUAAAAAAUAUUGAAGUACCUUUAGUAAACAAUUUAGUGAAAAAAAAAAAACCAUUUUCCUAAUAAAAUUGAGUUGAAUUUCCCUUUUCUAAAUAAAAUUGUCCUUGAAAAUAAAAUCUAGUUGACAUAUCUUUCAUAGAUAAUUUAUAAAAAUUCAUUUUUAAAUAAUUUGUAAAUAUCAUUUUCUUAAAUUAAAAUACUUUUGCCAAUAAAAAAUUUUAAAAAUCAUUAUUUUUUAGCAAAAGUAAAUAAAUACUAUUUUUCAUGUAAAUAAAAUCAAAUUGAAAAGUUUUAAUAAUUGCAUUGUUUUAAUAAUAAUGAGUAAAAAUAACUUUCUUGAAAAUGAAAAUUGAAUGUACAAUUGAAAUUGAAUCAAAUCACCUAUUGAAAAUAAAUUGAAUUUUUGUUUGUAAAUAAAUAAAUAGAAAUCAUUAAUGUAAAUUUAUUUUUAAUAAACUCCUUUGGAAUUUUUUUAAAAAUUAAUGUUUUAAAAUGUCUUUUUUAAUCAAUUUAAUAAAUCAGUUUUCAUAAUUACAAACUAAGAGGGAUAUGAAUACAAAUGAGGAGAUUUUAGAAGGAGAGGAAUUACAAAAGCUAAGAGAACACUUUUGAAUGUUUUUAUCUUCGCUUUCUCCACUCUACCUUGUGAUGAAAUUCAUGUCUCUAUUUAUAGAGAAAUUUUGAUGGACUUGAAUCUGAUUGAAAUCCGUGGAAUUGAGGUUGAAUGACAUCCAAACAUUAUUGAGGUGGACAAUUGGUGGCUUUGAUAUCUUUCUCCGUGUUUCUUUUUUUAAAGUCAUCUUGGUAGACAAAAUUUACUAUGCAAAUAGUGCUUGACUAUUCAACACUAUUUCAAUAGUUCUUUUUUUUCUUACAUCUUAUACGCACUUUUCCUUCUUUUUUUUACUGGAUAAAUACAAGGAGACAAAUGUAUAAGGAUAUAAUUGUACAAAAGAUUCUUAAAAUCUUUUCACUGAGCAUCUCUAAGAGAAUUUUUUUAAAAUUCCUUUCGAGGUUGCUUUUCUUGAACGCAAUCCUUUUUAUAUAUCGACAAGAUAAGAAAAUUGGGUUUGGAAUAAAAGAGGAACUUCAAGAAAGACAUUUGUAGAGAUGAUUUUUUUUACUAUUGUCUUUAGUGAUAAGUUUAUAGUUAGAUGAACUAUAAAUCUCAUAAUCUAGGUUUCUAGCAAUCAUUCUUAAUCUCCAAUGAUAAAUUUGUUUUUUGAGAUUGAAUUUGUUAUAAGGGCAAGGGUCCCCUGUACCAAACAAUUGUUGUUUUCGAUGAUUGGCUUUAAGAAGGAUGAUGUGUUGGGCUGGAUAGACUCCUCCAUCAUUCAACCACUCUAAAGAUUUACUUUCGAUGAUGAGUUCAAUGGAUUUGAAUUAUAGGAUGAAGGCCUUUAUUAUGCAAACUGCUAAUUUUCUUUCAAAAUCAUCUUUUUGGUCAUGAUUGGAGAAAUUUAGUUGAUGAAGUAAUUCAUAAUCCAUGAGGAGAGUAGGGAUUAGUUCUAUUGACUCAUUUUUUAGUUUAAUGACUAUUGGUUUAUAUCUAUCUAAAUCGAUAUUAGCCUUGCAAAUACUAUAAGUGAGGGCACACUUAUAGUCUUGCCUUCCUAAUAGAAUUGUCCUACACAAGGGAUCAAGUUUUAGAUACUUAAUAUUGGUAUUGUCAUAAUGAGUAUGUCAAAUAAAACUCAUCCAUUGAAUAGUAACUCCAAAAGUGCUAUAGUCAGCAAGAAAUUACACUAUAUGCUAUUGCUUAGCUUCCCAUAUAGCUUGGGCCUUUAGACUUAUCAUUUAUUUAAGGUCUUGAGGGAGAUUUAAAAUAUUUUGUUUAUAAAAUGAAAAUCUUGAUUUUUGAAAUUCUAAGCUUUCUUCAUAAAGUUUUCAAAAUUCAUUUUGAAGAAAUUUUGAAAAUGUAGUUGUUGAUUUAUAUCCAUUAGGACGCAAUGUAUAACAAAACUUGAACAAUUGGAAAAAUUGUCAAAAUUAUCAUUAGUCUAUUUAAAAUGAAAAAAUAAGGCAUUUAAAGCUUCUAACUUUUGGCUAUCACUUCAUGCAUUCCAAAGGUUGUUUAAAAUGCAUUUUUGUGAUUUGCCUAAUUUUCUGUUUUUAUGAAUUUGAAAUGAAAGAUUACUUUUAGAACACUAGAAGAAUGAAUUUCCAAAACUUAAUCCAUUCUUGCUCCAUUUGUAAAGAAAAUUCAAAUAUUAGUACAUUCUUAGAAACAUAAAUGAGAUAUUUAAACAAUUUAUCUUUAAUAAAAUAUAAAACAUAUUGAAUUUAUGAGGGGCAGAUAGUUAUGAAAUAAAGUAUUUAAAGGAUUUUUUGAAUUUUUUGAAAUCAAAUUUAUUGAUUUAUAAGAACAUGUACAAAUACCAUCACAAUCUUUUUUAUCGAUUGAUUCAUCUUGACUAGAUUCUUCAUUUGAUGUUUAUUGAGUUAUUAAUAUUUGAUUUUCUUCUUAUUCAUAAUAUUCACUUGAAUUUUCAUUUUCAUUUUUAUUAAUCAUUAAUCUUAUUAUUAUAUUUUUUAGUUUAUCACUAAUUUCUAAAAAAUUAAUUUUGUUUUCUAGUUGACAGUCUUUUGAAUAAUGACCUACUUUGCCACAUUUAUAGCAAGUUGGAGUUUUAUUUUUGAAAGUUUUAUUGAAAGAUUUUGAUUUAUUAGUAUUAUUUUUUACAAAUUUCUUUUGAAAUUUUGAUUCAAUUAAUGGUUUUUUACCCUUUAUAUUAUUUUGUUUACUUUUCCUUUUUCAAGGGGCUACUAUUGUAUCGUAGCCAUUGAUAAUUUCUUUCUUCUAAUUGGACAUUAGGAAAAGAUGGCUUUGAAUAAUAAUUUUUUCUACUUAUAAAAUUAAUAUUAUAUAUUGCAUUAAUUGUAGAAGGGGGUGUUACUAUUGAAUCUUGAGACAUUUUGAAUUGUUCUUUUAUUUUAUUGAUUUCUGAUUUAUCUUUUGUUAUAGUUUGAAUUUGAUUAUUUGUUUGAUUAAUGUCAUUAAUGGUAAGUUUAUAUAAUCUAAGUUGUAUUUCUUUUACCAUUAUUUAUGUUGGAAUAACGAGUUGUAUGUUUGAUUUUGUAGCAUUUAUAGGAAUAAUAAAAGGUUGGUCUAAAGACUUAGUAGAAGAUGAUGAUGAUAAAGUUGAGAAGUUAGAAGGAAAAGUUGAUUUUGAUGUUUCUCCUAUCUUUUCUCUCGAGGCAGAAGAAAACAAAAAUUGAAUUUUUUUUGUUGUUUGUUGAUUUAAAUGUUGAAGAGAAUGAUUUGUAUAAUUUAAUUAUUGUUGAACUUGUUUAAUAUCUUUGUAAAUUAUGGGACUCUAUUCAUCUUUUGUUUUUGAAAUUUUGAAAGGUAAAUCAGAAAUAGAAUUAUUAUCAAAAUUAAAUUAAUGAUUAUUUAGGGGUGAUUGAGAACUUAAUUAUGAGGUUAUUGUUCAAUUUUUUUUUUUUGAAUAAUUUAUGUAUGUUUUAUUGUUAAUUGAUGUCCUUUUUCAUCUUUUAAGGUUAUAAGUUGCUUUCGUUGUUUUCUAAGUUUGAAAAACUAAUGGAAAAAAGAAAUAGUCAUUUUCCUUUUAUUUAUAAAUUUUUUAUAUUGUUUUCUUAAAGUAUUUCUAACUCGAUGAGGAAAUGUUUGAAAAUAAGCUCUUUUAGGUUUAUUGUAAGGGGAAAAAUAUUCUAAUUUUAUACAUUUAUGUUUUUUAAGAACAAUAGCUUGAGUAUUAUUAGGAUAACAUUGUAAUAAAAAUGUUUUAUCUUUGAUAGAUUGAUACACAACUCUAGGAUUUAAUUAAGUAGUAAUGACUAUAUAAUAUAUUCUAUAAAUUAUUGUUAUGGUUUGAGUUUCUUUUACAAAAUUCAUAUAUAAAUAUUUUGUUAAUAUUUAAGGCUAGACUUAACAAAAUACUAGGGUCAUUUAUGUUCAUGGAAAAAUUUGGAUAAUGAUUAAAAUAAACAGGACCAUUUGUAAGGUUUGAAUCAAUCAUGUUAAGGAUAGAAUCUGUAAAUUUUGUUGACCUAGCGUCUCUUAGACAAAUAAACACAUGAAUAUUUAAACCUAAGUGAAAUAAAGGUUUGAUUGCUACUUGAACUAAUCCUAUAUUAAUAUAAUUAAUUUUUUUAUAUGUUGAUUUAUAGUGUUUUGACUUAAUAGUUGAAAACUUUCUAAAUUUUGAUUGAGAGAAAUUGUGAAUAAUUUUUACUAAAUUCAAAAAUUUCCUUGUUGAUAUAUUAUAUUAAUUUUCAUGUGGGGAAUUGACCAAUUAUGUCAUAAUUCUCUUUAUUCGUUUAGUAGAGAUUAUAGGUAUAUGAGCUUCAAAGAGUACUAUAGCUUAUUACCGUACCUUCCUGACAUGUAACAUGACCUCGAAUUUAGAUUCGAUUUUUACAAACAUGUUGUUUUCCUUUUAAAAAAACUAAACUAAAAUAAGUGGUGACUCUAAUUUUUGAAAAAAAAAAUCAAAUUUUCAUAAAUAAAAGUGAGUCUCGCCCUUGAGUGAAAAUGCACAUGAAAAAUGUUGCUCCACAGUUAGCUUGAACUUCUCCAAAAUAAGUGUUUCUUCAGUCUUUGUUUGUGCCAACUUUAGUGUUUUUACAACAUAUUUUCAAACAACAAAUCCUGAAUUAUUCAUAUUUAAGAUUGUGGUUUUUAACCUAUAUUGUUAAUAUAAAAAAGUUUGCUCUUACUCUGCAUCAUUUCAAUUAGGUUGAUUUUUUAACCACAUCCAGAAGAUAUAACCCUUAUUUUUCAUUCAAUUUGCCACUAUUUUGACUUUCAUUACAAAAUUUGACUAAAUUUGCUAACAAGAGAAUAUUUAUUUCUAAUUUAUCUUUUAACUCAAUUUACAAGAUUUGAUUUCAUUUACAAGACUUAAUUUUGUAAUCUUCCAAAUUAUGCAAACGUGUCCAUCUUUUGAAUGCAUGUCUGUGGACCCCGUAUUUUUGCUUGAUGCGUUCCCACUUGAUGGCGAAACUCGCUUUUUAUUCAUUUUGUUUGGUGAAAAUUUUGAUUUUUUUAAAAAGACUUGGAGUCACCACUUAUUUUUGUUUUAUUUUUUUUAAGGAAAAACAAAAUAAGAAAGAAAACCUUAAGUGAGACUCCUUAUUUGGAAAAGAUGAUCUAUGGAAAACCAAAGUCAAGUCCAAGGGUUAGGUUACUUAUUGGGAAUGUACGAUAAAAAGACCAUAGCAACCCUCUAAGUCCUUAAAAACGAGUUUCUACUAAAUAAGGUGAAACAAGUAUGACAAUUGAUAAGGAAAUCAAAGGAUAUCAAUGAAAUGAUUAAAUAAUAAAACGAAUUAUGAAUAAGAAUAAGCAAAGUGGGAGUGAGAUUGUACCUUAGCAUCAAAUAAUUGUGCGCUAUCAUGGAAACAAGGUUCUCUCAAAUAUAAAAUUAUCACAUGCAUAUCAAAUAGUAAGACAAAGAUCAAGCAAUAUUCAUUAAGCAUAACAAUUGACAAUCAAAAAAGAAAACUCAUAUGUGGGGUUCCCACCAAAGCCCAAUUGAUUUUGCAUAAAUUGAUCUCACAAAUUCCGUUAUUUUGGAAUUAUGAUAAUUGCAUUCAUGCUUAUUAUUAUGGAAUUAUGAAAAAUGCAUUCAUGUUUAUUUUAAAUCAAGAGAAAUAGAAAAUCAUUUGAACAUCAAAGAAAAUUUGUGAAAGUGCUUACUUUAAGGAAAAGGUAGCAAGUUGAUUAAAAAUGAGAUUUUUAGUGACUUAAAACCGUAAUGAAGGAUGAAAGAUGGUAGAAUAAACAAAAAUUGAAAAACUAGAGUGGAAUUAAAAUUAUUUGAUAAACUGGAGUUUUGAAAAUUAUUCGAAAAUUGAAGUUUUGAAAAUUAAAUUUGAAGAUUUGAAAAUUGGAGUUUUGAAAAAUUAUUUUGAGAAUGGAAUUUUUAAGAAUUAAAUUUGAAAAUUGGAAUUUUUGAGAAUAAUUUGAAAAUGAAAGUUAUGAAAAUUGGAAUUUUGAAGGAUUAUUUGAGAAUGAGAUUUCUUAAAAAUUAAAUUUGAAAAUUGGAAUUUUGGAGAAUAAUUUGAAAAUAGAAGUUAUGAAAAUUGGAAUUUUGAAGAAUUAUUUGAGAAUGAGAUUUCUUAAAAAUUAAAUUUGAAAAUUGAAAUUUUGGAAAAUAAUUCGGAAAUUGAAGUUUUUAAAAUUAAAUUUGGAAAUUUGAAAAAUUAUUUGAGAAUGAUUUUUUUUUUUUUUUAAAUUAAAUUUUCAAAUUGGAAUGGAAAUAAGAUUAUUUGAAAAAUCGGACUUUUGAAAAUCAUUUAAACGAGAAUUUGAGAAAAUCGAACACAUGAGGAUAAAGAAUAAAUAAAAAAAGGGUAAGGGCACAUGCUUCAAGGAUGGCCCACCAAAGGUAUGUAGUGUCGUCUUCCCCAACAAAAAUCAUUUUUCUAUGGCCAUUUCCAUGUGCCAACUCUUUAUGCAUGUGGUUAAAUACAACCAAGGGGGGCAGAGAAUUUGGUGGUCACUUUCAAGUGGGAAAUGGUCGGUGCUAAAGCCUUCUCUAUGCAAAGAACCACACCUUCUAGAUGAGGUUUAGUCAUGUGAUAAGCCUCACAAGUGAAGCUUCCACCCAAAAACUCUGCAUAGAUAUUUUCACCUCUUCUCUUUGCAUGUUCUAGCUUUUCCAGCAGCACGCAUUAUGUUCUUGGCAUCCCAUAUUUGUUAGGUUAGUUCCGGAGAAAAUUGUGACCUUUUGUUUACCGUCAUUCACCUUUAUUUUCGGGUCCUUCACAAUCAACGACUUGGGAGGCUCUAGCGUCUUCGGCAGCUUUUGGCCGGAUCUCCACCAUAUCAACACCACAAUGCACUUGAUCAACACCACAAUAGAUAUCAUCAAAUUCAUAAUAAACUCUCAGUUCUCUAACACCAUCCUGGCAGCUCCACCGAACUCCGGCGACACAUUCGAUUGGUCUAUGUUUUCCUCUCUCUCACUUUUCUUCUCUUCUUCUUCAUUUUCAGUUCUUCCCUAGACGUCUCCUAUCCUGCUAAAAAACCUCAUCUCCAAAAAGUCUCCUGUGCACAGAUUGAGAGUGGAUCUUAGUUGGCUUCCUAAUGAUAAAGUCAUCUUUCACAAGUUUGCUUAUAUUUUGCCUGAAGUUAACCAUGGAGAUUUCGUUGACCUCAUUGGGAUCGAUCCAGACCUUGCCUCUUCCACACUUGAGAAUGAUUGCGGCUCACCGCUUCUAAAGCUUCAACGAUACCAUGGCUUCUCUUCACAACCAGAAACCUUGGAAUGGGAGGAGGAGCUGGAGAAGCAAUCGCUUUUGGUGUGACAGCAACCACCGGAGCAGGGGCAAUAGUAGCAGCAGCAGGUGAAACCACAAUGACGUCAAUGCUCUUGGAAGAUGAAAUUUCGGCGAUUGCCGCCACAUCCGUCGACGUUAUUUGCUUGAAUGGCCCCGUCCCAACAACUGAACCAAUAUGCACUUUAUGUUGUUUCACAAGCUUAACGAAGCAAAUUGAUCAAUUGUUCCUUGUUGAACAAAUCCAAAAUCUUAUGAAUUGGUUCCUCCUCGUCGUCGCCAUCAACGACGGAUGUCGAAGCAGAUUUCUUCGCAGCAUUCUGAGUAGAAGCUGGUGCCUUAGAAACUUUUAAAGCCAACACACUCUGGGAGUGAGAAAGAAAAUCCAUAGACCAAAGGCGAGUGGAAUUAAAAAAAAUAAAAGGCAUGAUUUCCAAGCAUCAAACUCAAUUGAAACAGAGACAAAAUAAUUCUAACAGCACCAAAAUAAAGAAGAGGAAACAACUAUGGCAAAGUCAAUGCAAUUCAUAAAUUAGUUUGAAUCAAUAUACUCUUAGAUUCGCACCUCCGAGCAACAAAUGCCAACCAAACACAACAAUAAAAAAAAAAUGUGGUGUAAUACGGGAGGAAAAGGAAAGUACAAAGUAAACUUACUUGGGAGUCCUUAAUGUUCUGCUUCUGCUCCCAGGAAUCCCGAAAAUCCCUCUUGCUCUUGUUUUCUCUUCUUGAUCCUCUUUCUCUAUAGCUCUCUAUUUUUCUUGCCCUUCCUCGAAAAUCCCUCUAUUUUUUCUUUUCAAGCCCCCCCUGUACUUUCAUCAUAGUCCAACUUUCCUUAUCUUCUUUUAUAAGCUCCCCCCACCCGUUCCGCUACUCCAUCUAUCAUCCUCUAUCAUCUGUUCAGAGGAAGUCCCCAUCUCAACCACCACCAUGGCAAGGUGGUGGUGUCCUUGGCCACACGUCCCAUGCAACUUUGAGCACUCUUGGAGAGGUCCUCCCUCACUUUUCCAAAAAAUGCUUAGUUCAUUCUCCUGUAGCCGAAAAAGGGUUUACAAAUAUGCUCAUCUUCGGUAGAGUUCACGAGUGCAAGGAAUAUAAACACUGGAGUGAAAAGAAAGUGUGAAAAGUGAGUGGAAGAAAGUGAACUUUACUGAAGAAAAGAAGACCCCCCAAAGAUACGUAAGAAAAACACAAGCUUGCUCAAGGCUCAAAAUCCUAAGAGAAAUGUAGCUCUCAAGGUGCCUCUAACGCUGCACUAUGGAUCCAAACUCUCUUUAAGAUGUCUACAAAAGUGACUUGAAAAUUAAUGUCAAAGUUGAGUAGUAGUCGAACCACCUAGGAGCACAGGAAUAAAUGCAUACAAAGGGAGAAACCACACAUCUACUAUACGAAAUAAGAUGGAAUAUGAAGUUGUGAGGACAAGGUGUGUGAAGACUAGAGUCACCGAAAAUAGAGCAAGGAAUGGGACAAGGUCACCAUGACUGAAAUCAUCAAAACUAGACGAGACGUGUAAUUGGACCCAAAAUAUGUGCUCUAAUGGCACAUAUUCAAUAUGAUUUAUCCAACAAAGAACAUUCAAAUCACCCAACUUGACCUAAAUUGAUGCUAAGGCCCUAGCCAUGAGUUUAAUUUGUACUUUGGAGACUUAUCUCAAGUUCAAGGGAAGAAAAAGGUUCAAGUUGAAUCACUUUAGAUUUUGAAAGAUCAAGAAAUGGCAAAAUAAGAAAAUAAGCGAGUCUAGACUCAUAGACCAUAAGGAAAGGCAAGAAGAGAAUAUCAUGAGUUUGGAAAAUGAGAAAUGACCAUUAUGGACUAAGAAAGAAGGUAAUAAAACAUGGGAAAUGAGGCAUGAAGCAAGAUUCAGCUGCAUGGAAAUUUAGAACUAAAAAAUCUGAUGGCAAUAUAUACUCUAAAUUUGAGGACAAAUUUAGAGCACUUUUUAGAGCCAAUUUUAUACAUACUAUAUAUCUUUUCGAAGCUCGAGAAGUUAAAAGUCCAAUACUUCAAACGGUGUACAAAUCAGAGCUGAAAUGAAGAAGUUAAGGUUAUUUGAAGAAAACUACACAAAGUUGAAGGGUCAUUUCGAAAUGAUUUCGAAAUUCAACUUACGAUUUGGAAAUACAACUUAUGAAUUCGAAAUCCAUUUUAAAAUGACACCAAUUCCGAAUUCACCCACUACCACUUUGAUGUUUCGCCUCCUCUACCCUGAGUACCUUAUCAAUCAUGGCUCGUUUAGACACACUUCAGGAGUUAUUUGUGUUUAUGGACUCCCAUAUUGAUGCUCGCCUAAGUAAGAUGGAGACUCGGAAUGGUGACCUCACUUUUUCUGUACAACAACUCACUUCCUUGGUUGUUCCAUCUUAACAGAUGGGAGAUUUUGUUACACCAGCUCAUACCAGCCUAGAGGUUGAUGGCGACACAGAGGUUAUUGGUUCUGGCUUUAACACUAGAGCACCGACAGUAGCCCAUGAGACCAUGCCUAUUUUACAGACAUCAAGUGCUACCAUAGCUAAGAUUCGUACCUCGACUAUUGAUAUUCCAGGUUCUACAAGACAAGUCGAUGGUGAGAUCUUCAUUCGUGCUACUGACACUUGUGUGGACAUCAUUAUUAGCGAUGACCCUCCUAUGAUACAGGGUGUUGGCGAGGCCAUUACACCUAUCGUGGAGAUCACUAAUCAGGCUACUACACCUAUGUUGAAGGAUAUUGCCCAGGUAGCACCUUUGUGUUGGAAGAGAUAGAUGGAGUUGUCGAUCCUAUCAUUUGUGCUCUAUAUUCAUUUCUAUAUAUAUCUUAUUCGAUAUGGUUGUAUACACUAUGGUAUUUCUCCAUGCAUACUUUUGCUACUAAUCUUGUUGCUUUUGUGCAAAACUAGUUAUAUGAAGUCUCAUAACAAACUUCUUACUCGAUGAUCUUGAGGUAACAUCUUCAUUUUUCCUUUCUUUUGACCCAUUAUCCUACGCAUUGGGGACAAUGUGUAAUUUAGGUUGAGGGAGGAAGGCCUAUUAGCCCUCAAUUUUUUUUUUUAAAAGUAUGCAUAUUAUCUUUAGUUAGUUAAUGAGAUUCUUAACUUGCCUUGGUAACUCAUGGUUUAUUUUACAUGAGAAUGCUUUAAGUAGUAUUAUUUCUUUAGAAUUUGAGAAAAAAAUAUAGUUAGAGCAAGAGUAUUAGUUUACUUACCUUAUCUUUAUAUUCCUUUAAGUGCAAAAGUAGUUAGGUUGAAUCCUUGUAAUACCUUCAAUUUUUCUUUGAUGAUUAUUUUCUAUUUAAGACUCAAAGCACACACAAAGCACGUAUACCCUUAUAGUAUAUUGAUUAAGAUAAUUUCUUUAGCUUAAAAGGAGUUGUUCUUAAGCAAUAAAAGAAGGAAAUGAAAAAAAAAAAAUUGAAAAUAACUUAUUUAAGCUUGAGGAAUUAUCUAAGGGGGUAAUGGCUUUGUGUCUUCAAGCCCUGGUGCCUGAAACCAACUGGUUAGGAAUCAUUCGUAUCUUGCUCGUUACACAAGCUAAACUUAGUUUUGAAAAACAAAAAAUAAGAAAUAAAAAAAUAAAUGUUUGGGAAAUUCGACCUUGUUCUACCUUGAGCUAGGAUGAUACCUGAGGGGAAAGUGUCCUAUAAAGGUCCUCAAUACCUAGUACCUUAGGUGAAACUCGGGAGUUGCCGAUGGAUCCCUAUUAAGCCAUAUAGAAGGAGAUUUCCUAAACUAAGAAAGAAAAAUCAAAAUAAAUUUUCCUCUCUCUUUAACUUAGGUUAUGUUUGGUUCCCGGAAAAUACUAAGGAAAGAAAAAAAAUGCAAAGGAAAAUGAUUUUUUCAUGUUUGGUUGUCAUAUGAAAAAUAUCAAAGAAAAUCAAAUAUAAUUAAAACUAAUUAAAAGCUUAUGUAUUUUUAAAUUAUUUAAUCUUUAUGUUAAUGAGUUAAAAUAAAUAAAAUGAGUUUGAAGUAACAAAAAAAAUAAUUUAUCAACUUUUAAUCUUUUUUUUUUAUUUUCCUUCACUUUUUCUUUCCUUCUACUUUUCCUUUGUAUUUUCUUUCCUUUGCAUUUUCCUUCAAAUUUUCUGGGAACCAAACAUAACCUUAAAGAAUGAUGAAAUUUGAGUUUGAGAAAAGUCUUAAGAAAAAUAAUACGAGUGAACACCAAAAUUAAGCACAUGAGGUUUAGGUGGAAAUAACCAAUCAAGGGAAAACCAAGAGACAGUAAGAGGAAUGCUAAACAUCGAUGCACAUUUAUGUAUAUGAAGAUAAAGUGAGAAAACUAAGAAAUUGCAUAUCUUAUGUCAUCUUGCUCAAUUCUAGGAAAUUUGUCUACUUGGGUAUCUUGUGUGCGAAGCAUGUUAUGUUGAGUCAAUAUGGUUUAAUCUCAUUACAUAUUUUUCCUUUUUUUUUUUUUACUCUUUUCAUUUGCUAGGGACUAGCAAAGUUUAGGUUGAGGAGGAUAAUUGGAGUAAAAAUAUGUGCUCUAAUGACACAUAUUCGUUAUGAUUUGUCCAACAAAGGACAUUCAAACCACCCAACUUGACCUAAAUCAAUGCUAAGGUCUUAUCCAUAAGUUUAAUUUGUACUUUGGAGACUUAUCUCAAGUUCAAGGGAAGAAAAUGGUGCAAAUUGAAUCACUUUAGAUUUUGAAAGAUCAAGAAAGGGCUAAAUGAGGAAAUAAGUGAGUCAAGACUCAUGGACCAUAAGGAAAUGCAAGAAGAGGAUAUCAUGAGUUUGAAAGAUGAGAAAUGACCAUUAUGGAGUAAGAAAGAAGGCAAGAAAACAUGGGAAAUGAGGCAUGAAGAAAGAUUUAGCUGCAUGGAAAUUUAGAACUCAAAAAUCUGAUGACAAUAUAUACUCUAACUUUGAGGACAAAUUUAGAGCACUUUUUUGAGUCAAUUUUAUACAUGCUAUAUAUAUUUCCGAAGCUCGGGAAGUCAGAAGUCCAAUACUUUAAACGGUGUAAAAAUCAGAGCUAAAAUGAAGAAGUUAUGUCUAUUUGAAGAAAACUGCAUUAAGUUGAAUGGUCAUUUCGAAAUGAUUUGGAAAUUUAACUUAUGAAUUCGAAAUCCACUUCGAAAUGACACCAAUUUCGAAUUCACCCACUGCCACUUUGAUGUUUCGCCUCCUCUACCUCGGGAAUUGCAUCUAGGGCAUUCCAUCCGCCCUAAGUGGACCCCAUAUGACUAAAAAUCACAAUUUUAUUAUUAUUUUUAAUCAUUUUUAGAAAAUUAUUUUGUAAUAAGUGGCCAAUGAGACUGUGUCACAUGUUAGGUAAUUGAUGAUAUUAUAUAUAUAAACUCUCUUAAUUCUAGGUUUUAGGGAUCUUGGAUCUUUUUCCAGAGAGUUUGACAUUGAAAGUGGAAGAAGACGAGAACUUUGGUUUGUUUUUUUUUAUUUAUUAAAUAUAUUAUUUUUAGUUUCUUUUGAUUCAAAUUAUGGAUUUUUACCCUAUUAUGGAUUGUGAAUGUGACAUCACCCCCAUGAGAGGCUAAAAGCCAACUUGGGGCUUGAAGCAUAAAAACCUAAGGGUUAGGAAACCUAUAGGGACAAUGGGAAAAUUAUUAUAACAAUGAAAUUAAUUAUUGGUUGGGUGACAAUUUAUCAUUUUUUUUUUAUCCUAUCGUUGUGAGUUAGUUUAGAGAAUGAUAUAGUAGGUUAUAACCCGAUACUAGUGAUUCUUGAUCAUUAGUUAUCUUCAUCUUCCCUAUCGUUAUUUGCCCCAAAACAAAGCUAUAAUGAGUAGAAAUGAUUAAAAAGUCAAAUCUUAAAUUAGUAAUCAAUCUCAUUCAUUUGAUGGUUUUAAUAAUUUCUAUUAAAAAGGAAAAAUUAGGUUUCAGAUGCAAUUUUGAGUUAUAGAACUUAACUUGAUCACGAGCGGCCAAGGAUCCCAAAACCCUAAGAUCAUAUUACUUAAAAGACCAUUGUUUUCUCUAAUUUAUAUACCAUUGGUUGGAUUGUGGAAAACCCUAAACUUGAAUCAAUUGAAUUUAAAAUCAAUAUCCAUUUUGUUAUUAAUUUAAUUCUUUUUAUUGUUUCAAAUUAUUCUCAUAUUGUGUUUCACUUUAGGAUUUAAACGAAAGCAAUUCAUUUAUUCUAGUGUUGACACUUUCCAUAAGUCAGUCCUUGAGGAUGAUACUCGGAAUACUACAAAAGUCGUAGUGACUCUUUCUCUAGUUUUUCAUGACUAGAGUUGCAACGUAAAAAGACUAAGUAUUUUGGUACAAUAGAAAAGUUCGGUCAAGAAAUUGGCCUCAUUGUUGGGGAUUGGCAACCGUCAUAACUAGGAUAUAGUGCAUUGCUUUGUUUUAGUUCUUUUAAUUUUGUUUUUCUUUAUAUAUAUAUAUUUUCUUCUAUUUUAUGCUUGGUUGGGAAAGAGAUCUUUCAGGUAGACUUCAAAGAACAGCUAAGGAAUCUCAACCAAAUAUGGAGGACACUGAAGAAUCCAACAACCAUAACAACAGGCCACGACCACCUAUGCAGGACCAAAGAAUUGUGAGAGAGUUUCUAAAUCCUCCCAGGUUGAGCACACCAUCGUGUUUUACACUACUUCCAAAUCACGAUCUUGUUACCAUUCGACCUCAAGUGGUGCCUCAACUACCCAUUUUUAGGGGGACAAAAAAUGAAAACCCAUACUCUCACAACAAGGAAUUUGAGGACAUUGUUUCAAUUUUUCAAGAAGCCAACACUCCUUUGGAGAUUUUCUGCAAGAGGUUGUUCCCCUUGUCAUUGAAGGAUAAAGCUAAGACUUGGUUAAAUAGUCUUAGACCUUAUAGUAUCAGAAAUUGGGGUGAUCUACAAUCAAUGUUUUUACAGAAAUUCUUUCCAACACAUAAAACCAGUGCAUUGGAAAUGGGAUCUCGAAUUUCAAGGCUAUGGAGGAUGAGAAUUUUUUUGCAUGUUGGGAAAGAUUUAGGGAGAUAGUUGCAGCAUGCCCCCAUCACGGAUUUGACAACUGGAUGCUAGUAUCGUAUUUCUAUGAAGGCAUGUCACCAUCAGAGGAGAUUUCAUGAAUAAAAACCUCGAUGAAGCAUUUCAAUUCCUUGAUUAUGUUGCCGAGGUAUCUAGAAGUUGGGAAGAACUAAUUGUCAAGGAACCACCUAGAGGUAGAACAAUGAAUAGGACAAGAGCUAGGGGAGUGUAUACCUUACCAGAGAGUUUAAAUGUCCAAGCAAAGUUUGCAACCAUUAUGAGAAGGUUGGAUGAUAUUGGUGCGACCCCAAAACUCUGAACUCAAACUGACAAGACGAUGACCGAUCGAUAUAGGUGCGGUUCCAACUCGAACUGAAUACAAACUGAUAGGAAGAUGGUUGUUUGAUAUAGGUGCGACCCCAAAAACCUAAACUUAAACUGACAAGAUGAUGAUCGAUUGAUAUAGGUGUGGUCUCAACUCGAACUGAAUACAAACUGAUAGGAAGAUGACCGAUUGAUAUAGGUGCGGCCCCAAAAACCCAAACUCAAACUGAUUAGACGAUGACCGAUCGAUAUAGGUGCGGUCCUAACUCGAACUGAACACAAAUUGAUAGGAAGAUGACUGAUUGAUAUAGGUGCAACCUCAAAAACCCAAACUCAAACUCAUAAGACGAUGACCGAUCGAUAUAGGUGCGGUCCAAACUCGAACUGAAUACAAACUGACAAGAAGAUGACCAAUUGAUAUAGGUGCGACCCCAAAAACCCAAACUCAGAUUGAUAAGACGAUGACUAAUCGAUAUAGGUGUGGUCCCAACUCGAACUAAACACAAAUUGAUAGGAAGAUGAUCGAUUGAUAUAGGUGCAGCUCCAAAAAUCCAAACUUAAACUGACAAGAUGAUGACCAAUCAAUAUAGUUGUGGCCCGAAAAACCCAAACUCAAACUGACAAGACGAUGACCAAUCGAUAUAGGUGCGGUCCCAACUCGAACUAAACACAAACUUAUAGAAAGAUGACCAAUUGAUAUAGGUGCGGCCCUAAAAACCCAAACUCAAACUCAUAAGACAAUGAUCGAUCGAUAUAGGUGCGGUCCAAACUCGAACUGAAUACAAACUGACAGGAAGAUGACCGAUUGAUAUAGGUGCAGCCCCAGAAACUCAAACUAACACGGAAGAUGACCGAUCAAUAUAGGUGCGAUCCUGAAAAAAUUAAACUAAACUGAAUUGAUAGAAAGAUGAUUGAUCGAUAUAAGAGCGGCCCCAAAAAUGCAAACUCAAAUUAACAAGAUGAUGACCAAUUGAUAUAGGUAGGGUCCCGAAAAACUCAAACCAAACUGAACUGAUAGAAAGAUGGCCGAUCAAUAUAGGUGCGACCUCGAAAAUGCAAACUCAAACUAACAACUCAAAUUGAACUGAACUGAUAAGAAAAUGGUCGAUCGAUAUAGGUGUGACAUCGAAAACUCAAACUGACACAAAAGAUGACCGAUCGAUAUAAGUGCGGUCCCAAAAAACUUAAACUGAAUUGAUACAAAGAUGGCCGAUCAAUAUAGGUGUGACCCCAAAAAUGCAUAUUCAAAAUAAUAAGAUGAUGACCAAUCGAUAUAAGUGUAGUCUCGAAGAACUCAAACCGAACUGAACUGAUAGGAAGAUGGUUGAUCGAUAUAGGUGCAGUCCCGAAAAACUCAAAACGAAUUUAAUUGAUAGGAAGAUGACCGAUCGAUAUAGAAGCGGUCUCGAAAACUCAAACUCAAACUGACAAGAUGAUGACCGAUAGAUAUAGGUGCGAUCCCAAAAACUCAAACUCAUACUGACAAGAUGAAUGACUGAUCGAUAUAGGUGUUGUCCUAACUCGAACUGAAUACAAACUGAUAGGAAGAUGACUGAUUUAUAUAGGUGUGGCCCCAAAAAUCCAAACUCAAACUGAAUUGACAAGAUAAGAAGAUGGUAGAUCUUGUCAAGUGGCCUAAAGCCAAAUGAUAACUAAGAUAGCGAUGCAAGCAAACUCGGUCGGAGGGGAUAUGCCUCAGUAUGACAACUCAUAAGGAUCGACAACUAGGUCAAAAGAUAAUGAAACCUAUGAAAGGUUCAAUGAUCCUAGGGAAGAAAUGUAUGCCUUAGUAUGCAACUCACAAGGGCCAGUAACUAGAUCAAAAUGUGAAUGAAUUUUUGCUAAAAGGUAUGGUGCUCUCGUAGAGAGAGGUAUGCCCCAACAUGUAACGGUGAACAAACUAAGAUACAAAAUGCCUCAAAACUACUGUGCUCUGAAAUAUGUUCAUCCAUCAUGUAAUGAAAAUGUCUAACCUCGAAUAGGUAAUGCCAAACAGGACCAUGUAUCGUGAUACCAUGCUGACAAAACAAAACUAAUCGAUGAAUAAAAACAAUGAUGACCAGUACUCAAAAUGCAAGGAGCAAGCAAAUCAACACUCAACAUGCCAACUAUUAAAAUGAAAGUAUCAAUACUAAUAAAUCAACAAUCUAUCAGGCCUUGCCAUCAUGGAAUAUGUUGAACCUAAAUUCCACAAGAUGUAUGAAAGCACAUCCAAAGAAAUCGAGGACUAAUCUACAUCUUCUUCUAAUUUAGAGAAGGAUGUGAGGUCAGGUGUCAUGGUGAGAUGUGUGGGAUAAAAGAAGGUGAUGAUCAGACCCUGGUAAGAUAGAAAGCAUGAAAGUAUCAAGAGUGAAAUGUUUGAGUACGAAAUGAAAGGUAGGUAGGUAUCUGAGAUCAUCCAAGUAUGCUGAGAAGACUAAACCCAAGGUAUCAAUAGCUCCAUAAUCUAUCAGAAGUAGCAAUCAUAAAUAGAAAGUCAAGUCUCGCUAUCAAAACAUCUAACUAGGUGGUUAUGCCUUAGUAUGCAAUGAGGACAACAUGAAACAAUCCAAUGAUCUUUAUAUCACCCGUUAGAUGCUCCAAUGUAAAGAAUCAAACUGAUCACUCUCCAAAAGAUGGGUAUGCCCUAAUGUAUAUCAUAUCACCCCAAAUAUCCACCAUUGAUGAGAAGGGUAUGCCCCAGUAUAAAGUAGUGUAUCAAAAUCGACAACUGCCGAGAUGGACCAUGCCCUAGCGUAUGACAACAAAUCAAUCAAUCUCAACUCAUCCUACUACUGCAAAAAAUGGAAACAUCUCAACAUAAUCUAUGUGAAUCAGAAUCCUCGGGCUCUAUGAAUGUGAAUGAAGUGACUAUGCCCUAGUAUAAACCAUCUGAAGUGUCUAUGCUCUAAGAUAAAUCAAAGUUCAUCGCCAAUGAAAGGGCUAUGUCUCAACAUGUGUCAUCAUAAUAAGGUCAAUCUCAUCUCUCAAUGUUGAAAAUGAAUAUACCAAUAUAACCCCAAUAGACCCUAAUCACCUCAUGCUCCACAAGAAAUAAUAGAGUUGCUAUGUCUACCAUGCACAACCUCUGAAGCAACUAUGUCUCAAAAUAAAGCAUCAUCUAAAAAAUCAACCAUCAAUGAGUGGAGUGUGUCCCAAUGUAGAAUAUCGAGUAAAGUGAUUGUAUCUCCAAUAAAAAUGCUCUCUGAAAUGGCUAUGCCCCAGUGUAGGGUCAUCCCACAACUCCCCAUCCAUCAUGCUCCAAGAAAUAAUCUCCAAACAAUCUCAAGUAUUGCCCAUGUGUGAGCUAUCAAGUACAAUGUGUGAAGUCAUGACCUCAGGGUAGUCUUAAGACACGGGACGUAACGUAGGCUAAGGUAAUAUGGUGAAAGAAACAAAAGGAAACUAGACUCAAAGAUCCCAAUGAUAUAAUCCCCAUACCCCUCAUGCAUGAGAUGUAAUGCGUAGAAAACAUCAUGAGUCACGAACCUAAGGACUCCUACACGAAAAGUGAUGAUAACGGAAUGGACAUAGCGAAUAAGCAAGAAUAAAGUGUGGAUGCUAAACCCAAGUCAAACAUCAAUUAGGAUGAGAAUAGAAAGAAAUCAGAUCAGAAAGAGUGAAAUGGAGGAAUAAAACAAAGAUAGAAGAAGACAAAAAGAUAGAAAAGUGAGUGAUGGUCAACCUGCAUCAAAGCAUGGAGAUAGGUCACAUAAAAAUGGAUGUAAUGACAAAUAUGACAAGGAUCCAGAAAUCCUAAAGAAAAGUCGCUUGCCUCUCUCACAAAAAUCGAAUGGGUGACUCAUACUCUCACCCAAAAUAUAUACUAAGAUAGAAUCUCAUAAAGAAGCUCCCAUACGAACCCUCUCUAACACAUAAACUCAAAGGAACAAUCACACCAGCGUCUCUAAGCUUCUCAAAAGCUUUAGUCAAAGUCAUGCCCAAUGGAGUGAACUAUCUCACGGGCCUCUGUGCAUAUGGUCUAGGUGGCAGGGGAGUAGUGGCUCUUGGAUGUGGUGGUCGUGGCUGCAUGAUAGUCUGAGCAAUGUAAGGUUGUUGAACAUAAAUCGGUUGAUAUUGAUACUAUGGAUGAGAUAAAUGAGCUCUAACUGUAGGAGGCCUGUAAGAUGAGUGAAGUGCGGGCCUCUGAUGUUGAUAACUAAUAGUGUCAACCUCUCCAAACCUACUAGAUGAUCCAACCAGCUUCUUCCCCUUAUUGUCAGGGGAAUGAGCAAUAUCUGUCCAUAAUCCUCGAGCAAUGGCCUCCUCAACACUGAAAGCUGCAUGAAUUAGAUUCUUAAGAUCCUAAAAUGGAAUGCCCACAAGGCGUUUAGAAAACCUCGAUUGUAGGUUCCUAAGAACCAUAUCACUCUGAUCCUACUCCUUAGGCCGGUCUAUCUUGCUAGCCACCUUUGCCCUCCAAUAACUGCCAAAGGAAGAAAUAGAAUUGUCUGGCCUCUGUUUGGUGGCCUCCAACUCUUGUCUAGAUACAUCAAUGUUGGUACUGAAAGCAAAUUGAGUUAGAAACUCAUGAGCCAUGUCCUUGAAGACUCAACUGAGGCAAACUAUCUCUGAGCUGCCCCACUAAGUGACAUAGGGAAAAUGGCCACCAAUUGUGCAUCAUCUAUUCCGUGUGCUUUGAUGACUGUGUUGUAUAGUUUCAAGUGGAUCUUAGGACAAUCAAUCCCACUAUAAUGCUCAAUGUCUGGCAACCAAAACUUGGUGGGCAAUCUUGUUGCCGGUAUGUCAUCCCUAUCAUCCCAAGUGAAACCUCCAUCCUGUAAUCUGAUCUGCCUCAUCCUGAACUCAAGUCUCUCAACCCUGGCUUCCUGCUUGGCCAAUCUAGUAUCAUCAGUAGUAGUAACAAUGGGAGGUGACACUGUGGCAGUAGGUGGUGGAGUAGUCUCACAAUGAUCUAAUAGAUAGAAUGGAAUGCCAUGUGAAGUCCCAAGUGGAAGAACCUACGCUGUCUAAGAUGCAUGGAGAACUGUCUCGUCAGUGCUAAUGCUGACUGGAUGAUGAUCCUGGCAAGAGCUCUCUAUCUUAUCCAAGCGUCUACUGACUCUUGCCAUGAACUCCUGAAUAGAAGCAAGUGUGGAAGCUGGCUCGUCGGACAUCUCAACUAAACUAUCUAAACUUUGAUGUGAAUCUGCUUUGAUUAAUCGACCUCCAACUCUCCUCCAAGAAUGUGACUCCAGACUCAACUAACUCCUAAACUGACUCCCUACAAUGCAAACAAAAUGGACGAAAGACACAAGAUAGAGCCUCAAAAGACAACCAUACAACAUGCAAGCACAUGGUCCUGAGGUGGGAAUUUGAAAUUUGGAUGUAGAAAAAAUUAUUAUUCAAAACCCUCUUUUUCUGAUGUUCAAUUAGAAGAAAUAAAUUAUCAAUUAAGUGCUAGUUAUGAUGGUAGUAGUUUUUAUGAAUGGAAUAUAGAUGGAUUGAGUGAACAUCAAAUAAUUAAUUUACUUCAUGAAAUGAUGAUGACUGCUAAUGCUUAUAGAAUCAAGACUAGUAAUUCUAACUUUUAUGUUGUUGGUGCCUUAGUCAUAGGAUUCACUGGUUUACUUAAAGGUUUGUGGGAUCAUUAUUUGAGUCAAAAUGAUAGAGAAUACAUAUUGAAUGCAAAAAAGACAAUAAUCAAAGAAGAAGAAACAUCAGUCCAAUCUUAUAAAGAAGACGCUGUGAAUACAUUAAUAUUUGCAAUAACAAAACAUUUUAUAAGAGAUCCUAUCUAUUUUCAAGAAAAAACUUUUGAAAUCCUUAAUAAUCUUAGAUGUCUAAAACUUCAAGAUUUCAAGUGGUAUAAAGAUAUGUUUUUAGUUAAAGUUAAGUCAAGACAUGAUUGUGGAAGUCAUUAUUGGAAAGAAAAAUUUAUAUCUGGUUUACCAACUUUAUUUGCAGAAAAGAUUAGACAAAGAAUAAGAAAUAUUCAUAAUGGAAGAAUUCCCUAUGAGUCAUUAACAUUGAAGAAUUAAUUACUUUAAUCAAUAAUGAAGGUUUAGCUCUUUAUACAAAUAUCAAAUUAAAGAGUCAAAUGAAAAAAGAAAAAUAAGAUAGUAAAAAAUAAUCAGGAAAAAUUUGUUUGUAUUAUGGUUAUGAUACAAUAAAGCCCAAGAGAUCUUACCCCCUUUCUAUAGACUUCAAAACCCAAAGCUCCAGCUGUCCUAACACGUGGUGAUGGAUUUCAAAAAUUUUUCAAGCAUGAAGACUCAAGAUCAACUCAAGUUCGACUUUAUCAUCUAUAAAUAGAAAAGUCAAACUCCUCACAAGGUAGAGUUGGAAAUCCUGAGAGUUCAAGAGUUAAAGCAUAGAGUGUUCUAAAAAAUUAUCUCUAUUACUUUUGUAAUCAUUUCCUCUUUCAAAAUUUCUAAUCCUUUUGUAUUCAUCUCUUUUAGUCAUCCCUUUAUUGUCAACAAACCUAUAUUCAACAACUCUUUAUAAUCAAGAUAUAUUUUUAAUAAAAGUUAUUUUUAGAUUCAAAUAUUUGUGUUUUUAUGAUUAAAUUUUUGAAUAAAUUAGACAGAAUUAGACCGGAAUUAUCUAUAUUUUUAUGCUUGGAGUUCAUUAGACAAAAUUAAUUUGUUGUGUGCAUGAACGGUUAAGACUUAACUUUAUAUAUUAAAAUUAUUUUUAAGAGAGAAUUUUAAUAUAAUAUAACUCCAUUUUAAUUGAUGUUUCACCUAUUUUUAAAAAUUUAGAAAUAUUUUUUUAACUAUUAUCAAAUUUAAAAUAUUUUUAUAACUCUCAUUUUUAUUUUUUUAAAUUUAAAAUGCUGCAUAAAUGCCAAAAAAAAAAAAAAAAAAAUCUUAUUUUCACCUAUAUCUUAAUAAAUCGUUAAUCACAAGACAUGUGGUAGUGUUUAAUAUCAUUUAAAAAUAAAUAAAAUAUUACAUCAUCAAAAUAAAACCUGUGUUGAAAUCUUACGAGGAAUAAUAGUAGUCUUUAUAUGUAAUUGUGACGUCAUUUCCAAUUAUCCGUAUACACUUAUAAAAUUAAUUUAUUCAUUUUUUUUAAAUUUUUGAAAAAGGGUAGAAAACAAAAUAAAUAAUUGCGGGAGUAUUUAUUUUUAUUUUAGCUUUUCCUUAGGGUUUCUCAGCUUUUCCGUAGGGUUUAUCAGCUCUUCCUCAAUUUCAUCUACGUCUUCUCUGCCUUCUCACUAUCUUCACUGGUACGCUCUUUUUGCUAAAUUCCUGUAAGCUAAAUUGGUUGUUUAUGCUUUUGUUCUUUUGCCCCCUGUUUCUUUGCUGAGAUAUCCAAGGAAAGGAAUUUGGAAUUUUGAGAUUUGGCGUGUUUGGAUUUUUUUUUUUUUGUUUAUUUUUUGGCUUUUGAUAUCUCAGAAUAUGAAAAACUCACCUCAAGUGAGUGAAACAAUUGAGGGAAGGUUUUUGAUUUUUGAAGUUCCAAACAGUGUGAAACUAUUUCAAAUUUUGUAUAUUUUUUUCUCAGGAAACAAAUGGAAGCGUGAAACCUUUAAAUGUGUGGUCUAAGGUUAUCUUAAUUAAUUGGUAAAUGAGUUUCAAAAAUGCGAUUUUGAUUGCUUUUUAGGUGGACUUGAAUCUCUCUAUGUGCUUCCUUUUUCCCAAGUUGGUUGUAUGUGUUCGUGUUGCUCUUGAUAUCAGUUUUCAAAGUAAGCCUGAUAUAGCUAUUUAUUCUAUUAAAAGAAUUGAGCUUUGCAUUCUCCUGAAUGCGUUUUGUUUUCUCGAACAAUAAGGUUGCUUGUUGAUUGUACCAUCCAUUUGCAAGAGAGAUUAUUGGAUAUCAGUUUUUUAUAAACACAGUACAAAAGUGUUUGCCUAAUGGUUCCAUUGUUUCGGGUUUUCAUAGCCCAAGUGCCUGUAUUUGCUUUAUCUUAUCAUUUUUUUUAAUUACGCUUUUCUUAGUUUGAUGUUUGAGAACAAUGUUCUGAAUCUGAAUUUCCAGUUUCUUAAGGAUGAGCAGCAAUGUGAAUGUUCUUUCUGAUGUUUCUACAAUGUACCAUAAUGAAAGUCAAUUGAUUUAUUUUCUAAGGUUUCUAAUGAUCUUGUGGCAACUGCUAGAGUGUUAAUGCCAUUUCUUUUGCAUGAUUGAAUAUUGAUUAUUCUUUCUAGAUAUUACAUGCCUUUCUCUCUAGUGGUUUUGCAUACCUGUAAAACAAACUCAUCAUCACAAAUCCAUCAAAAAGGCCAAUCCUGAGAACAUCCGAUAUCACUGAUUCACUGUCAUGAAAUGGAUUCAAAUGCUUUUGAAAACCAUGUAUAUGAAGUAAUUUUGAAUUUCUCUCUCAUUUUCUUUUGCUUGCUCUUAGGUUGUUAUCUAACCUUAAGGUUUUGCUGCUUGCACUUUAAUUGAAUUGACUUGGCUUUAGAAAAUUCGUUAUUUUCUACUUUUUUUUUAAUUAUCUUACUAAGCUAUCCACUUUAAUUGAAUCGACUUAGGAUGUUAACUCAAUGUCUUCAUACUCUAUAGGUAAUUUUAACUAUUGACUUUAGUUUUCUUAUGUAUGUAAUUUAAGGUUUUGUUGAUUUUAGUGGGGGUUUGUUAUAAUGUUAGACUUGUGGAAUGUGUUUGUUGCCUUGCUUUGUGUUUGGACUCAUUUCAUGUUUUUUUUAAAAUUAAAUUAAAGACUAUUUAUAUACCAAGUCUUGUCAUAACAAAAAGGAAAAACUAUAUUUUAGAGGGAUAUAGAUAAAAUUAGUGAAAAAAAAAAUCACAAAUACUAUUUGCAUAAAGUAAGUUCUUAGUAUUUUGCUUUUGUAAAUGUUAACUCUACCAUUCUUGUGGUCUUUCUAAUUUUUUCUUUUUUUUUUAAUUAGUACCCCUGAUCACUGUUUACGCAAAAGCAUUCAACCUCCAAAGGGCUGUAUUUUGGUAGAUCUCUUACUUCAAGGUAUUGUUCCAAUCUCUAUUCCCAAUUCACUCAAUAGACUUUUACGUUAAAUAUAAUCAAAUAGUGAGAAAAUGGAAGAAAUUUUGUAAUUGUACAAUUUUCACCAUCUAGGGUUAAAAAAUAUAGAAGAUUACACUUUAUCUAAAAUUCAUUAGACUUUGGGCUUAGUUGAUAAGAGUUUUUGAAUUUUAUUUUUAUUUUUGUUAGCAAGGAAAGUGAGAGAGAUAACAUAGCAAUCAAAAUGUGGUUUUCUUUUAUUUUUCUUCAUUUUGUUGUAACCAAACAUGGGUUCAAUUUCCACUCUGAGUGUUUUAUAAGUUGGAUUAUGCUAUUGCUUGAAAUUUUCAAUUCUAGGGUUUCUCUUUGAACAACCGUGGAACUAUUGCCAAGUUGGAUGACAACUCAGAUUGAAAUUUUUGUUAGAUUAAUUAUCUUAGCUAUUUGGAAUAUUUUUUUUUUUUGGGUAUAAAAAUAGAUUUUGUUUGAAUAUGGAGAAAAUAUGAAAAAAGUAAUUAAAAUUUUGAAUUAUAGAAUUUUCACUGACAAUAAUUUGAAUCAUAAAAUUUUCACCAAUGAAUGAUUUGGGAAUACAGAAACAUGCCACUUUACUGACAUUUCACAGUGCUGAGGGGCCUUUUUUUGGAAGCAAAAGAUGAGAAAUAAGUUGUUUUCUUUUAUUGCUCUAUUUUCUUGGAAACCAAAUAGAGGGCUAGGGUUUUUCUUUGAAUGCUUUCAGCUUGUUAAUGCUAUUGUUGAAAAUUUUGAAUUCUAGGAUUUAUUUUGGACUACAACUCACUUAUCAAAAAAAAAAUUAAAUUGGGACUACAACUCAAUCUAGAAUUUUUAUAAAAUUAAUUAUCUAGGAACAUUAUCUUGUAGGAU